rnacentral:lncRNA from 1 species
GAACAGCACCCCUGGGGCGGGUUCGCAAAGCAGGCUGAGACCAGGGCUCAAGGUCAGUCGGGGCUACCUGGGCUGGUGGGUGUGGCCCGGGAGGGUCUCCUCAUCCGUGACACUGCUGGCCUGACACCUACUCCCAAGCCCUAUAAGCUCAGUGUGGAGAGGCAGAAUUAGGAGUUUGUGCAGGAGGCAGCUGGGGAAACAGAAACCGUGGGCUCACAGCCCUGCUUUGGGCCUGGGGCCCACUAGGUUGACAGACCUGAAUUAUUAAGGCCUGGGAAGAAGGUUGGCUGGCUGGCACGCACACCAGAGGGGAACCGAUCGCCCCUCUCGUGUUCUCUUCACAGUUCCCCGGGAGGUCAUUCAGCUUCCAGUUCUGGCUGCCCCAGUGUGGUCAAUGUGUGAAAAGGGCAUCUGGCUGCCCUUGGAGGGACCCCGGCCUAGGCUGUCGCUGUCCCUACACCCUGGAUUUAUCAGGGCCUUUUGUUUGCGGGCUCCAGCUCAUCUCCCUCUGCCGGCUCUGAGCCCCUCUGCCACACACAUUUUCUGCAUUUCCCCUUCCCGCAUGGCAGCUUUGCUCUUUCUCCUCCCCACCAGCGAAGACCCGGCAGCUGCCCAGGGACCAUAGUUUCCAGAGCCCUGGAUUCUGUGGGGCCAGUCACAGGGACCCACCUGCGCUCAGAUGUCAGCCUAGGGCUGGCUGGCAAGACCCCUGCUCCCAUUCAGCCGGAGAUGUCUAGAGGAGGCCAGAGCCACUUCCAAAUCUGCUCUGGGCUUUCUCUGGGGUUCACCUCAGAGCAGAUGGGGUUAAUAAACCCCAUAGGUGUUCCAUUUCCAGUACCUGGAAAAGAAAGGCAGAGGGUACGCCUGAAGUCUUAGAGGUCAGAAUGGUGCCUGUGAAAUAUGGAAGGGCAGGUGCCAGGCCGCACGCUGGUGCCACUCUGCCAGGAGUCGAGGAUCCUGGGGCAAGGAAGAGCCUGGCGGGUCUGAGAAUGAUCCAGAUGGCUUGUGGAGCUAGAACCCCCUUCCUGGUUUUCAUUCCUACAGCCAUUUCUCUAAAGGCCUCUGUUCCUGGAAGCUGCUGAUACCCUAGCAGGACGAGGACCAGCUGGCUUCCUCAGGACAACUGGGCAUCCCUUGGCCCAUCCCUUCUCUGAUAGCGCGGCUCACUGUUUCCUCCCUGGUGCUGCUCUGGGCCUCACAUUCCCCUGCUUCCCUUCAUCUGGACAGUUAGGAAAAAUUGUCCGAGAUUUGGAAAUGGGACAAAGGGAUUCCUGCAAGCCCUUGAGUCAUGCUGGGCUCAGGCAUUGUCCAGCAGGCCUGUCUGGAGGGAUUAGCUGAUUUCCUAGGGGUGUGUACUUUUGUCUAGCUUGUCUAUUUACUAUCGAUUAGGGUAUUUUACAACUUUAUAGGGAAGGCAUAGAGGGGGCGCCUGGGUGGCUCAGUCAGUUAAGGGCCGACUUUGGCUCAGGUCAUGAUCUCACAGUUUGUGAGUUCGAGCCCUGCAUCGGGCUCUGUGCUGACAGCUGAGCCUGGAGCCUGCUUGGGAUUCUGUGUCUCCCUCUCUCUCUGCCCCGCCCCUGCUUGUGCUCUGUCUCUCUCUCUCUCAAAAAUAAAGAAACAUUAAAAAUAAAUAAAUAAGUAAAUAAAUAAAUAAAUAAAUAAAUUAAAAAUAAGGAAGGUGUAGAAAACAAGGCUAAAGUUUUAUUUUAUAUGAUAUAAUUUAACAAACUUAUUUCAGUAUUCUUUCUUUCAGUUACUACAAAGACUUAAGUAUCUUCUAUACUUUUUGGAAUCAGCUUUACCAUCCUGUUGAUUCUCUCCUUAAUUAAUUAAAAAAAUUUUUUUUAAUGUUUAUUUUUGAGAGAGAGAGAGAGAGCGCAAGCAGGAGAGGGGCAGAGAGAGAGGGAAUCUGAAACAGUCUCUAGGCUCCGAGCUGUCAGCACAGAGCCCGAUGUGGGGCUCAAACCCACUAACUGUGAGAUCAUGACCUGAGCCGAAGUCGGAUGCUUAACGGACUGAUCCACCCAGGUGCCCCUCUGCUUAAUUAAUUAAAUUCAUUUUUGAUACAUGUUCAGUCUACAUUUGUAUGAAAACUAUGUUUUUAAAUUUUUAAUUAAAAAAUGAACACAUAACAAAAUGGACUCUUUUUAUGUAUAGCUCUAUGAAAUUUUUUAAGGUUUAUUUAUUUAUUUUUGAGAGAGAGAGAGAGAGAGAGAGAGCAUGAGUGGGGGAGGGACAGAGAGAAAGAGGGAGAGAGGGAAUCCCAAGCAGGCUCCACACUGUCAGUGCAGAGCCUGAUAUGAGGCUCGAACCCACAAACGGUGAGAUCAUGACCUGAGCUGAAAUCAAGAGGCAGAUACUUAACUGACUGAGCCACCCCGCACCCUUACAGUUCUAUGAAUUUUAACCCAUAUAGAAGUUGUGCAACCACUACCACAAUCAGGCUACAGAACAGUUUCAUCAUGUCAAAAAAUUCCCUGCAGAAUCAUGUUUGUGUGUAUGUAUAUGGGAAAAAACCCACACAUCAUAAAAUGUACCAUCUUAACCAUUUUUAAGUCUAUAGUUCAGUAGUUUUAAGAAUUUUUACAUUGUUGGGGCGCCUGGGUAGCUCAGUCAGUUAAGUGUCUGACUCUUGAUUUUGUUUCAGGUCAUGAUCAAGCCCCACAUUCAGCUCCACACUGGGCAUGGAGUCUGCUUAAGAUUCUCUCUUUUCCUCUCCCUCUGGCCCUCUUCCCUGCUUGUGCACACUCUCUCUCUCUCUCUCUCUCUUAAAAAAAAAAAAGAAUAUUUACAUUGUUGUAAAACAGAACUUUUUCAUCUUGUAAAACAGAAACUUUAAUACCCAUUAAACAACUCCCCUGUGUCCCCUCCCACCAGCCCCUGGCAACCGCCAUUGUGGUCCUUGUUUCUACGAAUUUGACUAUUUUAGAUACAUCACAUAAGUGGAAUCAUUCAGUAUUCGUCCUUUUGUGACUGGCUUAUUUCCCUUAGCAUAAUAUCCUCAAUGUUCAUCCAUGUUGUACCAUGUUUUUGACCCUUUGAAAAUUAUUCUUUGACAAUUUGCAAAAGGAUAUCAGUGACUAGGGUGUUGCUGGCCUGCAUGUCUUUACUAAUCCAUCUAGCCUGGGGGGAAUUCCCAAUCUGUCCCUGUCCCAGGGAAAGGCUUGGGGUCUUAGAAUUUGGCUCUGCCCUGCUACCCCCACUGCCUGCUCUCCCUUGCAAGGCUUCCAGGAGCCAUUUGAAUUAGACAUGAGAACACACAGAAAAGCCCCUUAAUCAGCAGGGUGCUUGGGGGACAUCUCAAGAUAUGCAUGGUGGGAUUAACCACACAAAGUAUAAAUAACUGAACUGGAUAUAGGCACCCAAGCCAGAUAUCCCAUUAACUCUUCAGAUAGAGGCAGAUGUUGGGGAUAAAAAAGUUCACCCCUUUUCCUUUGCACGAUGAGAACUGGGAACAUGGCACAUAGGAGGAGCUGGGCAAACCUGGGGAAUGAGCCAGAGUAUAGAAAUGACUGGGCCAGCCCAGGUGAUAGGCGUCCCCAGGCAAAACUACUAAAUAAUUUAUUUGAGCCUCUAAAAUGGAGUCAGAUAGACAUGUGUAUCCUCUCUCUCUCUUUCUUUCUCUCACAUUCACAAAGAGCCUAAGCACCUUUUCACUCAGCAUCCAGAGAACCUUUGGUAUGUGUAAAUGCCAAGUAGUCUUCAUAGCUUUAAAAUCCAUCACUCUCUGUGGUGCCCCCUUAAAAGUAUUUAAAAACCUUUCAUUUGUCUUUAUAAGCAAUGAAAACAGACAUUCUUGGGGCGUGUUGUAUUUACCCCCGUGUGUCUCCCCCCACUUUCCAGAAGCCCCAUUUUCUCUGCUGGGAAGGGUGUGUGGAGGGGCUGGUAAGGAAGUAGCCUUAGAUACUGGUUCCAGCGAUUCCCAACAGGCCUCAUGGGCCUGGGAAGCUACUUAAACACCUGGAGCCUCAGUUUCGUCUCUUAAGAAGGAUUGCAACAGCCCUUUACCCAGAACUUGAUAGAGUGUUCCACCCGGAUUUCUAAGUUCUCUUUUCAUGUGAAUCCUUUUUUUUUUUUUUUGAGAGAGAGAGAGAGCAGGAAUGGGGUUGGGGCAGAGGGAGAGAGAGAAUCUUAAGCAGACUCCAUACUCAGCAUGGAGGCUGACUCAGGGCUCAGUCUCAUGACCAUGAGAUCACGACAUGAGCUGAAAUCAAGAGUUGGCCACUUAACUGAUUCAGCCACCCAGGUGCCCCUCAUUUGAAUGCAUCUUAUCUCUAGGGUGACUGUAUAAACUCUUCGCCUCCAAACCAUGACAUUUUUAAGAAUGAAAAGUGAUUCAAAUACUAAUUACACUGGGACAGGGUGUGUAAACUGGGAUGGUGGCAAGCAAACAGCAAAGUAUGGUGACUCUUCUUCCAGACUAAAUUGGAAAGCUUCUUCCAUGAAGAGGCCUUGACUAUACAUCUCAGCGUCCCCAUCUGUAUCUAUCCUAGAGUGCUGUUCAUAAAGAUGCUCAGUGAACCCUGAUAUCUUCUUCUUUAAACUGCUCUUUUCCCAAAAAAAAAUCUAACCUAGUGCAAAUGUAGAGGGAAAGGCUUCUUGAUUUAGCUUAAACACCUUAUUGUAGGGUUGGGUUGACUUUGGCAGUUAAAUAGCAUCCAUUGUGAAUAGGAGACAACAGGUGGCCCAUGACUGGAAGUGGACCAUUCUGGAGCAGGUCAGGAUUCGGCUGCUGAGGGUAAGUUAUGUCUGAUCAGUCACAAUCAUGUGGCAGAGGCUCCUGGGACCACAGCUAUACACAAGGAAAGGGAUGUGUGUUGGCAUACCCAAAUAGGAUUUCAGGUAUCCACUUUGCACAAGAAAGUGCCGGGACUGUCAGAAGAAAUGGAAAGAAUUUUAAGGAUUAACUGUUGGAGCCUAGAAGAGCAGGUUUACAUCUCUAAGGGGAGAAAAGACAAAGGUGACUUCAACUCCUUAACAGUAUGCCUGGUGGGCACAAAGUUCGCUUCAGUUUAGAAGGCUGUGGUUUGAAAUUUGUGGAGAAGAGUCUUUUGAAUUUCCCACAUAGAUGGUGGAUGGCAGUUGAUAGCUGAUAUGUUCUGACCCCGCCGGUUGAUGAUGGUUGAUGGCUGAUGUGUUCGGACCCAGCCCUGAGUGGAGGAGGCAAGGAAGCCUUAAGAAAAUGGAAGGAGCAGAGGUGCUUCUUUUGAAGCCAUAUAAGCAAGCUGUGAAUAUUGCUUUAGAAGGACAUAUCACCCAAGAGUGUCCGAGAGUGUGGGCUGUGCUCUGCUAAUUCACAUAACAGACACCAGAGACAAAUCUUUGCAGCAAAUGGCAGCCAAGUGUUGCAUCCUAAUAAAAUCAGAAUAUCAUGAUGGUUUCUGAUAGAGGAUGUCCAUUGUCUUCAGGAAGGGCAUCCUUUGUUCUAAUUGGCAUAAAGGCACAAUAUGGGGUAAUGGAGGCCAUGGUUGGAAUAGGCGGUGAUCUCCUCACUGGGCAGUGAUGGCAGCUACAAAAACCUGGGAGCUGUGUUGCUAAUGGCCAAUGUCCCAGUGAUGUAUGGAGUCAACAACAUUGGUCUGGAUGACAGCCAGGUUGGUGCUCAUAGCAAAGCCCUCUGCUGGUCCCAUUGAAACAGAGAGGAGAAUUGCACCAAAGAGAAAUAUAGAAGGGCUUUAUCAGCUGUGGUGGUAUUGAUGAGACAGCAGAGUCCUGCCAAGGGAAGGAGGGAACCAUGAGCAGAGGCCUGGAGUAGAAGAUUUUUCUGUCAAGCUGCUAUUGUGACCCAUUCCCUUAGGAUGCUGUGUCCAGAGAAAGAACAUUACACUGGGAUUGGAAAACAUUUAUUUAGGUUAUGUUCUUGAAAUCAUUUUUAAAAAUUAAUUAAUUAAUUAGUUAAUUUCCAAGUAGGAAACAUACUUUUAUUGGGGUGGGCAUGGAGCACACACUAGGCCAUGAUAAAAUGACUUAAGAGAAAGACCUGGAAAUGCUGACUUCUCACCCUGGCACACAUUAAGAAUGAAGCCUGGGCACGGAAUAGAUCCCAGCCAAGUCUUUAAGGCCCGUUCUGGAGAGUAGGAGCAGAGAGAAAGGCUCCCACACAUGCUGCUGGGCCACAGCAGGGCCCUGACUCUACCUGGCUCUAGACCCUUGCAGACACACUCCGGUUUUUCCAGAUGAGAAUUGGGGGGGGGGGUGGACACAGAGGGGGAUCUGGAGGUAGGUUGUGAAUAACAACAAUGUUUUUUAUUCUGUUUAUUUAUCUUGAGAGAGAGAGAGAAGAGAGAGGGGGACAGGGGGACAGAGUGAGGAAAAGAAUCCCAAGCACUCUCCUCACUGUGAGUGAAGAGCCCAACGUGGGGCUCAAACUCAGGAACCUUGAGAUCAGGACCUGAGCCGGAAGUCUGACGCUUAAACUACUGAGCCACCCAGGUGCUCCCAAUGUUGUUUUUUACAAAGCAUCUGCCAACAUCAUACUACUGGGUCUGAUGUCCCAUUUUACAGCAUAAAUAAAAACUCAAGGAAAAUAAAUGCAUUAGCUCCUAUGAGGUUGGAAGUGGUAUGGAUGGUAGGGUGUGGGUGGGCCAGUGGGGGGCAGAGCGAAUGUGGGGGUGGGGGGGGGCUUACACAAGGAGGGCGGGCUUGGAGCAGACAAGACACAAGAGGUACCUGUGGGGGAAUGAGAGUCUUAAGUGUCCUCUUAAGUGUCCUUAUGCAAGUCUGGGCUGUCAGGGACCUUGUGGGGGCGGGGGUGGGGGUUGCCCAGCUCUCACCCUCAAGGUCCACUUGUUCCUGGUCUCUCUACUCAUUGGCGUUCUUUUUGUCCCAUUGCUGAUGUAGGUAGCACAAAAGGAUGUUUAUUUUUUCUGUCACAAUGAUCUGAUCAAAUGGGUACUCCCACAUGGGCAGGUAGACUAAGGGACGUCGGUUCGAAGCUUUGCACACUGAGUCAGCAUGAAAUCGACUAAAGUUGCUUUUGUUGUAGACUGUCAGUUCUUUAAAAAAAUCUGCCAUCUUCUGUUUCCUCCGUCGCUGCCCCAGCCACCGCCGCCGCCCCACUGUAACUUCCAGCCACAGCACAGCCCACACCUAUUUAUUUAUUUUUUAAAGUUUUAUUUAUUUAAAUAAUCUCUGCACCAACAUGGGGCUUGAACUCACGAGCCUGAGAUCAAGAGUCACAGGCUCUGCUGACUGAGCCAGCCAGGCGCCCCUAAAUCAUUUCAGUUUACUUCUAGUGGCCUCAGCUGAUGUUGCCCAGGAGAAUCAUUAACCAUCAUUAAACAAAUAACCUCCGUUUCUCCUCCCUCACAAGAUACCCACGUGAGAAGCAGGUUGAGCCCCAGUCAGUGUUUGGAUGUGUGGCUCCUAAUCAACACUACUACAGUUGACCUUUGAACAGUACAGAUUUGAACUGCAUCGGUCCACUUAUGUGUGGAUUUUUUUUUUUGAUAAAUACAAUACAGAGCUGUAAAUGUAUUUUCCUUAUGAUUUCUUAAUGGCAUUUUCUUUUCUCUAGCUUACUUUAUUAUAAGAAUACAGUGUAUAAUACAUCUAACAUACAAAAUAAGUGUUAAUCAACUGUUUGUGUUAUUGGUAAGCCUUCGCGUCAAUGGUAGGCUUUUAGUAAAGUUUCUGGUGAAAAAUCCAGAUCCUAUCUGCCAGAUCACCAGGGAUCCACACUGGAGGAGUCAAAAGAUAUACAUGGAUUUUCAACUAUGCGGGCGUUGGCACCCCUACCCACCGUGUUGUUCAACUGUACAUAUUUCUUAUUAUAAAUCACAGUAUUAUACUAUCUUUGAAGUAAAUUAUUUUGGGUAUGACAUUUAGUACUUUAUGAGGGCAGACUAUCCCAAAUAUACUCUAAACAUUUGCACAAAAUGCAUGUAACUAUUUUCAUGUGAUAAAAUUUUAUUAAUUUCUUGUGGUUUAAUUCAUGAUUAUUUUACACUUGGUGACAUAGGCUGAGCCAGAAGUCAUGCCAAAUCCCCAUCAUUUUAAAAUCAAACUGUGUCUUAUGUUGAUUUUUCUUUUGAUAUAAACAUUACAUGUUCACUGUAAAAAGAAAUAAAAAAGACAGGCUAAAAGAAGAAAAUGCAUAGUCUUAGCCCAUUCUCAGAGUUAACCACUAUUCACCACCUGAUGUAUUCUCCCAAAUCUUUUUCUAUGUAUGUACAUGUGCAUGACUGGGUAUAAAAAAAAAUACUCAUACACCUGUAAAACACAAAUAAGGCUUUGUCAAGUUAAUAGCUACAUUACUCAUUUCUAAUAUUUCUACUUUGUAAAAUAUUUGCCUGUUUUUGUUUCAUAAUUACCUGUUCUUAUUUAUGGUGGCUAUUCUUUCAUUUAGUUCCCUGAAGUUUUAUUUUUUUUUUUUAAUUUUUUUUUUUUUUAAUUUUUUCUUUUCAACGUUUAUUUAUUUUUGGGACAGAGAGAGACAGAGCAUGAACGGGGGAGGGGCAGAGAGAGAGGGAGACACAGAAUCGGAAACAGGCUCCAGGCUCCGAGCCAUCAGCCCAGAGCCUGACGCGGGGCUCGAACUCACGGACCGCGAGAUCGUGACCUGGCUGAAGUCGGACGCCCAACCGACUGCGCCACCCAGGCGCCCCAGUUCCCUGAAGUUUUAUAUACAUUUUUAUUUAAAAUCUCUUCAAGAUUGUCUCCAGUUCCUUAAAUGUACAUUUUCUUGUUUAGGGGGUCUGAAAACCACCUUUAGUGUUGUUGGUCUUUCUUAUAGAUUUUGUAAUUCUUAUUUGUGGCUCAUCUUCCAUGGGAGUCAUCUUUCUCAGGACUUCUUUAUGUGCUCUGGGUGGGAGGGCUUCCUCAAGGGAGGUUUCAGUAUUUUCCUAUGGGUUGAGGCACUGUCUCCAGACCAAGGCUUAGGCUAGUGGACCAGAACUAUUGACUCCAUUUUCACACAUCACUGGGCAGAUGACUGUGUUGAGCCACACAACCUCUUAGGCUUUUAGUUCAUUGGCCAUUUAGCUCAAAGGCAAGCCCAGCUGCUCUUUCAGUCCUUGCUGGUUUCCUUGAUGGGGGUCUGGGGAAGGCCAUCCCAAAAUGUGCCACUUUGGCAUAUUGAUUAUUUGAAAUUAAAGUCACUUAAGAGGGGUUUCUGGGUGGCUCAGUUGGUUAAGUGUCUGACCGGCUCAGGUCAUGAUCUCACCACUUGUGAGUUUGAGAGCCGCAUUGGACUCUGUGCUGCCAGCUCAGAGCCUGGAGCCCGCUUUGGAUUCUGUGUCUCUCUCCCUCUCUGUUCUGACCCCCCUCAUACUCUGUCUCUCUCUUUAUCAAAAAAAUAAAUAAAGAUUAAAAAAAUUUUUUUAAUAAAAUAAGAUAAAGUCACAUAAGAAAUAGCCAGUGCCAGAAGAACACUCUGACUUGCCCCACCUGUGUCCCCAGAAAGCAGGAAAUAAACCUCCCAUGUGAAAGGUACCCUCCCUGUACCAGGAUGUAAAAAGACAUUCUAUCAUAGGGCCCCCAACAGGCCCACGGACUCCUUCUCUCCAGGAUUCCUCCAUGACUUUCCCCAGAUUGCCUAUGCAGCCUCUUGGCCCUUCUUGUACCAAAGUGAGGUGCCGGUGACCCUUCUUGGCAUCUUAUUUUUUAACCUUCUUCUCUCAUUCAGCUGCAGGUGUGUGUGUGGGGCGGAGGGGGGUAUACAAAGAACAUUUCCAUUCUGGGAUCCUCUGUUUCUUUCCUCCUGACACUUUUUAAGUCUUAUGUGGUUGUACUAUUUUCCAUAUUUGGUUGCCUCUGGUUAACUUUUGAUCUUUUUUUAACAAUUCAUUUUUUAAUUACUUUAAGGAGUGUGGGCCUGAAGGAGGUUGUGUGCUCUGGCCUCACUUGUACCACAUUUCCCCAGAGUCGAAGCAGGUGCAGCUCUCAAGAACUCACAAGAUGCCAGGCAGGGUCUCCUGGGUUGUUGCUACUGUGAGAGGAUGGUAUGUGCCCCUCAGGCCACAGACCUCCUCACAGUCGGCCGGUCCAUCGGUCUCUCUCUUUUUCUUUCAAGGCCUCCAACCCUCAAUUUCUUCAUCUGUGAUAUGAGUUAUUGUUGCCAGUAAGCUAUGUUGAAACUCUCUCUCUCUCUAAAAUGAAAUUAGACUUCCUUCCUACACCCAAACAUAGAGUUUUGGGGCCCAGGAUUUCUGAGAGUUUCUGGGGCACAGCCUGGCAUGCGCUCUUACUCAUCUUCUACUUGUCUUACUGCCAUGAUUCUGCCUCUGUAGCUCACGACACUAGUGACUUGGUGACUGCCAGGCCUCAGGAAGAGGACACGGCCCUCUCUCCCCCUCAGCCCAUCUGAAGCCAGGCUCCACUGACUGGGGAGGAAAGAAAGCAGGCUGAGGAGAGUAAUUUCCAUCUGCCUCAGAGGAGAAGUGACUGGCCUCCAUCUGGCAGGGGCCACCUCAGCCCCCACCAGCAGCAGUCUCCAGACCUGCACACUCCCCAGAGACGGGAGGAAAUCCUUCCCUCCCCCAGCCCAAAGCACUCUUCUUUGCCAGCUACAGGAUGACUGAGAGUGAGAGCACCCCUUUCUGUUAGGGGCAGUCUCCUAACAGAGAAGGGCAAAUAUUGCUGCUUUUCCCACCUACCUGGGGUCUCCCAGAACAUUUUAACCACUUGACAAAUGCAGGAGCCAUGGACGAUUCAAGGCCAAUUAAAGUUUCAACCCAGCUCCCCACCACCGUACCACCUCUACAAAUAUCACCUGUUGGGACAAGGGUAGACUGGAACGGGUAGGCUUAGGAGAAAUAUUUCCUAUUACUGCUUUGGAGAAGCUGCUGUGGCUGUUGCCAACUUCUUUGUUCUGGGCAGAGAAGGAAGCCAAAUGCCUGAGCCAGAGCCUAGUGCACUGACCGGGUGAGGGACUUUAGGCCACCUCAGGGCCUUGAAUCCAGAAUCAAGAGCCACAGAGAAUGAGGAACAGUUGUGGGAUCCUCUGUGGGUUAGGAUCCGAGACUUCUCUUUACAGCCAGAAAAAUGGCCAUUCCAGAGGGAAAUUGGAAAUCGUCUUUGGGCCCGAGCCUUUCUUCGUUCCUGCCUUUCUUCAGGGGUUGGAAUGUUCUGCAGCACAGACCUCAGGUGGGUGAGAUCAGACUCAGAGCUCACAAAAGCCAGCCAGGAAUCGGAGAGCUGGAGCUUCUGAGUCCUAUUAUCUAACAAGGGUUGGGUGUGGGUGGGAUUCGUGCCUACCUGCAGAGAGGCCUCCAAAAAUCAACCUUAUCUUGACCUUUCCUGUGAGCCAGCACGUGUGCGCUCAAAUUUUAACAAACAUCAUGACCUUUACUUAAUAAAGCCCUGGGGGAAAGCCAGGGCAAAUGUUCCCACUUUGAAGUGCUUCAUAAACCACGUGGCGUCUUCCAUGUGUGAGGAUGACAGGAGUGGCCCACUGUCACCUGAGUCAUUUUUUCCAGAUGUGGUGAGGGGAAAACAGCCAGCUGGUGUCACGGGGAAAGUGCUGUAUUCAAGUGUUGGUCAGGGUGUUGGCCAGUCACACGGUGCUGUGCCGCUGUUGCUAGUCCCACCUCCUUGCGUUGCCACUUCUCACCUGUGAUAUGGAGAUGGCGAGGGGACUAAGCCGUGCCUGGUAUUUCUCCCCUAGAAUGUGUGCACUCAUAGUUGUGAGAGCUCUUGAAAAAAAAAUCACAUGCCAAUGACUUGACAGGCUGCGUAGGGGAAUGUACACUGAACUUAGGGUUUAAAGACUCAGGUUGGAUCUGAGUACUUCUUAGUUAUGUAAAUUUAGGCAAGUUACUUAAGGCCUCAAGGCCUCCGUUUCUUCACCUGUCAAAUGGGUAUAAUCCCCUGGACCUGACUCCCUCAAGAGGUGGGUUAAGUGAGAUGGAAACGCACAGGAAGUGCUGUUAUUUGAUGCCGUCACAGGUGAGGUGCUCUUAUUUGGGCCACCAGGGCAGGGUCUUUCUUGGCCUCCAUCCUCUCUCAAGGGAGAAGAGCAUCUGCCAGUUGCCCUAGUAACCUGGACCAACGGCUGGCUUCCUGUAGGGGCUUUCCUGCUCGCACACAGUUUCGGUUUCCCCUCUUAACCCCUGCCAGUGGCUUAGAGUGGUGGUGGAGGGGUGCAGGUUGCUCGAGCGGAGGCCCUCUGCAGACCAUGCUCCCUCCACUGGCAUCGCUUGCCACGACUUUGCCCUGCUCUGCAAAAUGGAAAAGAGAACCUGGUUACGCAUCUCACUGGUUUUUCUGCUUUCUUUUCAUGACUCAUUUUCGGGAGUAUUUCAGGUAAACCACUUUUGGAGAAGGUACUUCUUGGCUCAGUUUUCUCCUCAUUUUCUCUGAGUCAAGGCUGACAAGUCUGCCUUCUGCGUCCAACCUACCAUCUCCAGAAAACAGGCCAGGCCACUGGAGAUCACCAGUUGCCUGGGCUGUCCCAGUGGGGACCUGAAGGGAUUUGGGCAUCUCUGUAGCAGUAAAAUUCACUCACUGGGUGUCCUCCAUGAGAAGUGGGAGCCACCUGUCCCCCUUCUGCCUUUCCUUACAGGCAACUGGCACUGGCUGAAAUCUCUCCAUUGGUGACUCACUUCUUUGUGUCUGAGUCCUAUAUUCAAUAUAAAAGCCCUGGGCAUCACUAUAGUCUUCAGGAGUAACACUUCCUAUUCCCAGAAAGUCAGGGACCAGACUAGAAGGACUUUGUAACUUCCCCAGGUUUGCUGUUCUUACUAUCCUGUGUUUCCUAUAAUCAUUAUCUGUGAAACCCAUGAAACAAAAAAGGCCUAUGUGUUUUAUCCAUGGGGGAUCCAUAAAAGGGUUUUAAGCCCGAGUCCUCUGUACAUGCAGAUUUCCUUGAGAGGUGGGUGGACCAGCUGCCUGAUGAGAAGGAGGCAGGCCUAGUCCCCAGACUGCAAGGAGGCAAGAAGUCCUAGGGCACUGAUACAGGACCUUGGGGCCUGUAAGCCCGACCUGUAGGGAGGCUGUGUGUGAGUUUCUGAUCUCUCCUAGCCAGGUAUUUAUAAAGAGCAGGGAGCACUUCACACACUUACUUAGUUCUUGCGGGAAUGGUCUCUGAGACUGGUUUGAAAGACAUUUAUCCAGUGAUCAGAGAGCUAUCAAAACUGACUCCUCACUUUAAGACUGGGAGGUGGUACUGUUAUAUUAUCUUCAUUUUACAGAUUGGGAAACCAAGGAGCAAUAACCUGGAUUAAGAAUCUCAGAUUCAAUUGGCUUUUAUUGAACUGUGUUGCACGUCAGGCAUCUGGCAGAUGUUUUCCCAAGGACUAUCUCCUGUAAUCCUCCCAAGAACUCGGUAGUGUCUGUAGGCUCUAUUAUCCCUGGUUUACAGGUGAGGCAUGUGUAGUCCUGUAAUAUUGUGAUUUAUAAUAAGAAAUUUAGGGGUGCCUGGAUGGCUCAGUCAGGACAGCAUGCGACUCUAGAUCUCAAGGGCCUUGAAUUCAAGCCUCACAUUGGACAUGGAGCCUACUUUAAAAAAAAAAAUGAAAGAGAUAUAUAUUUGAUCUUUGUCAUUACUCUGUCUUCGAGAUUGCUGAUCUUUUAUUUUUCCUGAAUCAUCUAAUCUGCUAUUGAUUCCCUGGUAUAUUUUUCAUUUCAGUUAUUGUAUUCUUUAGCUCUGAUUGGUUCUUUUUUAUAUGUUCUGUCUCUGUUAAACUUCUCACUGUCUUCAUCUGUUUUUCACUCGAGUUUGGUAGUUUCUUUAUGUCUAUUACUUUGAAGUCUGUCUGGUAGAUUGCUUAUCUCCAUUUCAUUUAGUUCUUUUUCUGAGGUUUCGUCUUGUUCUUUUGUUUGGACUAUAUUCGUCUCUCUCCCUAUUUUGCCUAACUCUCUUUGUUUCGGCGUAUUAGGUAAAUCAGUUAUGUCCCCUGGUCUCGAAGGACUAGCUUUAUGUACAAGGUGUCCUGUGGGGCCCAGUAGUGAAACCCCCUCAUCACUGGAGCAGGGUGCCCUAGGUGUUCAUGCAUGCAUCCUCCUAUUGUAGCUGGAUCCAGAUUCGUAUGGACUUGCCAGGGCAAGGGGCUGUCCCCCAGCUCGGCUGUCUGCAAGGGUUGGCCAUGACUACUACCAGUGUGCUGGUGGGCGGGGUGCAGGCCUUCAGUGCAGCUGGCUGACAGGCCUGGUGGCUGCAACUGUUACCAGUGCUCUAGUGUGCAGGGCAAGCUUCCCAGGCCAGGGGCCUCUUGGGAGGGCAGGUUGGGUGGGGCAAGUCCACAUAGGAACGCUGGAGCAGGGCGAGUGGUGCUAGCAAGUUAGAUGAACAGUGUUGGAACUGGCUCCCACCAGUGCUGGCCCAGCUAAGGAGAAGGGGAAUGAGAAAAACACGGUGCCCACCAGCACUCUGUCCCCAGAGAAUGUGCCAACUGAUCCCUGCUUCUUCAGCACAUGCCCUAAAAUUAGUAAAUAAAUUUCCUUCACGUGUAACCCGGGUGCUUUUCAAACUGCUGCCUUUGUGUUGGCUCUCCCAGCUAGUGAGCUCGUGUGCACCCUUGGAGAACAGUCUUGGUUUGCCCACUGCACUCUAGCUCUCCCAGACAGAAGCCCUGUUGGUUUUCAAAGCCAGACUUUAUAGGGACUCAUCUUCCCGGAGCAGGUCCCCUGGGCAGGGGUGCCUGAUGUGAGGCUUGGACACAUCAUCCUUCAGGGAGGGACUCUGCUGUUGCGAUACCCCUCCUCCUUGUGGGUCCCAGCACCAGGGCUAUGCAUCCUGACUGGACCACAACUCUGCCCCUCCUAACCGACUUGAUGUGGCUUUUCCUUUAUCUCCUUUGUUGUGUAAAAUCUGUUCUGCUAGUCUUCAGUUCGUUCACAGAGAUAGCUCUUCUAUAUGUAGCUGUACUUCUGAUGUGUCUGUGGGAGGAGGUGAGCUCAGGAUCUUCUUGUUCCACCAUCUUGAUCUCGCCUCAAGAUUGAUUCUUGCACUGGCUGAAAUCUACCCAUGAGAGUCUUCUUCUCGAUGAUUUGUAUUUUUUGUGGCUAACAAAGGUCUUGUCAGAUCUGAUUACAGCGUCAUAUUUUUAAUAAUCGUGGCAGCUGGCUUUUAUUGAGUGUUUACUCUGUGCCAGCGCUGUUCCCAACGCAUCACUUACUGCAUUAGCCCACUUAAUUCUCACAACCACUCUGAGGUGGGAACUAUUAUCAUGCCCAUUUUACAGAUAAGGUAACAAAGGCCCAGGGAGUAAGAUAACAGGCUCCUACAGCCAGAAAGAGGCAUAGCUGGGCGCAGGGGGACGACUCUGGCAGUUACGCUCCAGAUCCCAUUCUAUAGCCACCACCUCUGCCCCCUUUCCUAGCUGGGCUUCAUGUCAGUAACACAUGCUCAUAUCAUCUCCUUGAGGGAAACAAAGCUGCUGUUAUUCUAGCAGGCAAGGCUGUGCUAAGGGUGCAGACCAGGUGCAGGGUUGGUCGCCAGCUGCAAGUGCUGCCCUGAAACCCCUGCCUGCUUCUAGCUCUGAGCUCUAAGCUUUUUGAACUUGCCCAUUUAACGAAUGCUCACCGGCCUCACUUUUAUCAUUUAAAUCAGCCUCUCUCUGUGGGGUUGCUGUGAGGAGGAGAGGAGGUAUUUCUGCCAAGCACUUAGCAGGGCUUGGUGGGCAGAAAGCAUUUGAUGAGGAGGCAGGAAAGCUCUUGGGGUCUCAGUCCACAUGGCUCCGUUUCGUGCUGGAGCUCCCGUUCUGCCAAGAGCCCAUGAAACCAAAAGUAAUUUAAAAAUAACUCGUCUUUCACUUGCAUUUCUCAUCGCUAAGUGAACACACAGUCCUCAGCAUUGCUUUUGAUUUCUCUCAGUGGCAGUGUGAGAUUCUCAGUGCUUCUCACACUUCUCUUUCUGCCUUCUCUCGCCAUCGCUCUCACCUGCCGCAGAUGCCUCUGCUCUCCACCGGCUCUCAGCCUCUCCUGCCCUUGGCCGUUUUCCAUGCCCUCCUCUCUUCCCCUGAGUUGUAUCUCAAGAAUGGCUGAUAGAGCACCGCUCCUUUCCUCAGAGGAGGGGCUCGGGAGAGACCAAGGAGAGUGGAGCCAGGACCCUCAAAGAGAUGAGAGAGUCUGAGAACUUGUCCAUUAUUUUUAUCCCCCAACACCAACCAUUGCUAUUGUUUGGUAAAGGAGGAGGUGCCUGUAUUAGUCUCCUCGGGCUGCUCUAACAAAAUACCACAAACUGGGUGAUUUUAAGCACAAGAAAUUUAUUCUCUCACAUUUCUGGAGGCUAGAAGCCAGAAAUCAAGUGGGUAGUGGGGCCAUGGUCUUGCUGAAGGCUCUGGGAGAGGAUUCUUCUUUGCCUCUUCCCAGCCUCUCAUGGUUGUUGGCAAUCUUUGGCUUGUAGAUGCAUCAUGUCAGUCGCUAACUUCGUCUUGACAUGGCCUUCUCUAUGUUCAAAUUUCCCCUUCUUAUAAGAAUACCAAUCAUUGGACUAAGGCCCACUUUAAUCCAUUAUGACCUCAUUUUAGCUUGAUUACAUCUGCAAAGACCCUACUACCAUUCAGAUUCAGAGGCUAAGUCGUAUCUUUUUAAGGAACACAAUUCGACCCAACCACAACAAUGCCCUAUUGCUCAGCUUGAUUCUAAGCCAACCCAUUCCCAGACUGCAUCCCCAGAAUUGGUUCCCUCAAGUGUUUGAAGGUGUCUCUGACUUUAGUCCAGAUGAACCUGGGAGUCCUCUGUUUGUGGACCAAUUGUCGAAACUCCCACUAGCUCUAGUCUCUUAUGGAUCAGUCAGGUGCUUGCCUAAUGUCAUGAGGAACGCUGAGGAGGAAAAGGACCAGAAGCAUCACCAGUGAGGAAAUACAUUUUCCAGAAGUGAUAACUUUUCAACAGCUUUUUGAAAAGGUAAUAUAUUGACCUAAUGUUUUAUUUAUUUAUUUUUAAAUUUUUAUUUAUUUUUGAUAGAGAAAGCAUGAGCAGGGGAGGGGCAGAGAGAGAGGGGGACAGAGGAUCUGAAGCGGGCUCUGCACUGAGAGCAGUGAGCCCAACGUGAGCCUCGAACUCACACAGUGAGAUCAUGACCUGAGCCGAAGUCAGACAGAUGCUCAACCAACUGAGCCACCCAGGUGGCCCUUGACAUAAUGUUUUAAAGGUACUAUGUAGGCGCCUGGGUGGCGCAGUCGGUUAAGCGUCUGACUUCAGCCAGGUCACGAUCUCGCGGUCCGGGAGUUCGAGCCCCGCGGCAGGCUCUGGGCUGAUAGCUCAGAGCCUGGAGCCUGUUUCCGAUUCUGUGUCUCCCUCUCUCUCUCUGCCCCUCCCCCGUUCAUGCUCUGUCUCUCUCUGUCCCAAAAUAAAAAUUAAAAAAAAAAAAAAAAAAGGUACUAUGUAAACAUAAUAUCUUAUUAAGACUAUGAGUGAAAAAUGUUUUUCUCCUAUGAAGAAUCAGUCUGAAAUACAAUGUUAAUAGUUAUGCCAUAUUAGUGGGGGAAAGAGGAACUAUUUAAUAACUGGAACUAGAAAAACAUACAUAUGGAUUAAAAAUGAAACAGGAUCCCCAUUUAACACCACACACAUGAAAUCAACUCUGAAGGGAUUAAGGACAGUGUCGAAGCAUGUUUAUCUUUGUGGAAAAGAUAGAUGGCUAUCUUUCUUGCACCUGAGAAAGGAAAAUUUGGGGGAUACCUGGCUAGCUCAGUUGGUGGAGUAUAUGACUCUUCAUCUCAGGGUUGUGAGUAUGAGACCCACAUCGGGUGUCGAGAUUACCUAAAAAUAAAAUAUUUUCUUUUGAAAAAGGAAAAUUUCCUUAAGAAAGUAUAAGAAAGCACCAGCCAGGGCCGCCUAAUGCCUCCGUCGGUUGAGCACCUGACUCCAGCUCAGGUCAUGAUCUCACAGUUCGUGAGUUUGAGCCCCAUGUUGGGCUCUGUGCUGACAGCUCAGAGCAUGGAGCCUGCUUUGGAUUCUGUGUCUCCCUCUCUCUCUCUCUGCCCUUCACCUGCUUGCUCUCUUUCUCAAAAUAAAUAAACAUUAAAAAGAAAAAACAGGGUGCCUGGGUUGCAUAGUCGGUUAAGUGUCUGACUCUUGAUUUUGGCUCAGGUCACAAUUUCACUGCUUCACAGGAGUUCCAGCCCCUCAUCAGGCUCUGCACUGAUAUUGUGUUUCUGUGGCCUGAGGACCGGAGCACACCUCCUAUUUGAUGGAGGCGUUUCCUCCCCUUCCAGAGAGAUCAGCUAGGUAGCAUCUAUACUGGACACAAUGGCAGAGAAGAUGUCACAGCCAUUGUCAUUAAGGGACGCCUCCUUUUUUUUUUUUUUUAAAUUUUUUUUUUCAACAUUUAUUAUUUAUUUUUGGGACAGAGAGAGAGAGACAGAGCAUGAACGGGGGAGGGGCAGAGAGAGAGGGAGACACAGAAUCGGAAACAGGCUCCAGGCUCCAAGCCAUCAGCCCAGAGCCUGACGCGGGGCUCGAACUCACGGACCGCGAGAUCGUGACCUGGCUGAAGUCGGACGCUUAACCGACUGCGCCACCCAGGCGCCCCUAGGGAUGCCUCCUUUUUAAUUAAAGGAUUCAUGAUGGGCCAGCAGAGAAACACUUGACAGUUAUUUAAUCAUUUGCACUUGAUCUUACAUAAGAAAGGCUUUCCCACAACACGCAUGCCUGCUGAACCAGGGCAGAAGGUAACAGGAAGGAGGCCCCCUGAGUAUUGUGAUUACAGGGCCCACACCUGCCACCACACCCACACCCUGAGAUUCCACGGAAGGGGUGGGGGAAAUGUGAUGGUUCAGAGACAAGAAAACAGAGAGAUAUUGUUAUUAUCUCCAAAUUUUUUCCCAAAAUAUGAGAUUUGCAAGUGACUCUGGGGCCUUAUUUUCCCCGACCCCAUUCCACCCCCAGGCCAGUAUGCUUAACAAGAUGAACGAUGAUGGUUCCUUACAGUUUGCAAAAUGCUCUGUAUAACAUCAUCACAUUGGGACCCCCUUAAACACACACACACACACACACACACACACACACACACACACAUACACACACCCUGUGAGAUGGUUGUGAUUGUUACGUUUCAUUUAUAGCUGUCACUUUUAUUUUACUGAGGCUCAGUGACUUGUCUAAGGUCACAGUCUUAGUGGCAGAGCUGAAAGUAAGACUCCUGACUCCCUGUCCAGUAUUCUUACCCCAUGUUGUUUAUUUUUCACUAAGAUCUUUGAAGUUUCCAGAGAGAAAGCUAGGAAGGGCAUGUCGUGUCAGCAGGGAACGGCCACCUGCCCCCUCAGCUGGCACCUGGCCCUUUCCCAUGAAAAGGCAGAAUGGAAGCAGAGGAACAGAGCCUACAUCCUGGCCUUCUGCAGCUGGGGGGGAAGUGGUGGCUCUGAAAGGAAAUAUCUAGAGAAUGGCCUUCCUGCCACCUGAGCCAAAGAUAGGGAGGAAGGAGCUGUGUUUCAGACCAGCAGUGCUCCUGUCAUUUGUUGCACAAACCCUCCAGACCACCUCCCUUGGUGCCCCUGAAUAUGCUGUUUCCUCUGGCGAGUCUAGAAAAGGGUCUCUCGGGAAUUGUUCCACUGUCAUUUAAAACAGUCAUUUAAAGGAAAUGCUUCAAGGUGUUCUAGUUGUUUCUAUCAAGUACUGAUUGCUCAUUGUAAAAAUAAUUUGGGAAAAUACAGUCAAAUAAAAAGUAGGAAAAAAGGUCACACAAGUGCGAACUUACCCCUUGGCAGGGUAUCUGUACACACACAGAGCAUUCUUACCUCUCUUCAAGGCCCCAAAUAAAUUCUAACAGAAAGAGUUAUGUUUCUACUCAGGAUGUAGAAAGCUGCCCCAGCCUUUGCCAUUUUGGACUUAAGCUAAAGGAAUAGCCCCCUAUCUGGAAGGUUUGAGCUCAUGCAAGGGGGAAAAAGACAUGACAGAACCAUAUUAAGGCUCUUAAAACUUCUUUUUGGGAGUGGCCUCUGUGGCUCCUACUCACAUUUCACUGGCUAAGCCAAGUCACCUUCCAAGCAUGAUCUCAAUGGAGUAGAUAAGUAUUAGCAUCUUGCUGAGAGGAACAUUGAGUAAUUGAGACUAGUGAUACAAUCUACCUCAUGAGCAUUUAAGAAGACUUAAAUACAGCAUUAAAACUUUCAGGAACUGGGGUGCCCGUGUGGCUCAGUCGGUUAAGUGUCUGACUUCGGCUCAGGUCAUGAUCUCGCAGCUCAUGGGUUUGAGCCCCACGUCGGGCUCUGUGCUGACAGCUCAGAGCCUGGAGCCUGCUUCAGAUUCUGUGUGUCUCUCUCUGCCCCUCCCCCACUCAUGCUCGCGCUCUCUCUCAAAAAUAAACAAACAUUUAAAAAAAUUAAAAAAACACUUUCUGGAACUAAAAACAUGAUGUUCUAAUUAAAAACUCAGUAGAUUAAUUCAAAGAGCAUAAGGGCAGAAUGGAAAAAUGAAUCAAUGCCCUGGAAUAUCAAGUAGAAGGAAAUGUCAGACCACAGAACAGGACUACAAAGAGAUGAGGGAGAACAAUAACUGUGUUAUCAAAACGUGCGUAUAUUUAACACACUUACCUUUUACUAAAACCUAGGCAUUAAGGACUCUAACCCAUAUGACAGCUGAAGAAACAGGCCCAGGAGGGUUAAGGGUCGAUCCCAAGAUCCCACAGCUGUGGCAAACCUGGUAUUCACUCCCAGGUUGUCUGGUUUCUGUGACUGUGCUGUUAAAUACUACUGUUAACCACAUUUUCUGCUUCUUAAUGGCCAUGCUAUUUUGCCAUGAUAAGACGUGGAGGGCAUGCCUGGGUGGCUCAGUCAGUCGAACACCUGACUUUUGAUUUUGGCUCAGGUCAUGAUCCCAGGGUCAUGGGAUCCAGCCCCACGUCGUGCUGAACAUGGAGCCUGCUUAAGACACUCUCUCUCCCUUUACCCCUCCCCCACAUGCUAUAAAUAAAUAAAUAAAUAAAUAAAUAAAUAAAUAAAUAAAUAAAAUAAAAUAAAACUUGGAGGACAGAUUCAGGACACCUAAUGAGAGAAAUAGGAACUCAUGAAGGAUAAAAGGGAUUGCUGGAGGUGGUAUAGGAAUUAAAUAAAUGCUAGGAGAAAGUAAGUCUGACUUUAAGAAAGACUUGCAGUUUAAAAGAGCUCACUGAGUUCCAGGCUGAGAUUAAGAAAAAAGACAUCUGGUAACAUCCUGUAAAAUUCCUCAAUUCCCAGGACACAGAAUUUGUAUGAGCUUCCAGACAAAAAGAACAAAUAACUUAUAAAGGAGCCUCAGAUUGUUCAUCGGGAUUUUCUUUCCUCCCUCCCUCCCUCCCUCCCUCCCUCCCUCCCUCCCNNNNNNNNNNNNNNNNNNNNNNNNNNNNNNNNNNNNNNNNNNNNNNNNNNNNNNNNNNNNNNNNNNNNNNNNNNNNNNNNNNNCUUCCUUCCUUCCUUCCUUCCUUCCUUCCUUCCUUCCUUCCUUUGUUUCUUUUAAAUGUUUAUUUAUUUUUGAGAGAGAGAGAGAGAGAAAACAUGAGCAGGGGAGGGGCAGAGAGAGGGGGACAGAGGAUCUGAAGCAGGCUCCUCACUGACAGCAGCAAGCCUGAUGCUGGGCCGAGAUCAUGACUUGAGCUGAAGUCUGAUGCUCAAAGCUCAACUGACUGAGCCACCCAAGCAUUCCCGUGGGACUUUUCAUUUGCAACAUUGGAAGCUAGAAGACUGUGAAUAACACCUAAUGACAACUGAGAGAAAAUGAACUUGACCUAGGAAUUCUAUAAGCCCACCUGACAAGUCUCACCCGUCAGGGUGAAAGUUAUUUUUGAACAUGAUAUAGCAAAGAAAAGUAUAUCACCCACACACUUCAUUUGAGGAAUUUAUUCAGAAGAAGAGCCUCUUUCCAAGCAACAAAUGAAUCAAGGCAAAAAUCUCAGGAUAGGGGAAGAUGAAAAACAAGGAAAUAGUAAUGGUUAAGAAAUAAGGCUAAUAUUUAAUAUACAUUUGUAUGCCUAAAUCUAAAUGAAUAAUGACAGAGCGACUAGCAAUUUAUCCCCUAAGUUUGGAUUUACAAUUAUGAUGGAGAGUUAAAAACACUGCUUUAUAAUCAAAUCUAGCAGGAAAAAGAAAAUGAAAUCCUAGAGGAAUAGACUAUUUCAUUAACAAAUUAAAUUACAGUAAUGUAAGUAGGCACUCUGAUUAGAGAGAAUGAGAUAAGACCAGCUCUUCACGGGUGGAAUAGGACCCUGCCCCUCUCUGCAAACAUUCUUCUCCUGUCUGCUCACUGAAUUUUAAAUCAAGAUGAGAAACAAGUUCUUUGCUUUGAGGCUUUGUUCUCUGCUCAGAGAUCUCCUAGGACUUGAAAAUGUCUUUAUUUUAAAUGAUGGCAAUCACUGCCCUUCAGCAGGAUUUUGCUUGUUAAAUUUUAUCCUGAGAAGAGCUUUAGUAAGGAAUUUACAGGGCACAGCAUGAAUUCCAGGAAGGGGUGCAUGAAGGGAUAAGAGAGGGGGGCAAAGACCUGGAAGGAAUUAACGGGGAGGGGGGUGUUCUGCUCCACUUCAGACCCUCUGGUCUGCCUCACAGGUUGGCGUCCCAACUCCCAGCACUUCCCUUCCCUUCCUCUUCUCUCUGACUGUCCUUUGCCUUCAUUUCUCCACAACAGCAUUGAAAUUGUUAGUGUCAUGAGUGAUGGGACAAAGCAUUUCUUUUUCUUUCAGCCUAAUUUAUGAGAGAAACAGCUGCUACUCAUGGAAUUUCUCAAGCUCAGAGCAUAAUUAAGUGUGACUUUUUGCCCUGAAAAAUGACUUUGGGGAGCUCCUGGGUGAGCAGUCUCCUUGACAUUUAAAAGUGUGAACCUUAUCUGGAGCAGCCCUUUGCAGGCUGAUAGACCUCAUUGAACUUGAGCCAUUUCAGCCCCACUGUAGUUCUUUUUCAUUUCUGUUUUUCAAUUACACAUCAGCAGAAGAUUCAGUUUGAAUAUAAGGGCAUUUUUCGUUAAUCCAGAGAACCAAUAUAAAACUUAAGUGGCCAUAGUUUACAGAGAAUACAGGGAAAUAAAUAUUGCAUUGGUUUUCUUUCCUGUGUUCAUUUCCUCUUGUUGUUAUUGAUAUGCAAGGAACAUAAGCUGGAGGCCUGAGAGUUCUCUCAGGUUCUCACAUCUCCGGCCCCAAAGUAUCUUGUCCCUGGCUCCUCUGCUCUGCCAUGACCUUCGACAGCUCCAGUGUUCAACCAGCUGUACCUCUUUCUGCCUUCUUUCCCUGCCACAUUUGUAUCUAUUACAAGAAUGACCUCGUUGUAGGUGCCAGUAUUUUUCAAUUAUAAAGAUUGCUCCAUUUGGGCGUGAUUACACAGACAUAUCAUUUUUAUUACAAAUAGCUACUAUAAAGUGCAAAGGCACUGUGGUAGGCAUUUUAUACACAUUUUCUCUAUUCUUACACAACCAUGUACACUUGAUAUUAUGAUUCCUGUUUCACAGAUGAUGUUUUGGUUAUCUCUUGCUGUGUAAUGAUCACCCCCAAGACUUUCGUGGAUUAAAACAAUGAUUUAUAAUUAUAUGCUUAGACUUCUUCUGUUAGUUGGGAUGGUCAGCUGGGUGGUUCGCUCUUGGACUUUCACAUGUGGUUGUAAUCAGAUGGUGGCUAGGGCUGGAGUCAGUGAGACUGGACAUCUAAGAUGGCUUCUUUACUUAUGUGUCUGAUGUCUCAGCUGAGAUGACAGGACAGCUGGAGGCUGGCUAGGUAUAUAUAUUUCCACAUGGUCUCUCCCUGUUGGGCUCCCUCACAGCAGCAUAGUAUCAAGCCAGCUGGACUUCUUACAUGACCACUGGCUUCCCCAGAGCUAGUGUUCCAAGAGAUCAGGGCUUCUUAUGACCUAGCAUCACUUCUGCUGCAUCCCAUUGGUCAUUUUAUGCAGCCAAGUUCAAUGUGGAACUACAGAAGAAUGGGAACCCUGUGAGACAGGGUUCACUGUUGAGUAGAGGGCAUCUUCGCAGACUAGCUACCGUAGGUGAGGAAAUCAAGGGUCUGAUGGGUUAUGCCAUGUCCCCAAGAUUAUACUUCUAGUAAGUGGCAAAAUUGAGAUUUGAACCUAAGCAGUCUGUCUGACCCCAAACUCUUUCUUUAUCAUUCUAUUUCUUGUGUUUGGUUACUUUGGUUCUCUAGUAUAGCAUAUCAAAUACUGUCUCUAGGAUGGUCUCUUUUAACUUUUGCCAGUUGGCUGACAGCAUCACGAGUGGCUUGGCUGAGUUAACAGGGAAGAAAUCAGGUAAAAGGAGCAGCACAACUACCCAAAAUUCCUUUGGGGCCCUAUUUUUAGGAUGAAACCACUCAAAUGUUCCUCAAAUCAAAAGAUAUUUCAUUAGUGGCUGGUCAGUUAUGCUGCCAUCCCCAAAGAAGACCAAAAUGUCUCUCUUUUAGCUGCACUCUGGGGACCAUGAAAAUAGCCCUUCGACCAUUCCUACAGUUGAUCAUUAGGACAUUGAUGAGCAAUCACCUGUUUAGACAGAAUAUAUGUUGUCUCAAAAUGAAGACUUUGGCAAUGUCAGGAAAAGAACAAUUGGGGUAAUGACGAUCCCUUAUAUUUGUAAGUGUCCUGUAGCUUGUAAAGCACAUCCACAUAUUUUAUGGAGUCAAGACAGACUGGUUUUGCUUUAAAAAAAAUCCCAGUACCUUAAAACAACAAAGGUUUAUAUCUCACUCACGGUAUGGGUUCAUUACAGAUUACUCUGUUCAUAUACCCCUUCCCUCUCACUCAAAGGCAAUGGAGCAGCCACUAUUCAGAACAUUGCUAGUGAUCAUGGCAAUGUCACAGUAGGUCUCAGUCACAAAUUAAACAUUUGGCCCAAAAAUGACAUGAAUCACUCCUCAAAAUUUAUUAGCCAAAGAAAAUAAUUGGCUGGAACUGGUCACAUGACUGUACCCAACCACAAGGACACCAAUGUAGGGUUUCAGAACGAAUCAGUCUAAUAUGUGCCAUUUUGGCAUAUGAAUUAUUUUUUAGCUGAAAAUAAUCAAGGCCCAAAAGACUCAGGAAGAAACUUUGACCUUCCCCCUAACUGCCUAAAAGAAUUCAGAUAGAGGACCUGUUCCAGGAAGGGAGCUAUCACUAUAAUAACCUCAUCAGGAUACAAACUAGGGAGGACUUUAGCAUAAUCUGUUAAAAUUCUUCUCUCUGUCCCACUGUUUCUGUAUGGCCCAGCAAACAUUUGUUUGCAAACAUUUACUCUUUUUCAUCUUCCUGUAAAAUUUCUUCCUUCUCUUUGAAGUCCCAGACCCUACUCCCUUCUCCUUAGCUCAGAAUGGCAUAUAUACAUAAUUUUCCCUGACUGUUUUUGGAGUCCCUCAUAUUUAUGUGGAUUCCUCAUAUGUACAGACUUAAAUUUGAUUUUCUCCAUUAAUCUGGCUCAUGUUGAUUUGAUUCUUAGACCAGCCAGAAGAAUCUUGAAGAGUAUAGGAAAAAUUUUCCUUCCCAACAUCAAGAAGUAUAAUCUAACAUGUGUCUAGAAGGGGAUAAAACUGAAAUGACUAUUUGGCAAUAGCACUAAUAAUUAUGACAUAUAAAUGGCCUUAUAGUUUUUCUUAGCAAUGCAAGGAGUUGUGGAAUUAUUCUCAUUUUUCAGAAGUAUGGAAAAGGCAGAAAUGGCAGAGAAGCUUGUUACAGUAUGUGAAUUAUGUCUCAGUGGAGCUUGUAGGGGUGGAAAAAAUUUUCCCUUCUUCCCUUCUAGGUUCUUUGGCUAGUCUAGUAAUUAGAUGGAUAUAAGACAGAUUAACAGGAGAAAAACAAACAAAUUUCAUACAUACAGGAGCCCCAUAAAAAUAUGACACCCAAAGAACAGCCAGGUAAUUGAGGUUUAUAUAGCAUCCUGAGUUAAGGAAAAGUGUAGAGGUCUGGGAAUACAAAGGAAAGAAAGGACACUCACAGGAAGGUGAGAGGAGAUGUUUAUAAAACAAAGGUUACCCUACUAUGCAGAUAAGUUUCUUAGGUAAAAAAGUAUUUCUGGUAAUAGCUCUCCUUCUGGUACAGACCCACUUUCCAAUGUAAAUUUAGGCAGUUGAGGGGGAGGUAAAGAACUUUCCCUGGAUCUGCUGGUUUUUGAUUGCCUUUAGCUCAAAAUAAUCCUUAUGUCAGAGAGACAUAUUUUGGGGUGGCAAAAUCUGCUCCCCUUCAAGCUGUUAUAAAAAACUGAAGGUGGGUGAAAGAUGAGGUGGAGUGUAUGACUUAUAAGGAGAAUAAACUCUGUCUUUUACAAGCCUGGUUAAUAUACAAUCACCUUAGAGUUCCUAUCCUAUUCAUAGCACAUAAGAGAAGCAGUGGCUGUUAACUUGGGGUCUAUAGAUAGAGGGGGAUGGUUCACAAACUCACCCCAAAAUUGUAGAGAAAAUAAAGGUGUAUAGAUGUUCAUUUUGGGAGAGAGAUGAUCCACAGUUUGUAUCAGCUUCCUAAAGAAGUCUAUGAAUGCCAGAGGUUAAAAGAAAGAACAAUGGACCAAGAGUCAGGAAACUGAGUCCUAACUCUGCCUAGCUCUAACAAGCUGACAAAUUGCUUGUCUUCUUCAUUCGUAAAGUGAGAGGCAGGACUCAAGCUCCCUUCUAGCUAGGUGCACAAGGUGCAGGCUAGUUUAUGGUCAGACAGAUCUGAAUUUAUAUCCUGGCUCUACUUCUUACUAAUUGCAUGCCAUUAUGCCAGUUCUAGAAACUGUGUCAAAGAUGAAUACCAAUGCAGCAUUCUUGGGAGGAUUAGCAACCAGGAGUAGAGAACACCUGGCAGUCAUUAUUAUUAAAUGAUGCUUCCUAUGAGUCUAUGUCUGGUUUAAGUCCUGCUGAGCAUUAAAUACCUUCGGUGAAUGGGCAUGGUAUUCAGGGAACUCAGGGCAGUUGUGCCAAAUCCAGAUGUCAGCAAGGCCUUGCCCUUGGCUCGUUCCUACUCUAGAAAGGAAGUCUGGGUGGAAGCUUUGCCCAGCGUCAUCCAUGGACACACUAUGCCUGAUUCGUCCCCUUCCUGAGCUCCCCAGCAAGGCCAGCUCCUGCCCCUGCUUGCUUCUCUAGGCCUGAGGUCUUGCUGAGUUAUCAUCGUCUGAGUCAUGACUUCAGUGGAAGGCAUCUCUAAGAGACUGAACUCACAAAAAAAAUGCCAACACUGAUGGACCCACAAAACCACCCCCUUGGCCAUUCCAGCUUUCUUUACUGGCUGCUGCCCAUGUUGUUACUACAACCAUUAUAUCCCAGAUUGACUCAUUGCUUCUUGCUAUAGCUAGGGGAGGAAUUAUUACUCCUAGUUUAGACUUAAGGUGUCUGAAACCCAAAAUAAUCAGGUAACCUAUUCAAGGAAACACAGUGAGCUGGUGGUAGCGAGGUCAGACCUCCUGUCUCUUGGUUCCUUGUCCUCUCCAGGCACAAUGUUAUUGUGUUAGUUUCCUAUUACUGCCAUAACAAAUAACCACAUAUUUAGUGGCUUAAAACAACACAAAUUAAUUAAAAACAACAAUGAGAUACACAGUGAGAUACCCACUACAUACCUAUCAGAAUGGCCAAAAUCCAGAGUGCUGCCAACACUAAAUGCUGGUGAGGAUGUGGAGCCACAGGAACUCUUGUUUAUUGCUGGUGGGAAUGCAGAAUGGUACAGCCACUUUGGAAGACAGUUUGGCAUUUCUUACUAAAUAAAAUGUACUCUUACCAUAUGAUCCAGCAACAGUACUCCUUGGCAUUUACCCAAAUGAGUUGAAAACUUAUGUCUAUACAAAAACCAACACACAGAUGUUUAUAGCAGCUUUUUUCAUAAUUGCCAGAGUUGGAAGCAACCACAAUGUCCUUCAGUAGGUGAAUGAAUAAGUAAACUUUGAUACAGAAGUGUUGGUCAGCGCUAAAAAGAAAUGAGCUAUCAAGUCAUGAAAAGACAUGGAAGAACCUUAAAUGCAUAUUACUAAGUGAAUGACACCAAUGAGGAAAGGCUACAUAUUGUAUGAUUCCAACCAUAUGACAUUGUAGAAAAGGCAAGACUGUGGAAACAGUAAAAAGAUCAGUGGUUGCCAAGGUUUUGGAAGGUGGUGAACAGGAGGAGCACAGAGGAUUUUUAGGGCAGUGAAAAUAGCCUACAUGACACUAUAAUGAUGGAUGGAUGUCAUUGUAGAUUUGUCAAAAUUUGUAGAAUGUACAACACCAGGAGUGAAUCCUAAUGUGAAUUAUAGACUUUGGGUGAUUAUGAUAUGUCAGUGCAGGUUCAUCAAUUAUAACAAAUGGAUCACUCUGGUGGGGAAUGCUGACAAUGGGCAAGGCUAUUUCUGUGUGAGGGAAGGGGGGGUAUGUGGAAAAUCUCUGUACUUUCCCAUCAAUUUUGUUGUGAACCUAAAACUUCUCUUAAAACUAAAGUUAAAAAAAUUAUUAUCUAACAGUUCUGGAGGUCAGAACCUCAUUGGACUGGAGGCUCCAGGGGAAAAUAGAUUUUCUUGCCUGUUGCAGCUUCUAGAAGCUGCCUUCAUUCCUUGGCUCAUGGCCAUCUCCUGUCCUCAGAGCUAGCAGUGGCUAGUCAAAUUUUGUCUCAUCGCAUUUCCUUGAGACUCAUUCUUCUGCCUCCUGCUCCCACAUUUAAGAGCUCUUGUGAUUGCAUUUGGGCACACAAAAUCUCCCUAUUUUAAGCUCAGUUGAUUAACAACUUUAAUUACACCUGCAAACUUAAUUCCAUCUUGCCAUGUACCCUAACAUAUUCAUGAGUCCUGGGUAUUAAGAUGUGGACAUCUUUGGAAGGUCAUUAUCCUUCCUCCCAGGGUCAUGAAUCAGUGUCCUGUGGUAGGAGAUGGUGGUAAUAAUGGCACUGGUCAUAGUCCAGCUGAGCCUGGCUUGAAGCUACAGAUUAGUGUCUUUCUAAUUUUCAAAGGUGGUUGAGUCUCAUCAGCCCUUAACUUGGCUGGUGUCCCCAUAUUUUCCAAGCUCCCAUCAUUACCUUUUAUUUAAAUAUUUAGAGAAAAUUACUCAUAAACUGAGGCCAGAGGGAUUCCCUCUCAAAUAUUUCCAAGAAUUCCUGGACUUGUGUUCACCCUCAUGGUUUGUCUCUUCUCACUCCAUACUGCUCCUGGCUUCCCCUGGAUCUUUCCAAUUCCCCCAUCACAGGUUCUACACAAUAUCUACACUUUGCUCCCAGACAGGGACCUGCCCACCAUUCCUGAAACAGGGCUGUCUGGAGAGAAGUAGGCUAGGAUGCCUAAUCAAUUCCACUUAAGGUUUGAAGACCCUUGGAAGGGUUUAACAUGCAGGUGAGGGGAACCUCAUUGGGAACUUAGUACAGGCAGUCCCCAGUGCUCUGGUCACACUGUGUCGAGAGAGGCCUUUACUCAGGUCUUCCUCCUUGGGCCCACCCCAAACCCCUCUCUCCUCUGAAACCCCAGGCCCCAUGUUUCUUCUUCUAGGACCACUAAAGGAAACAGAAACCCUCGAAUAUUGACUUUAUCAUGCAGAGUUUAGCCACUUCAACCUGGCCUCCUACCUUUACGUAACCAAAAAGCCCAUUAAAGUGUUUUCCCAAACAAAAGAUAAAUUCUUUGCCUAGGAAUUCUUCUCCCACUCUUGGAAUGUGAAAAUGCUGCAGUUAAAAAAUACAGCGAAGCAAAAACAGCUCCCUUUAUUUCUAGUUUCAUUAUUUAGCACAGAAAUCAAGGGUCAGUAUGUGUGUUGUGAUGUAAAAGACACAACACACAUACUAAUACAUACACACACAUACAUGCACACAAACAACUUAAUCAAAGAAGUGAUACCCACCCUUAUUACUUGGGAUACACGUAUAUUUUCUAUUCAUUUUUUAAAAUGUUGAUCAGAACUCACUAAUUUUUUUUCACAAUCUGCUGAUGACUCACAACCUUCUCUUUGAAAAACAUUGCACUAAACAUAAUACCCCCUUCUCUUCCCUCCCAGGCCUAGGAUAAGUAUUUGCAUAAUGCUUUAAUGCCUACAAAGUGGGUUUUAAGGCAUACAUUAUUCCAUUUACUCCUCAUGCAGUAUUAAAAUGGCAAUAAUAACUCCCUUUUUACAAAUGGGGAAACCGAGAUCUGUUAAAGAAGUUCAUCCAGAAUCACACAGCCAGAAAACAAAGAGUUUGGAUGCAGAUCUUUGAGUCUAAACCCAGUGGUCUUUUCACUAAGACCAGACUCCCAGUUUCCUUUUAUACACCCUUGUUAAAUAACAAAAAUCCAACUGAGUAAAUUUGAAGAUAUAAUUGGCUUUAUUCAAUGAUUCAUGAAUCAGGCAGCAUCCCAUCUAGCAAGAGCUACAGAAAAGGAAAGGUUUUUAAAGGCAGAGAGGGGGUAGGACAAGAAAGUCAUAAAUGGAAAAAAAGGAUUAUUUUGGGCAAGAUUACUUGCGUUUGGGGGUCAAAAAGGGUCUACUAGACAGAUUACCUCACUAAUGCUGACCAGGAAAUUCCAGACUGACCAGUUAAGAUUACAUUCCUAGGGAAGGUUGAAACUGCAAUUAGGUUAGGUAGCAAGUCUUGGUUUGGGGAUAUGGACUUAACACAAGUGAUUCCACUUUGGGCCUAUCUCUCUCUCUUUUUUUUUAUUUUUUAAAUAUUUAUUUUUGAGAGUGAGACAGAGUGAGUGGGGGAGGGGAAGAGAGAGAGGGAGACACAGAAUUCGAAGCAGGCUCCAGGCUCUGAGCUGUCAGCACAGAGCCCAGUGUGGGGCUCCAACCCACGAACUGCAAAGAUCAUGACCUGAGCUGAAGUUGGACACUCAACCCAGGAACCCCUGGGCCUCUUUUUUAACAACUUUCACUCAUGAUAUAGUUUAGGUUAAACUAGACAAUAUAAGCCCACCCCCCCCCCCCCCCCCUUUUUUUUUUUUUUUUUUUUGCAUAUGCUAGAUUCUUAGCGCUUUUAAAAUCUCAUACCUCUACUUUGUCAGCCUAAAGUUGGCACACCUGCCCUCCUUCCUCCCUCCUCGGAGGCAAGAGGCCCUAGCACCUGCCUUGGCUUUCACUGCGGCUGGUCUUCAGACCAAAAGAUGCCUCCAAGAGCAGCAGGAGGGUUCAAUCUCUGCCCUGGGCCAGGAGGGAGCUUAGCCCUUGAAGCUGGGAGAUGAUAGUCAGGAAAGACAAAUUGUGGGCCUGGAAAGCCACGAGGAGAGGUGAUCUGGACGUGAGAACAAGGAGCAUUGGGCUGAGGGUUUCCUUCAGGAAUAUCAACUGAUAGAAGGAACUGGGCAUCAUAUAUCCAGAAAGUGCUAGGCAGGCAACUGAAGGAAAAUCUGGGGUUAGAAAACAUGGAUGCUGGUUUCCAAGUUCAAAUACUGCUUCUCCCUCUUUCUGUCUUUGCCAGUUCUACUUCCUUGGGUUUUCUACAAAAGCGAUUGUUAGGAGGGGAUUAUCAACCUUCAAACACAUAGGCUCUGUGUUUAUAGAGAAACCUAUCAAAGUUUCUAAACACUGACCUGUCUAGAGAAACUGGUAAAGAAAAGGUUUCUAGGGGCGCCUGGGUGGCGCAGUCGGUUAAGCGUCCGACUUCAGCCAGGUCACGAUCUCGUGGUCCGGGAGUUCGAGCCCCGCGUCAGGCUCUGGGCUGAUGGCUCGGAGCCUGGAGCCUGUUUCUGAUUCUGUGUCUCCCUCUCUCUCUGCCCCUCCCCCGUUCAUGCUCUGUCUCUCUCUGUCCCAAAAAUAAAUAAACGUGGAAAAAAAAAAUUAAAAAAAAAAAAAAAGAAAAAGAAAAGGUUUCUAAACUGGGGCGCCUGGGUGGCUCAGUUGCUUAAGUGUCCAACUUCAGCUCAGGUCACAAUCUUGCAGUCUGGGAGUUCGAGCCCUGCUGCUCUGUGCUGACAGUUCAGAGCCUGGAGCCUGCUUUGGAUUCUGUGUCUCCCUCUCUCUGCCCCUCCCCCCACUCACACUGUCUCUCUCUCUCUCUCUCUCUCUCUCAAAAUAAUAAAUAAACAUUAAAAAAAAAAAAAAAAAAGAAAAAGAGAAGGUUUCUAAAUAGACUGCCGGGCCAUUUAGACCCCUGUGAAGUGGUCUGUGAAGUGACCCCUGAGCUCAGAGAGAGGCUUAUGAUGGCCAAGAGGCCUGUUGGGGAGAACAGUUUCUCUUUUCUCUGGAUCCAGUCCUGAGUGCUUAGUGCAUCAAGCAUUGUGUCUCCUUCAACCACCAACAACAUCCCUUUGCCCCUCCAUCCCUGUGUGGGCUCUUGGGGCUUGAUCACCUGUAUGGCACCUAAUCUGAGACAAUACCAACUGUAAGCUGCACUGUUAUGUACCACUAAGCCAGAGAACUGCUGAAGAGAGAGUCUCCACAUAAGAGCUGGGACACCAGAGAUAAAGAAAUCUUCCCAAGGAAGAGACUGGCUGGAAAUGUGCAUGUCUCCAUCUUGGCACUGUGUAGAGUGAGAAAAACAAUUCUCUCCUGAGAAGUCGGACCACAAGCCUGUCUUCAUGGAGGUGUGAGGUCUGAAUCUGCACUGUCAGUGUAGCCUAAAGAAGUCAAACAGAAAAUGAGUGCAAGGUGACCUCAGGUUGCUGGUGUCCCAGAAGUGACCGGCAAACACAUAUCCUCUACCAGAGAACUCAGCUGUGAUCCUGGCUAACAGCCAUUGUAGGACACUGCUGAUUUUGACACAGCCUGGUUUCAUGUGAAGAAAUGUGUUCCUCAGAAUUCACGAUAGAGGGACAUGAAACAGAUGUGGCUGUUGGUGGCACUGGUGAUUAACUCAUCUGGGUUUGCCUGAAACUUUCUGCAUUUUAGCCCUAAAAGUCACACUUUCAGUGACAUCUCUCAGUCCUGGACAAAGGUUAAUCACUCCGUCUAACCCACUCCUCUUCUGGGAGCAUCUUCUCUGGCCAAAGGGUCUUGUUUUAUACCACACAUCCCUGCCUAGGGGUAGGCUGACAGCAGCAGGGUAUGCACCUAGGACCUGAGGCCUAACCCAGGAAGGUAAGAGAAUUUGGAAAUUUGCUUAUGAGAACCUGAAGAACCAGGAUGUUCUCUGAGAACACCAGGACUGGCCUGGCUAUUCAGGUUCUCUUGGGUUGCUGUGAAUUGAAAUCGUUUCUAUAAACUCCCUUUUAUUUAUUUACUUUUUGGAGGGUGAAGGAGUUAACUUCGGUAUGUCUUUGGCCCUUCUGGCUAAAGGGGCCCUAACUGAGGCAGGGAGGCUGUCCCGCAGGCUUUUUAGAGGCUAUGUGACCAUCUGAGGUGCAGCCAAAAAGGGACAAGCAAUGCCUGUGAGUGGGCAUCCUGCAUGCCCAGGAGACUGGCGCUCCUCAGGUCAGGUGCAUAAAUGAAGCACAAGUAACAUGAGUUCCAGACGAUGUAAUUAGCAGAGUGAUGUGAAUUAUUGCAUAAACAAAGGCCAAGAGAGCAGUUUAACAAUGUCUGUGGUUUGUGUACUAAAUAACUACUUGGAGUUGUGCUUGUUUCCAAGCUCCUUUUCAAAUGUUUGCUGGGGAUGAACAGUUAGAGACACCGAUACUUUGUGUUUACUCAGGGGCCUGGGCUUCUCCAGGUAGUUUCACACAGAUUACAUCCUGCAGGCUUCUCAGCAGCCCCUAGAGCAUCUGGAGGUGGGCUGGGAGAGCUGGGCCUGAAUCCCCCAGCUGGCCCCACUCCUCCGGAGCAACGUGCUCUUGGACAAAUUGCCUCUCUUCUCUCUUCCCUAGUUUUCCUCUGCUGUAAAAUGGAUCCCGGUCUCUGUGAGGCUCCAGAGAGCCUAUGUGUGCAGAGUACUGCAUAUAGUGCUAGGCAUACAACAGGUUCUGUCACGAGGUGACCAUGUUGUGCCCGCUGACAGAGUGUGUCUGCAGGGCAGGUCCCAUGUUAGAGAAACAAGCACAUUGUCUCUACCUCUCUGUGAGGUAGAUAUUCCUGCCUCCACUAAAAAUCAUCUGGGACUGAGUGAGGUCAAGCAGCUUUGCUCAAGUGGGGUUGCGCUGUGGCAGAGCGGGGACUCAGAACCCCGGAGGCAGUCUCUGGGUGCUGGGCUGACGCAAGCCCUCCAUGGUGCUCGGAGGGGUCUACACAGGUGAAAGACACAGGCUCUCUCUUUUCUAAUGGGCAGACAAGGGAAACUAGCAUACUAGAGCUUGGGAGGACCAGGGAGGGUUUCAUGCAGGGGGUGCCAGUGCUUUCCAGCUCUAGCCCAGCUCUGAAUCUCCUAUGGAGAGGGGGUGGCAGGACCCCCUGCUGAGGCUUCCACUGGCCUCACUGGCUGGAAUUCGCUAAGGCUUCCUUCUAAUUACUUCCAUCUCAGACCGUCUCCCUCACGUUGCUUGCCAGAGCUGGGGAGGAGGUCCUGUCAUAGACACCCCACACCUGAUUCAGGGAGGGAAGUCAUGCUCAUUUCCUUUCUCCUUGGCUCCUUAGCCCCCUUGCCAAAUGCUGAGCUUCCCUGAGCAUCCCUCCUUCCUUGCCAAGGCCAAGAGUGAACUGGCAGCUAGGAAUGGGAUCUCCAAGCUAGAGGCUAACGGUGGCCUUAAAAUUAUGUGCAGGAAUGAAUUCUGAGCCAAAGUGGCUUUUUCUUUCUCUCUUGAAAUUUUUUUAUAUUAAAAACCUUGUCAAGGGGCGCCUGGGUGGCUCAGUCGGUUGAGCGUCCGACUUCGGCUCAGGUCAUGAUCUCACAGUCUGUGGGUUCGAGCCCCGCAUCGGGCUCUGUGCUGACAGCUCAGAGCCUGGAGUCUGUUUCAGAUUCUGUGUCUCCCUCUUUCUCUGACCCUCCCCUGUUCAUGCUCUCUUUCUCUGUCUCAAAAUAAAUAAAUGUUAAAAAAAAUUAAAAACAAAAAACAAAAAAAACCUUGUCAAUGAUUUUUAAAUUGACUUGUACUCACUGCAACCAAUGAAGCUAUUGAAAGGAAAAAAGUUCAUAAACACCUUCAACUGGCCCAUAGCCCCUCUGGUGAUCAGUGCUAACUGCUUGUGGGUCAGCUUUCACAACUUUCUCUAUAUUCAUCGUUAUGGACUAAAUCAUGUCCCUUGCUACCAAAUUCGAAUGUUAAAGCCCCGCUCCCCACCCCCACUACCUAUAUUUGGAGAUGGUCUGUAAGGAGGUAGUAAAGGUUAAGUGACUAAUAUGGGUGGGGUCUUACAGAGAUGAGCCUUGAGAGGACACAGUGAGAAGACAGAGGUCUGCAAGCCAGACAGAGAGGUCUCACCGAGAACAACGCUGAUUGCAUCUUUACCUUGGUCUUCUGGCCUCCAGAAUCGUGAGAAAAUACAUUUCUGUUAUUUAAGCCACCUGGUCUGUGUAUUUUAUUAUGAGAGCCCUAGCAGACGAAUAUACUUGUAUAACCCCUACACAGAGAUCCAUGCACAGGGAAGAGUGGGUGCUUCAUUUGUUGUUUACUUGAACAAAAAUAGGAUCGUGCUAUGCUCACAUUGCUCUGAAGCUAGCUUUUCUCAUUAACAGUACUUACUGGCCACCUGGCUUCUUGCUCACACCCCACAUCCAAUUCCAAUAGGACAUCCUGCAGACCCCCCUUCAAAACUGAUUGGGGAUGUGACCACCUGCUGCUUCUGCCACAGGGUUAAGCUCCACCCUCUCUGUCAGGACAGCAGGCUCUUCACUCUUCUCGGCUCCCCCCGCCCCCUUGAGUCUGUUGUCACAGCAGCAGAGGGUGACGGUGCUUCUCAGCUCAGAACCCUCAGUGGCUUCCCAUCUUCCUCAGCGUACUUGAUGUUCCUAGAGCUCACCAACCACACUCCCAAGUCAUGGCUCUGGUUCCUGUCUAGACAGUCCUUCCUCCUGAAUGCCAUGAAGUUCCUUCCCUUACUUCCUUCCAGACUCUAUCUCCCAACCCACCUUCAUUAUUCUUCACAGCACCUACUUACCACCAUUACUUACAUAGUUAUUUGCUUGUCUGUGGUCUGUCUUUCUCCAUUAAGAGGUGAAUUCCACGAAUAGCAAACCUUGUCUUGUUCCCUGCUGUAUCCCUAGAACUUAGAAGAGUGCCAGGUUCAGGCUGAUGCUCAGUAAAUGUCUAAUGAAUGAAAAAGUGCAUAAAUCUCCAAAUCAGAUACAAGUCCCAGUCAGAUAUGUCAAGAUACAACUACCUUUUCAACAGUUGUGUAACAUCUGCUAAUGUGGAUGGACCCCAGUUUGCUCAACCAUCUCCCUAUUGACGAUGUUUAAAUUGUUUACACUUUUUCCUACUUUAAACAAUGUUUGUGCUAAACAUUUUUGCACAGCCACUCUAAUAUAUUGGUCCUUUAAUUUUUAUAGGAUAUUUUCCCUAAAGCUGGGUUGAGAUUGGCAUACUUAAAAUUUUAAUAGCCAUUACCAAAUUUCCUUAGUCACUGUUCACAGGCAAAUCCCAAAACAAGGCCUCAACCAUUUUCCCCAACCGGGUCCAGGGUAAUAUUGCCCUUAGAUCAGUCAAGAGUGCCUCCAUCCUGAGCCUCCACACUUUAGAGGGCCCCACAUGUCACAAAUGGAAGAAAUUAAAUGUCACAUGGGAACUUUUCUCCCAUGAGAUUCUGCAUUCAGUUCUGGGCUGGCACAGUGUGAUCUGUAACCCUGAACAUGAAUGCUCAUGACCUAAUACCCAAAGUCUCCACAUUUCCUCCUAUAAGUCUCAAAACAAAAGGCUGCUGAGUCCAAAUCCUGUGAAGGUUGUGCCCCUGCUGACCCUGGAGAUAGUCACUGCUUUGGAGUGAGAAAGAAUUUAAUUGGCUGGUAUGUGUCAAUAGAGAAGACAAAUUAAUUUGCUCCUCAGCUCAAAACCCUCUAGUGCCUUCCACUCCUCCCCUCAGAGAGCAUGAAUUCAGUGGGUCCUGGUGUAACUAAAUAUUAUUUCUCAGUGGUGCCAAGCAUCCACUUUUUUUCCCUUUUUUGUUCUCAUUUGUGGUUCCAGAGGCAUUCAGGAAUUAGCUUGUAUCCACAAUAGUUGCACACGAUAUCAAUGUCAGUUAUCGAUUGCUGUGCAACAAACCACACUGAAACUUAGUUGGUGGCUUAAAACAACAGUUUGCUUACAACUCUGGGCUACGCCAGCUGGGCAGUUUUUAUGCUGAUCUCCGUGAGGGUCGCAGCAGCACUACUGGGCCUGGAUGGUUCAAGAUGGCUUUGUUCAAAUGUCUGGCAGUGUGGUGGCUGUUGGCUGGGGUGCCUCAGUUCUCCAAAUAGCCUUAUACCUUCUAGACCUCUUUACAUAGUGGCAUAAAUGUCCCAAGAGGAAAGCAAAAGCUACAAGCUGCACAGUGUUACUUCUGCCUCAUUCUAUGGACCAAAUGAAGUAAGGGACACCCAGAUCCAAGGAGUGGGGUCCAAAGAAGAGAUUCUAUCUCUUGAUGGGAGGCAUGGUGAAAAUCUUAUUGCAAAGGAGCUGGGCGCAGGGAGGUGUGAUAUGUCAGGGACCAUUAUAUAACAAUAUACCUCUGUGUCUGGGGAACUUUUUGCCAUACAUUAGAAUUCAUAUUUUUCUUGCAUUUGUGUACGGGUAGUUGUGGUUGUAAAAUAUUUGAAGUGUGGUACCGAUUCUUUGCUUUGCUUUAGUAAGUGGACAUUAAAAUCCUAGAAUUAAUGAAGUUUUAUUUUUGUAACAAUAUUUAAUAAGAUUUAAUUUAAAAAGUCCAAAAAUUUAAUAUAAAAUGUGGCUUUAUUUAAAUACAUUUUAUUUAAAAUUUUUAUAUGAAUUAAGUUUUUUGUAUUUUGCUUUGUAAUGUUAAUAAUUUUGAAUGUUUUGAAAGAAAAACAGCUGUAUUUUGUAAACUCAGCUCUUUGGGAAUGAGUACAAAUCAAGUUGGGAUCAAUUUAGAAAAAAUGACAUUAAAGAUCAGAAAAGGAAAAAGGCAAAAAAAGAAAAGUAUUCAAAAAGAUGAUCAAAAAGAUCAUGUUUCUGGUAAAAACCAGAAACCUUGCAAGUGAGCAAUCUUCCAUUGAGCAAGUUUCUGAUAAAAUUUGUGAGCAGAGAACUUCACAGUUUGUUGAUUUAACGAACUUUUAAUUACUGAUAAAAACUGUGAAUGGGGUGCCUGGGUGACGCAGUUGGUUAAGCAUCUAUCUGACUUUGGCUCAGGUCAAACGUCACAGUUCGUGAGUUUGAGCCCUGCAUUGGGCUCUCUGCUGUCUGCGCAGAGCCUGCCUCAGAUCCUUUGUCUCCCUCUCUCUCUGCCCAUCCCCCACUGGUGCUGUCUCUCAAAAAUAAAUAAACAUUUGGGGCGCCUGGGUGGCUCAGUCAGUUAAGCAUCCGACUUUGGCUCAGGUCAUGAUCAACCGGUUGGUGAGUUCCAGCCCCCUGUCGGGCUCUGUGCUGACAGCUUGGAGCCUGGAACCUGUUUAGGAUUCUGUGUCUCCCUCACUCUCUGCCCCUCCCCCACUCACACUCUGUUUUUCUCUCUCUCAAAAAUAAAUAAACAUUAAAAAAAUAUAUACAUAUAGGGGCGCCUGGGUGGCGCAGUCGGUUAAGCGUCCGACUUCAGCCAGGUCACGAUCUCAAGGUCCGGGAGUUCGAGCCCCGUGUCAGGCUCUGGGCUGAUGGCUCAGAGCCUGGAGCCUGUUUCCGAUUCUGUGUCUCCCUCUCUCUCUGCCCCUCCCCCGUUCAUGCUCUGUUUCUCUCUGUCCCAAAAAAAAUAAAUAAACGUUGAAAAAAAAAUUUUUUUUUAAAUAUAUACAUAUAAAAAAUAAACAUUUAAAAAAACUGUGAAAAUGAACACGAAAAUUAUUCUCAAAUUCAUGACUUGAGCAGGUUAAAUCCUUGGAACUUCAUAUUUUUUGCUAAAUGAAGAUUCAAGUACAGAUCCACAGAAUAAGAAUGUGUGUGCCCUCCUUUUGCACUUUCCAGGGUCAGGGUGGUGAAAAUAUGCCCGUCAACUUCUCUCCCAGAGUCUGUUUUCAGAUUAAGCAGAACAGGGAGGAGACAUUCCAAGAAGCUGGUUCCUUGUCAGAUUCUUCAGGAGGGAGGGCCUCCCAGCUCACUCUGGGCCCCUGACGGCACUGGAGAAAGAGCUACAAAGAGCGCUCAAUCACGACAGCCUCUCUGGGUCCUGCCAGAGCAACCUGAAGGGGCUGGGCCCUGGUGCUCCGUUUCUGGUGUUCCCGCCACUGCACCCUUGGACUCCACUGGGCCUCUGCUCACCUGUCAGUCUGGAUAGGUGCAGGACCACUUCUGGAAACAAAGGCAGCUGUUUUUCUGUUUGCUUUUCCCUCCCAAAGCAGUGCAGAGCCAGCCCGGUCCAUGAAACGCCUAGCGGGGUCACUGUCAAGAGGCGGCCUUGUCAGAUCUACAUCUGGGGGCUGCCCCGAGUCACUCAGCGUAGUGUUAGAGCAUCAGUGCAAGGGGAAGGAGUAAACAGGGUCCUGCCUGGAGAGCAGAGCUGUCAGGGGAGGGCAUUCCCCGGAUGAGGUGAUGGAGGCCCAGAGAGGGGGAAGGGAUUUCUCCAGGUCACAUAGCUCCUCGGUAACAGAAUCAGAACUCUCAGUUUCCACUUCAGACUUCUUUCCAUUGUGUGAAUUAGGAAUACCGAGCUGUCUUGCCAUGUUGGUAGGAGCUUCUUAUUUUGUUUUAUUCCCCCUCCCUUUUGUAAGAUAGCCCUAUCGUGGUAAGUUAGUAGAAGGUGCACAGGCUCAGGGAUUGGGUGAGUUUAUCAGUGAGAAUACAAAAAUGUUUAAUGAAGAUAAUUACCUUCUCCCUUUCCCAGGACCCUCUGCUUCCUGAGGCGGCCCCACUUCCAGCCAUCAAAUCCUAUAGGAAACUUUUGUUUAGUCUGGGGUGUGGGUUACAUUUUCAACUGCAAAGACUUAGAACACAAGUUAGGGGGUCAUAAAAAGACCUCAGCAUCGUAUUUGUUAGGACAUGUGAAAAGUAAAUAUCCAGACUCCAUCGUGUGUAACAGCAAAAGUUUGGAAAUAAUUGUCCACCGAAAGAGGGCCGAUGAAAUGACUUACCAUACAUCCAUGCGGCAGCACGACGUGGAGCUAUAAAAAAGAAAUGACAUGAGAGCUUUCCUUUUUCGUUUAAAUUAAAGUUUCAGAUAGUUAAUAAUCUACAAGUAUAGUGAAAAGCCUCCCUCCCACUCUCUGCCAGCCACCUGCAGGCAACCAGCGCGAUCUGUUUCUUCUGUAACGUCCUGCACACAGGACCAUUUGCAUGGAUAGGCUUUUAAAAAAGAGAAACAUGUGGGGCACCUGGGCUGCCUAGUCGGUUAAGCAUCUGACUCUCGAUCUCAGGGUUGUGAAUUCAAGCCCUCUGUUGGGCUCCACGCUGGGUGUCGAAGCUCCUUUAAAAAUAUAAAAUAAAAAAGAGAAGUAUGUUAAAAACCACUUCCCAGUAUCUUACUUUCUCCACUUCUACAUAUUUAUUUAUUCAGUAAGUAUUUAGUGAGCACCUACUAUAUGUCAACCAUUCUUUUAGGCAUUUGGAAUUUGGUAGUGAACAAAAUAGAUCUAUUCUUUGCCUUCAUAGAGUUUACAUUUUUGUGGGAAUGAAUAAGCAAGUAUAUAUAUAUAGUGAUGUGGUAAGUGGUAUGGAAAAAAAAACACAGGAUAAAGGAAUAAGGAGUAUAUGUAUGUGUUGGUAUAUGGUGGUGGAGAUUGUUGCUAUUUUACAUAGAGUGGUUAGGGAAAGCCUUGCUGGUUGAAUGGUACUUGAGGUGAGCCUUGAAGAGAGUGAGGGAGUGAGCCCUGUAUAUAAUCUGGAAUCGAACAUUCAAAGUGGAAGUAAUAUCCUGCCCUAAGUCCCCGAGACAAGACAGUACUCUUUAUGAGGAGCAACAAAGCAAGCAUUGUAGCUGGAACUGAGUAGAUAGAUCUCAGAGAUAUUCUGUAUCAUGAGAACUUCCUAAUUUUUUUUUAACAUCUGCAUUUUAUUCCAUUGUGUGUAUGUACCAGUUUUAAUUAAGCUUACUGAUAGAAAUUUAGGAACCUAGUGGUCUCUUGUGAUUGCAAAGAAUCAUUUUAUUAAGUGGCCCUUUGCACAUGUGUGAGUUAUCUGUAGGAUUUAUUCCUAGAAGUAGAAUUGCUAGGUCAAGGGGGUGUGUAUUUGUAUUUUUUAAUAGAUUUUGCCAGACUAAAACCAUCAAAGAAGUUGUACUAUUUUUGCCCCCCUGCCUAUAAUAUGUUGAUUUUUUAAAAUCAUUCAACAAAUAUUUAUUGAGUACCUACCAGGGACCAGGUAAGUGCUGAAGAAUGGGAAUUGGAACAGAAACCACAAUUUGUCAAGCAUAUCUUGACUAACAAAACAGGUAAACUGUGCCAGACUAAGCUAUGAUGUACUUCACAUACUAUCAAAACUCAAAUACGUGCACCACUUUGUUCAGAUUCAUAAUUCCAAGGUAAGACCACUGACACAUUAAUUAUGUAGCUUACAAAAUCAAACCAAAGAGAUUAGAGCAAAGAGCACUCUGUGUCUAAAUAACAUCCAGGACAAAAUAUACCCAACAAUUAAGGAGAUCAUUUUAUUCAGGCUAGUGCAAUAGGAAAAGCAUUCAUUAAUGAGGAAAGCCUCAAGGAGGAGGAAGAAAACUUGUAGUUUUCUAAAGCAAGAUGGUCAUUGCAGAAGAGUAGAGGCAGGUCUUAUCUUGCAUAUAUGAGCCUGAGGUGAUCUUUUGGGGUUAGUCUUUUCUCUGUUAUUGUUCCAGUUUUAGCAUUUGUGCUUCUUAACCGAACACCCGUUAGCCGUUUCUCUGAACACAAAAAGGUGGGGGAUUUCUGAACUAUUAAAAAAUGCUAUCUCAGGGCGCCUGGGUGGCUCAGUCGGUUAAGUGUCCGACUCUUGGUUGCAGCUCAGGUCACGAUCUCACGGUUUGUGGGUUUGAGCCCCACGCUGAGCUCUGUGCUGACAGAUUCUCUCUGUGUGAUUCUCUCUCCCCCUGUCUCUCUCUACCCCUCUUCUGCUGUCUUACUCUCACUCUCAAAAUAAGUAAACUUUAAAAAAAUAAGAUAAAAAAUAAGAUAAAAUAUAUUUAAAAUGCUAUCUCACAUAGUUUUAUUUCUUUAAAUAAUAGCUCGAGAUAUAAUUUACCUACCAUACAAUUAACUCAUUUCAAGUGUACAAUUCACUGGUUUUUGGUAUUUCACAGAGUUGUGCAACCAUCAUCACGAUCAACUUUAGAACAUUUUCAUCACCUCUAAAAAGGCUUCAUGCCCGUUACAAUCACUCCCCAGUUUUCACUGCCUGGUGCUAGGCAACCACUACGUCACUUCCGGCCUUUCUGCUUCUUUCAUUUGGCUUCAUAAUUUCCAGGCUCAUCCAUGUCAAGUAUAAGUACUUCAUUCCUUUUUAUCGCCUAGUAAUAUUUCAUUAUAUAACGCAUUUUAUUUAUCCAUGUAUCUAUUGGUGGACAUUUGGAUUGUUUCCACUUUGGGACUAUUAUAAAUAAUGCUGCCAUGAACAUUUAGGUACAGGUUUUUGUGUGAACAUAUGUUUUCCAUUCUCUUGGCUAUAUACCCAGGAGUGGAAUUGCUGAGUCUGUUGGUAACACUAGAUUUAACCUUUGAGGGGCUGCCACACCGUUUUCCACAGUGAUCGUAACAGUUUACAUUUCAACCGGCAGUCUAGGAAGGUUCCAAUUUUUUAACAUCCUGCUGUAUGUUUAAGAACCUUCUAUAUAUUCUUUUCUGUGAAUUGUUUAUUUCCUUUGUUUUUCUUUGGUGAUAUUUUUUCUUUUUCUUGUUUUCUUUCUUCCAUCCUUUCUUAGCCUUUUCAAAGAAUCAGCUAAUUGAUUUACUUAUUAGUGCUACAAUUUGUAUAUAUUCGAAUUCAUUUAUUUCUCCUUCACUAAAGUAUUUUUGUUUUUAUUUUUAUUUUAGACAGAGAGUGCAAGUGGGGAAGAAGGGCAGAGCAAGAGAGGGAGAGAGAGAGAGAGAAAGAGAGAGAGAGAGAGAGAGAGAGAGAGAGAGAGAGAGAGAGAGAAUGUUAAGUAGGCUCCAUGCUUAGUGUGGUGCCCAACACAGGGUUCGAUCUCAUGACCACAAGAUCAUGACCUGAACUGAAAUCAAGAGAUGCUCAACUGACUAAGCCACCUAGGUGCCCCUAUUUCUUCUUUAUUAAUUUCUUCCUUUGCUUUUCUUAGGAAUAAUUCCCCAUUCCCCAACUUUCUUGAGUUUUAUGUUUAAUUUACUUACUUUAUUUUUGUUUUUACUAAUAAAUAUUUUUGAAUGUGUAUUUUCUCUCUGAGAACUGGUUUAGCUAUGGAUUUUGAUAUAUGCAGUUUUUAUUAACAUUAUUGUCUAGAUAUUCUACAGUUUCUUCUUUUUUUCCUCUUUUCCUUCUUUUCCCUUUUUGAACCCAGGGGGAGUUGUAAGUAUUCAAACAGUAAGGUCUUUUUAUUUUCUGGUUCUAUUAUUAAUUUCUAAUUUUAUUACAUUAUGAUUAAAGAAUGAUAUCUAUUAUUCUUUUUGGAAUUUAUUGAAAUUUUCAAUAAAUUCUUUUAAAAAGAUUUUUUUUUAUUUUUUUUUUAAAUUUUUUUUUUCAAUGUUUAUUUAUUUUUGGGACAGAGAGAGACAGAGCAUGAACGGGGGAGGGGCAGAGAGAGAGGGAGACACAGAAUCGGAAACAGGCUCCAGGCUCUGAGCCAUCAGCCCAGAGCCUGACGCGGGGCUCGAACUCACGGACCACGAGAUCGUGACCUGGCUGAAGUCGGACGCUUAACCGACUGCGCCACCCAGGCGCCCCUAAAAAGAUUUUUUAAGUUUACUUAUUUUGAGAGAGACAGAGAGAGUGAGGGAGGGGCAGAGAGAGAGAGGGAGAGGGAAAAUCCCAAGCAGGCUCGAACUCAUGAAACAUGAGAUCAUGACCCGAGCCGAAACCAAGAGUUGGACGCUAACUGACUGAGUCACCCAGGUGUCCCUGGAGACACCUCUUUUGACUUGGGAAACGCUUAACUGAUGAAGUUUGGGGAUGAUGGGGGGUUUGUGGUGUCUGGAGCCAACAGCCAAAAAAGAAUUCUUGAAGAUGUCUUUGGUGCAAAAAUGGUGAUUUUAUUAAAGCAUGGGGACAGGACCUGUGGUCAGGAAGAGCUGCACUGGUGUCAUGACAGGUAACUCAUUAUACACCCUCAGUUUGGCAGGGGGUCAGGGAUCGAGUAAGUCUCUAAGGAAUUUUGGAAGCAAGGUUUCCAGGACCUUGAGGGGUGAGCUAUUGCUAAGGUAGUGCCAUUUAUUACUGUUUAGUAAAACCUCAGUUAUGAGACCCUUCAGAUGUAUAUCAGGGGGCCAUAAGCUUGGAGUAUGAUUGCCAGCAUAUAUCUUGGGGCAGUUGAGAUAAAGGAAGUUGAUUUACAGGAUCCUGGAGGUUGGGAUAAUGUUAAACCAAGGUUCUCUUUUGCCCCUAGCAAAGUGUCAUCCUUGAGGCAGCUGAGCUGCUGGAGGGAAGUCGCUCUGCCAGUCUCAAGGACUUGUCAAUGGAUUACAGGCAGUAAAGGAAUUUAAUUUUUCAUUUGCUUUAGUUUCCCACAUUACCAUGGCAAGCGCUUAAACCCCUUUCCUUUGUUCUUGUGUGGCCAGGAGUAUCUGAGGAAUAUCACACAUACUCCACCUGGCAGGAGGGAUGAAGGGUGUGUGUGCCAUCCUGUAUUUUGCCCCCAGCUUGCCUCAUGCUCCCUCGUCAUUAACUACAUAACACAACAAUGUUACUUACCUUGUGUGUCCCUUGCUUUCCCAUAACUUGCCUCUCCUACCCCCAAACCCUGGACCUCUUUUCCCUUUGUAACCGGACCGACACGAGUUCACUCCUUGAUAAGUCACAGAUAUACCAGGUGGAGUUGUCACACACUCCAAACUGCAAAUUUUAUUUGCAGCAAAUCAGGAGAUCAAGGAAAAUAGCUUCCAAAGCUAUGAUUGCCGAGAGAGUGAAAUAGCUUCCAAAGAGUGUGAAUGGGUACCUUUUGUGUACGGUUAGGAUGAAUAUUGAGAUAAGGAAGUUCAGUUUUCAUAUGUAGAGGAGGGCACAAAGUCAUGUAUGUGCCUUCAGGAAACACGCCUCUACACACACUUUCUGUGUCAUGUCGGUGAGGCUUAUGCUCCUCCUUGAGCAGAGAUUUUAGUAUUAUAAUGGGGUAAAGGUAAUUGUCGGUCAUUUCACAGUCUGUCUGUACAGGCACAAGUCAGGGUUUUAGCUCAAACGGUCUGGGUGAAUUGUGUGGUGUGGGGGUUGGAUGUGGGGAGGUGAGAAUUUGGGGUUUUACUUGCCUGAGUUAAGAGAUAAGCCAGAAGGAAGAGCUUAAGAAAAAAUGUAAGACAGAGUGUAGUAAGUAUAAGCAGGUGGGCAGUAAUGGGCACAUCGUGGGAUCUAGCUGGUGACACCUUAUUUGGCUGAAGAUGGUAUAUAAGCCUCAAUCAUCUGGCCACCUCCUUGGCUCUCAUGUCUUUGUGAAACUCUCAUGCAUUGCAACUUGGAGGGAAAAAGGGAAGAGAUGGUUUUCUCCCCUUCAAUUACAUUACUUUUGGAAUUUAUUGAAGUCUUUUGUGACCUAAUUAUGGCAGAGUCAAUUAAUUUUGAAAAUGUUCUAGAGAUACAUGAAAAUAAAAUAAAUGUUUUAGUUUUCACAUUAUAAGUUCGAUAUACAUUAGGCAGCUCUACUUUUAAAAUUAUGUUAUUUAGGUCUUACCUUACGACCAUAGCCUAAAAGAGAGGUAAAUUAAUCUCACUUACUGAUGGGUUCCUAUUUCUCCUUGUAUUUCCUCUAGCUUUUGCUUUAUUAAUGUAUGCUAUUUUUACCCCAAUAUUUGUAAGUUAUAUCUUUUUUGUGACUCAUAAUCUUACUAUUAAAUAACUCUUAACCUCAUUUAAUGAUUUUUGUCCAGAAUUCACCCUAGUCUAGUAUGAAGAUCAUGAUGUGUGCUAAACUGUACACUUGCUUGAUAAAAACACCUUUUCUAAUCCUUUUCAAUCUUAAUUAUUUUGUUUUAUCAUUAGGUUUUACUUUGUGAUCUAAUAUGAGAGUCACUCUUAAUGGCUGAAUUUGGCCUUUUUAUGCUUAUUGAUAUGACAGUUAUGUUUGGGUCUGUUGUCUUUGUUUUAUCUUGUGUUUGUGUUUUUAGUGAGAAUUUGGAAGGGUUGUAUUUCUGUUCUAGUAGUUACCUUUAUAGCCUUGUUAAAAAAUGAUUUUCAGGGGCGCCUGGGUGGCUCAGUCGGUUAAGUGUCCAACUUCAGCUCAGGUCAUGAUCUCGCAGUUCAUGAGUUCGAGCCCCACGUCGGGCUCUGUGCUGACCGCUCAGAGCCUGGAGCCUGUUUCAGAUUCUGUGUCUCCCUCUCUCUGUGACCCUCCCCCGUUCAUGCUCUGUCUCUCUCUGUCUCAAAAAUAAAUAAACGUUAAAAAAAUUAAAAAAAAAUAAUUUUCAGAAAAAAAGAAAAGCAUGAUUGUUGCUUAGAUACAAGAAUGAACAUGUGUUAAAUAUUUUAUUUUACUCCUUUAUUAGCUAAAGAACCAGACAGGUGUUGUGACCGGUUCAGAGGAAAAGUCAAAGGAGCACAAAUUUAAAUGAAAUCAAGGGGUUGAAUUACAAAUGGAGGCAAAACUGGUUUUGCCUGGCUGGCUCAUUAGGGUAUGUGACUCUUUAUCUCUGGGUCCAGAGUUCAAACCCCAUGUUGGCUGAAGAGCCUACUUAAAAAUAAAUAAAUAAAUAAAUAAAUACGCAGUGAUUUAGAAAAAUAAUCCUAGUGCAACCCACACAUGUAUCAGAAUUUCAACAAUCAAUAAAUAAAGCCUUCUGAGGAUCUAAAUAAACCUCAAGUUUCUAAAUAAAAAAACAAACACAACAAACAAAAAAACCCCUGGUUUUUCCAGAAGGGGAAGGAAGUUAAAGGAAACUGCCAACCAAUACAGAUUUGCAUGAAAAUCAUUUACCUGCAGUUAACAAAGAAGUGCAAAAUAGCUCAAAGACAAUGAACAGGGCCAAAACGAAACAGCCAGAAGUGUGUAUAGAUGAUGCACAGCUUUUCAUUGAAGUACAUCUCCUUCUAUAGUCUUAAAAUUAUGUGAUACCCUUUUAAUCAUCUAUUUCCUUAAACAUAUGCACCAAUUUUUUGUAGGUUGAGCAGCUCAUCCUAUGUUCGGCACUGAAAGUCCCAUGUCCUGGGAAACCUUCAGUCCCUGGAAAACAAGGACAGAUGGUCACCCUAAUUUUCUAUUAUAAGCAAUGGUGGAAUUACUUUAUUUCCUCUUCCUUCCACUUCCUUUCCGAGGAAGCUCUUUCUAUACCAGUGGUAUGCAACCUUGACUGCACCUGAAGAAGCUUUUUAAAAUCCUGAUGCCUCGGCCUCACCCCCAUGGAUUCUAAUUCAAUUGGUCUGGGAUGUGGCUUGCACAUCUGGGAGCUUUAAAGGCUAUUUAGAUAAUUCUAAUGUUUAGCCAAGAUUGAGAACCACUGGUAUUUAAAGAUAUUGAACUUUCUUCAAGAUGUACGGAGUGCAGAACAGUGUGUGUGAUAUGCCCCCACUAUGUAGAAGAUGGGAAAGAAGAAGAAAAUAUUUAUAUAGAUGCAUAAACUAUCUUUGGAAGGACCUAGAAGGAACUGUUAACAUUGGUUCCCGCCAGGAAUGUCAGCUGGAGAUUGGGAAGGAGACUUUUCGCUGCCUACAUUUUGACCUUGUGAAUCUGUUAUCUAUUUUUAAAUGUUAAAGUUCUACUUCCUUAAUCUGGAAAGAGCAUCUACUGCCCUGAAAGAGUAGAUAUAUAAUUAAAUAGACAGUAUGAUCUUUUAUUUUUUUUUAAACUCCCAACAUAUACAAAUUUAACAGCAACACAACAAAAAGCUAUGCAUAGAAAACAUUUUCUGAGGAAGGAAAUUUAAAAUAUAUGACUACAAAAUUACAUUAAUAUAUUACACCACAAAAUUAAAAUAUAUACAUAUAUACAAAUAUACAUACACCUACAUAUAUAUAUGUGUGUAUAUAUAUAUAUAUAUAUAUAUAUAUAUAUAUGAAUACACAUACAAACACAUAAAACAAAGGGAGUUUCCAUGGUAGAAUUAUGGCUUUUAUUUCUUGUAUCUUUUUAAAAGCUAUAAACCAUACUCAUUAUUUUUACAAUAAAAAAUAAAACUUAAUAAUCAUGUUUUUAUCCAAAGGCAGAGCUUUGGCUCCGCUGGAAGGAGUCAGCUUUGUCUUGCUGAUGUGGGGGCUUUUGUUCUUCUUCCUUCCUUCCUGUGCCAUGUGGGAUCCUCUCUUGCUCAAGAGGAAGCCCUGCUGCUGAGACUUCAAAAUCAGCCCAUGUGCCUCAUGGCAACACCCGGAGAAGGGCCACCACUGGACCUGGGCAGCUGCCAGCGAAUGCCCAGGCAAACUUUACUGAUCGCUUCCCACACUAUGAACGCCGCGCUGGACUGUGUUGGGGGCAAAAGGUCAGCAGACAGGACUUUGCCAACAAGGCCCUGCCUGUCUGAGGUGGAGGCCAGGACAUAUGCACAUAAACAGGCUUGUCCUAACAUUUAUGGGGCCAGGACGAGAGUAUCAGUAGAGGCGCACACUACACUAUCCAAGUAUUUAAAAGUUGUAACACAAGCUAACACACUGUUGACUGAAAUAUUAUCUAUAUUCUAUUCCUUUGAUAAAUAUAACUUCAAAUGACCUGAGAAGGCCAGAUUUGAAUACAGAAUUCCCUCUUAUUCCUUGGAGUUCUGUGUAUGGACAUAGCUGUAGUGGGCAUCUUCUCACAUGCCCCCAUGCCAAUCUCUUGAUUGGGUAAUCCCCUCCUCUUGAGUAUGGGCAAGACCCAUCACAUGCUUCUAACCAAUUGAAUGUGGCAAACAGGAUAGGAUGUCACUUCCAUGGUUAGGUUAAAUAAAAUAGUGACUUCUGUCUUACUAGUAGACUCUCCCUUCCUGGCUUUGAUGAAGAAAGUUGCCAGGUAGGAGAGGCCUACGUGACAAGUGCAAUGUGGGUGGCUGCCAGUUAACAGUCAGUAAGGAACCAAGGUUUGCAGUCCAGUGACCCUUGAGGAACUAAAAUUCUGCCAACAGUAGUCUGAGCUUAGAAGCAGAUCCUUCCCCAAUCAAGCCUUCAGAUGACCCUCCAGCCCUGGACAACACCUUGUGAUAGAUCCUGAAACAGAGGACCCAUCUAAGCCCUGCCCAGAUUCCUAAUGCACAGAAAUUGUAAGAUAAUAGAUAUGUGCCAUUUUAAUCACUAAGUCUGUGGUAAUUUUUGACACAACAAUAGAAAACUAAGAUAAUGGCUCUGUUGGAAGAGUUGGCCUUCAGCUGUGGCUCCCAGCUAGUCACCUAUUCAUUUUCUCUUCCUACCUCCUCUCCUCUUGAAUCUUGAGGGGCCUCAAGUUCAUUUCUAUAGAUACCCCAGUUUUCAUGUCAGUUCUAUCAUUCCCACUCCCUACUCCUGGAUACCCUUCAAACCUAGAGGUAUGCACUUCCUUAGCUGGUACUACCGAUGGGAGCAAUGCUUCCCUUGGGAGUACAGGCCAGGGGACAAUUCCAAGCAAGCCCUGGGAAUGGCUCAAGGUCAUUUGUACAGCACAUUCCAGGGUCCUAGGUACUCAGAACAUCCUAGGAGUGGGACUUCAUGUCCUUGCCCUGCCCCACCCCUGACUCUCCACCCCCCUGGAAAGAGCAUGGCUAGAGAAAGGACAGAGCAAGGCUCACCAAAGCACAGGCCACUCUAAGGCCAACAACUGCACUCUCGAGAAGCACUGGUUGAGGCCCAGGUAGAUUGGAUCUGACUCAGAAAGCUGCCUGAAGAGCAUAAAUAAGCAGACUGCCGCACAUCUGAGGGAAAUCUUCAAAGGGAGCUGUUGGUUUAGCUGGACCAUAAAAGUGGGAGGGCUUAGGGAGCAGGAGGAAUGGGAAGGCCUCCAGCAAAUCAGCCAGAAAUGAGCUGUUGGUUCCCAGUGAUGUAGUUUCUUUAGAGCAGAGUGAUGAGGAGUUUGGGCUGUGGAGUCAGAGUACAUCUGUUCAAAUCCUGCCUCUACACCCUGGUAUGUCACUUUAGUCAAAUUACCUAAACUUCUCUGAGUAUCAAUUUCCUUACCUGUAAAAUGGUCAUAAUAAUAGUAUCUAUCCCAUAAAUUUGUGGAGAGGAUCAAUACAUGUAUAAUGUCUGGUAAAUGCUUCCUGAAUAUUGGCUAUCAUUAAGGAAACUGAGGCUCAAAACAGAUGAAAGAUUAUCUUUUUGCUCCUCAGUGCCACUUGCCUUGCCUUAGAGGCAAAAAGGAGAAGCAAGGAGGAUUUUAUUCAGUUCCUAGAACACUGAAUGAACAUGUUUCUUUCAUGUUCUAGAACAUGAAAGAACAAUAAGCUUUCAUGGUAUGGGAGCCAGGGGCAAGCCUCCCUAAGAUGGACCACUUUGGAAUGAAUAUUAUUUUGAGUUAAAAGCAAUCCAAACCCAGCAGAUUCAGGAAAAGCUCUUUACCCGUGCCCCCCCCCCCACCCCAACUGCCUGCAACCAGGAAAAGAGCUUUUAACAGAUAUUCCCCUUUACCUAAGAAACUUACCAGCAUAAUAGGGCAACCUUUGUUUUCCAAACAUCUCCUGCUAAGGGUCUCUCCUCCCUUUGUAUCCUUAGACCCCACUUUCUCCUUAGCUCAUAUAAGCAUCAUGUUGCCUCACUGUCUUUCAUAAUUCCAUGUCUGUGUGGAUUCCCGUACAUAUGCUAUUAGAUUCGAUUUUCUCUUGUUAAUCAGUUUCAUGUCAAUUUGACUCUUAGUUCAGCUAGAAGGACCUUGAAGUGUAUAGUAGAUUCUUCCUCCUCAAUAAUGACAACUUUCUGAGCAUGGUCCUAACUCACACCUUUCUUCCUCAGAUUUCAUGACAACCAAAAUGGGGCAAUGGGAAAGUGCUGCUGGAGUGACCAGAUCAGGGGGCCAUGGUGCGUGCCUAUCCUUGACAAUGGUGUGCCAUUGGACAAGGCACCUGGUCUCUGUUGCCUCAUCUGUGAAGUGAAGGGGUUACCAGCGUGCCUCAAAGUGUGGACCACAGACGUGUGGCCUUGGCAUCACUUGGAGCAUGUUAGAAGUGCAAAAUCUCAGGCUCCACCUGGACCUACUGACUCAGAAUCUCUGGGGCUGAAGCCUGAGAAUUUGCAUUUUUAACACACUCUCUAGGUCAUUUUUGGCUCACUGAGGUUGGAGGACCACUGUGGUGGACUGUCAGAAGUUGUCACAGACCUGACUCUGCAGAUCCCCUCAGGCACUGAUGCAAGAAGUCCCAUGGGCUGGGCUUCCUGGUACCAUGCCUGCCCAAUACUGGCCUCCACCAGAGGCUUCAUUUUCAUAGGCACCUAUGGGCAUCUAAGGAAACAGGUGUUGUGCUUUUGCUCAUUAGAGUUUAGAAACUGCUUGCUGUGGUAGGAGUGUUUGUGUCUCCCCAAAUUUGUAUCUUGAAAUUCCAGCCCCCAAAGGUGAUGGUAUUAGGAGGCGGGGCUUUUGGCAGGUGCUUAAGUCUUGAGGGUGGAGCCGCCAUGAAUGGGAUUAGUGCGCUUUUAAAAGAGGCCCCUACCCUCUUUGCCAUGAGAGGAUACAAUGAGAAGUCAGCAACUCCGCAGAAGGGGGCCCUCACUUGGCCGUGCUAGCACCCUAAUCCUAGACGUCUAGCCUCUAGAACCAUGAGGUAGAAAUUUCUGUUGUUCUGAGAUGUUUUUGAAAAGUAUCAGCCAGAAAAAGAAAAAUUUCAAAAAGAACAGGCCAAAAACCGCUCAACAAAAUUAAAAAGCAAAGAAAAUGACUGUUUCCUACAUAAAUAAAAAGUUAAAAUUGUACUCACUCCUAAUUUCUGCUAUCUAACCACUUUUCUUCAUCUUGUUCUCUGACUCAGUACAUUCCAGACUGUUCAAUGGGUUUGUAAUAAACCAUAAAUAAAUAUAACUGUCAUUUGUAAAAUCAUGUCAAGGUGCUAAAAUUAAACUAUAUUGAGAAAAAAAAAGAAAUUUCUGUUCUUAAGCCACCCAGUGUGUGCUUGCAAUAGCAGCCUGAAAAGACUGGGGGCAGGGCUGGCUAUAUAAUUUGUGGGGCGCAGUGCAAAAUGAGAAUGCAGGGCCCCUCGUUCAAAAAGCAGGAGAAAAGCUUUUCUCUUUCUUCUGUGGUCUCCCUCUUGACUUCUCCUGUGUUUUAAAAUUUGCCAUUUAAUGUCAUGGUCUCUUAGGCAUGGGGACACUUGCAGGGUGAGCACAGGCCCUCACAAGGCUUCUGGGGCACUUUGCCUCAACUCCCACCGUCCCUGUGUUUGCACCCAGGUCCCUGCUGAGGGCGUUGCAGUUUACAGGCAGACCUCUGAGCUCCGGUUGGAGGAAAAGUGAUCGCAGCUGGGAGAAAGCAGAGCAGCCAGCAGCAAGCAACAUGGCAUUUGGGGUGAUUAAUGAAUGCAUUUGGAAAUUUCCUCCUGCUUUGGCCUCAGCCUGCACCUGAACUGUGGUUUAUGCAGCAGUACAUUUCUGUAUAAUCUCUUUUGACAGCCAGGCGGAGGGCAAACCCACAAGACUAACCCAAUUACAGUAAAAGAGAGAUCUGGCUGCUCCCUGUUGACAAGGUCAGCACAAGGGCAUCCCAAUUCAGGGAUAUAGUGCUUCUGGACCAGUGAGCUGCCGGCACAGAAAGUACUUUCCUGUCCAGUCUUUGCCGUAUUUUUACUUCGUGACAAAUGGCGGCUGUCACUCCUGGGCUAUGUCAAGUAGGGUGAUGUGAAAGGGAGCCAUGUGGAAUGGGCUUCCUGUACCCCCGCAGCCAGGCCUGAGAUGCAUCAGCCCAGGAGAGGAUGUACAGUGGUCAGAUCCCUCCUCAGGGACUUAGAAAACCCGAGGUCUCUUCCGAUUCUGUAUCUCAUGGAGUGGCCUUGGGUAGACAUUCAGCCUCCCUGGGCCUCAGUAUUCUCAUCUGUAACAUAAAGAUGUUAACUUAGAUUUUUUUCCCCCAGCCCUGCUACUCUCUUAUUUGACAUUCCAUCUGGUCAAGGAUUUAAAAGAGUUAUUUCAGUCUGUGCAGUUGAUUUUAUAGGAAGAGCAUGAAGAACAUAGGGCAAAGUGAGAUAUAAACUGUAAGGUGGGUUGGUUACAUCAUGAAAGUCUAAAAAAUCAUUAAAGGAUUUGAUGCUUCUUUGUAGGCUAUGGGGAACCAUUGAAGGUAUGUAAAGAGGAAAGGGAUAUGUUCAGGGCUGAACCUGAGAAAGAUGAAGUAGGAUGCCAAGUUUCAGAAGACCUGAGGAUAAAAGUAGCCAGUUAAGGGGCUCUGCGCAUGUGUUUGCCCUUACCAGACAGUAUCAAAUUGCCUUCCUGAGGACUGAGUUUACACUCCGCUCAGCAGGCUAAGGGAGUUAUUUCCUCAUACACUCAUUAUUAUUUGGCAUUAUCAGACUUCUGCAUUUUUGCCAACUAAAUGGGUGUGAAUUCACAUUUCAUAGUAAUUUAUCUUGCAUUUCGCCGGUUAGUAAUAUGGUUGAACAUCUUUUUGUGUAUGUAUUUGAUUGUUUUAAAGUAAUCUCUAUACCCAAUGUGGGGUUCAAACUCAUGACCCCAAGAUCAGGAGUCACAUGCUCUACUGACUGAACCAGCCACGUGCCCCACGUUUAUUGGGUAUUUAUGUUUCCUCUCCCGUAGUUUCCUGUUCAGUCUUUUGUCUAUUUUUCUUUAUGUUGUUUUAAAAUCUCCCCUACCCCCUUAGAUUCUGGAUACUAAUCUUUUGUCAGUUACAUGCAGUACAAAUGUAUUUUCCCAGUUUGUAGUUUUGUUUAUGGUGAUUUUAGAAAAGCAAUCAGGUAAUUGUUACAGUUGAACUUGUCACCAUUUGUACUUAUAGUUUGUUCUUUGAUAUCUUUUGAAGAAAUUCUAAUCUACUCUGAAAUCAUAAAGCUAUUUUUUUUCUCCUGUCUUUUCUAAAAAUUUUAAUGUUUUCUUUUUCAUUUUUAGGCCUUUGCACACUGAACUUAGGUUUGUAUAUAAUAUAAGAUAAGGAAAAUAGGUUUGUGUAUAUGUAGGAUAAGGAAAGAUCAGAUUGGAUCUAAUUUUAUCUUUUUUCACAUGGAUACCUAGUUGUCCCGGCACCACAUCCUGAACAGGUUCAUAGUUCAGCCAGCAAAAGGUAAGGCUAGCCAAGUUGCCCACUCUCAGGAUGGCAAGGAUCUGGAGCUGAGAGUGAGCACCUUCAUUUUUGCACCCUGGGCACCUUGCUUUCCUCAUUCUAUCCCUGCCUUGCUGUCAUUCUUCCCUUCCAGGGAAGCCAGCCUCUGGCAGAAAGGCUUGUCCUGAUUCAGACACACGUAAGACAUUGGAUCUCCUGUCUAGGAAUGUAGGUUCCUGAGACAGGAGAGUCUUUGUUUAGAAAUUUUAAUUUCAGUACAGUUACCAUACAUACACAUUAGUUUUAGGUGUGCAAUAUAGUGAUUCAGCAAUUCUGUACAUUACUCAGUGCUCAUCAUGAUAAAUGUGCUCUUAAUCCCCAUCACCUAUUUGACCCAUCCCCCACCCAUCUUCCCUCUGGUAACCAUCAGUUUGUUCUCUACCGUUCAGAGUCUGGUUUUUGGUUUGUCUCUUUUUUUCAUUGUUUUGUUUUUUAAAUUCCACAUAUGAGUGAGAUCAUAUGGUAUUUAUCUUUCUCUGGCUUAUUUUGCUUAGCAUUGUAGUCUCUAGAUCCAUCCAUGUUGUUGCAAAUGGCAAGAUUUCAUUUUUUUUUUUUUUUAAUGGCUGAGUAAUACAACAUUGUGUGUGUGUGUGUGUGUGUGUGUGUGUGUGUAUCUUCUUUAUCCAUUUAUCUAUUGAUAAAAGAUAUCUUCUUUAUCCAUUUAUCUAUUGAUAGACACUUGGGCCGCUUCGUAAGUUGGCUAUUGUAAAUAAUACUGUAGUAAACAUAUGGGUGCAUAUAUCUUUUCAAAUUAGCAUUUUCUUAUUCUUUAGGUAAAUACCAGCAGUGGAAUUACUGGAUCAUAUGGUAGUUCUAUUUUUAAUUAAAAAAAUUUUUUUUUAACAUUUCUUUAUUUUUGAGAGAUAGAGCAUGAGUGGAGGAGGGGUUAGAGAGAGAAAGGGAGACAUAGAAUCUGAAACAGGCUCCAGGCUCUGAGCUGUCAGCACAAAGCCGGCUGUAAGUCUUGAACCCAUGAACUGUGAGCUCAUGACUUGAGCUGAGGUUGGAUGCUUAACCAACUAACCCAGGCACCCCUGUUUUUAAUUUUUUGAAGAACGUCCAUACUGUUUUCCAUAGCAGCUGAACCGAUUUGUAUUCCCACCAACUGUGCACAAGGGUUCUUCUUUCUCCACAUCCUCACCAACACUUGUUUGUUGUGUGUAUAUUUUUUAAAGUUUAUUUAUUUUUGAGAGAGAGUGAGUGCGUGCAUACACACGUGCUGGAGUGAGGGAGGGGCAGAGAGAGAGGGGGAGAGAGAAUCCCAAAUAGGCUCUGUGCUGUGAGGAUGGAGCCCUGACUGGAUCUCAGGAACCGUGAGAUCAUGACCUGAGCCAAAAUCAAGAGUCAGACGCUUAAUUGAUUGAACCACCCAGGUGCCCCUGUUGUGUUUUUAAUUUUAGCCAUCUGACAGGUGUGAGAUGAUAUCUCAUUGGGGUUUUGAUUUGCAUUUCCUUGAUGAUGCGUGAUAUUGAGCAUCUUUUCAUGUGUCUGUUGGCCAUCUCUAUGUCUUCUUUGGAGAAUGUCUCUUCAUGUCUUUUGCCCAUUUUUUAUUUGGGUUUUUGCUAUUAAGUUGAAUAAGUUAUAUAUUUGUUUUGGAUACUAAUUCUUUAUUAGAUACAUCAUUUGCGAAUACCUUCUCCCACUUAGUAGGUUGUCUUUUACUUUUCCUUUGCUGUGCAGAAGCUUUUUAUUUUGAUGUAGUCACAAUAGUUUAUUUUGCUUUUGUUUUCCUUGCUUCAGGAGACAUAUCUAGAAAAAUGUUGCUGUAGCUGAUGUCAGGGAAAUUGUUGCCUGUGCUCUCUUCCAGGAUUUUUAUAGCUUCAUGUCUCAUAUUUAGGUCUUUCAUACAUUUUGAAUUUUCUUUUGUGUACUCUGUAAGAAAGUGGUCCAGUUUCACUCUUUUGCUGGUAGCUUUCCAGGUUUCCCAACACCAUUUAUUGAAGAGACCGUCUUUUAGUUAUUGCAUAUUCUUGCCUCCUUUGUUAUAGAUUAAUUGACCCUAUAAAUUUGGGUUUAUUUCUGGGUUCUCUAUUCUAUUUCAUUGAUAUAAAUCAUGUAGGUGUCUAUUUUUGUACCAGUCCCAUACUGUUUUGAUGACUAUAGUUUGUAGUAUAUCUUGAAAUCUGUGAUACCUCCAGUUUUGUUCUUUUUUGAGAUUUCUUUGGCCAUUCAGGAUCUUUUGUGGUUCCAUACAAAUUUUAGGAUUUUUUGUUCUAGUUCUGUGAAAAAUGCUCUUGGUAUUUUGAUAGGGAUUACAUUGAAUCUGUAGAUUGCUUUGGGUAGUAUAGACAUUUUAACAAUAUUUGUUCUUCCAAUCCAUGAGCAUGGAACACAUUUCCAUUUAUUUAUGUCAUCUUCAAUUUCUUUCACCAAUGUUUUAUAGUUUUCAGAGCAUAGGUCUUUCAUCUCCUUUGUUAAGUUUAUUGCCAGGUAUUUUACUAUUUUUGGUGCAAUUGUAAAUGGGAUUGUUUUCUUAAUUUCUCAUUCUGCUACUUCAUUAUUGGUGCAUACAAAUGCAACAGAUUUGUUAUACUACAACCUUAUUGAAUUCAUUUAUCAGUCCUAGUAGUUUUUUGGUGGAGUCUUCAGGAUUUUUUUAUGUAUAAUAUUCAUAUCAUCUGCAAAAUAGUGACAGUUUUACUUAUUCCUUACCAAUUUGGACGCAUUUUAUUUCUUUUUCUUAUGUGAUUGCUGUGGCUAUCUUGGGGGAAAGCUCUCAGUGUUUCACCAUUGAGUAUGAUGUUUACUGUGGGUUUUUCAUAGGGGUUUAUCAUGGUGAGGUAUGUUCACUCUAAUCCUACUUUGUUGAAGGUCUUUAUUAUGAAUGGAUAUUUUACUUUGUCAAAUGCUUUUUCUGCAUCUAGUUGAUUGAUUUGCAAAUACUGAGCCACACUUGCAUCCCAGGAAUAAAUCCUAUGUGAUCGUGGUGAAUGAUUUUUUUAAUGUACUGUUGGAUUUGGUUUGCUACUAUUUUGUUGUGGAUUUUUGCAUCUAUGUUCAUCAGAGAUAUUGGCCUGUUAAUUCUUUUUUUGUAGUGUCUUUAUGUGGUUUUGGUAUCAGAGUAAUGCUGGCUUCAUAGAACGCAAUUCAUAGAAUGAGUUUGGAAGCUUUCCUUCCUCCUCUGUCUUUUUGAAUACUUUGAGAAAAAUACGUAUUAACUCUUCUUUAAAUGUUUGGUAGAAUUUGCUUGUGAAGCCAUCUGGUCCUGGACUUCUGUUUGUUGGGAGUUUUUUGAUUACUGAUUCAAUUUCAUUACUGGCAAUCGGUUCGUUCAAAUAUUCUGUUUCUUCCUGCUUCAGUUUUGGGAGGUAAUAUGUUUCUAGGAAUUUAUCCAUUUCUUCUAGGUUGCUCAAUUUGUUAGGCAUAUAAUUUUUCAUAAUAUUCUCUUAUAAUUCUUUGUAUUUCUGUGGUGUUGGUUGUUAUUUCCUCUCUUAUCUGAUUUUGUUUCAGACCUUUCUCUCUCUCUCUCUCUCUCUCUCUCCCUCUUUCUUUCUCUCUCUUUUUGAUGAGUCUGGCUAAAGAUUUAUCAAUUUUAUUGAUCUUCUCUUUUAAAAAUUUUUUUAUUUUAUUUAUUUUUUUAUUUAUAUAUAUUUUUUCAAUUGUUGAUCUUUUCAAAGAACCAGCUCCUGGUUUCAUUGAUCUGUUCUAUUGGCUUUUUGGUUUCUAUUUUGUUUAGUUCUGCUCUAAUAUUUAUUAUUUCCUUCCUUCUACUGAUUUGGGGUUUUGUUUGUUCUUCUUUUCCUAGCUCUUUUAGCUGCAAGGUUAGGUUCUUUAAUUGAGAUUUUCUUGCUUCCAUAGGUAAGCCUGUAUUACUAUAAACUUCCCUCUUAGAACAACUUUUGCUGCUUCCCCAAGAUUUUGGACCAUUGUGUUUUCAUUUUCAUCUGUCUCUGUGUAUUUUUAAUUUCCUCUUUGACUUUUUGGUUGACUCAUUUAUUGUUUAGUAGCAUAUUAUUUAAUCUCCAUGUAUUUGUGCUCUUUCCAGAUUUUUUCUUGUGGUUGAUUUCUAGUUUCACAGUGUUGUGAUCAGAAAAGAUGCAUGAUAUGACUUUAAGUUGUUUUAACUUGUUGAGACUAGUUUUGUGGCCUAAUAUGUGGUCUAUUCUGGAGAACGUUCCAUGUGCACUUGAGAAGAAUGUGUAUUCUGCUGUUUUAGGAUGGAAUGUUCUGAAUAUCUGUUAGAUCCAUCUGCUCCAACAUGUAAUUCAAAGCCACUGCUUUCUUGUUGAUUUUCUGUUUGGAUAAUCUAUCCAUUAAUGUAAGUGGGGUGUUAAAGUCCCCUACUAUCAUUGUAUUACUACUGAUUACUUUCUUUAUGUUUGUUAUUAGCUGCUUUAUUUAUUUGGGUGCUUCCCUGUAUGGUUCAUAUUUACAAUUGCUAUAUCUUGUUGCUGGAUUUUUCCCUUCAUGUUUAUAUAGAAUCCUUCUUUAAGGCAGGAGAGUCUUUAUGAAGAAGAAAGAAAAGGAGCCCUGAAUCUCCUGUCUGCUCCAGGCUAAAGAAGGAGAGAAGCCUGGGUGGGAGAGGGAGGGGAGAACAGGUCCAUUGUAUUGCCCCUGAGGUCCUGUUGAAGGUUUCAUAGUUUUAUGACACUUCUGGGGGGAAGGGGCUGGUGCAACAGGGAUUGUCUCCUCCAUGCUGUCUUGAGUGGACCCUGAAGGGUCUGGUACUUGUAGAUUCUGCUCCUUGCCUUCUCCAGAGAAUGUGGGAAGUUCUUGAGGGCACCCUAGAAAGUUUAAGCUACUGCAUAGAUGUAGGACAGGGAACAGUAGAAGUAGAGAAAGAUUUUCUUCUUUUAGUUCUCUUUUAGUCUUCCUAAAUGUAUCUGGAAGAAACCCUUCCUUUGUUCUAUCUGGUCUAGCCUCUCCUAAUACUUGCUAACCUCCUUUUUAACUCCUAGAGAUUGGACCUCAGGCUGUGGAACCUCAGGGGCUAUGGUAUCUGACUAAAUAUUUAAUCACAUUGUUUUGUUUUCAUUGUAUUCAUUUUUGGAGGUUUGCCUUCUAUUCUGGCGAGUAAUGGCAGUUUGCUAUUACUGAUGCUAAUAGAAAGUUCCUUUUUAAAAGUUUAUUUAUUUAUUUUGGAGAGAGAGGGAGAGAGAGAGAGAGAGAGAGAAGAGAGAGCAAGUGGUGGAGGGGCAGAGAGGGAUGGGGAGGGAAUCCCAAGCAGGCUCUGCACUGUCAGCGUGGAGACCAAUAUGAGGCUCGAACUCUUGGACUGUGAGAUCAUGACCUAAGCAGAAAUCAAGAGUUGGAUGCUUAAAGAACUGAGCCACCCAGGUGCCCCCAAUUUUUUUUAAUAUAUGCAUUAGAGCAAAGAAGUUUGUCAUAUGUAUAUAAAAUCUUAUGGAUGUGUGCAUUUGGAUAAAGAGAUGUAGGAAAGGAGGGUCACCAAAAUGGUGAUGGUGGUUAUCUUACAGUGAUUUUUGUUUUCCUUAUUUUUGUGUGUGUUGUUUGCAUUUUUAAUAAUGAGCAUAUAUUAUUUACAUAACCAGGAAAUAACUAUUUUUGUUAUGGAUAAAGGUGUGUGUAUAUAUAUAUAUAUAUAUAUAUAUAUAUAUAUAUAUGUAUAUGUAUAUGUAUAUAUAUUUAAAGGAAUGUAUUAAGUAUGUAAUAAUAUAAGGAAUAUGUGGAUUUGGCUACAUGGUUGACUUAGCCUGAUGAAGGUAGGGCUCAUUCUGGGAGACUGUGAAGAACGAGGAGGAGCUGGCUGAACCCAGGCUAAGAGCAAGGACAGGUUUGCUAUCAUGGAAAAUUAGGUGCCUAGCUCACAGGGGCUGUACUUUGUUCUUUCAGUAUUGUUCAGAAGAUUCCAUUUAAGAAUCUCAGUUAUUACUUCUGAAUCAGGUAAAGUAUUGGUCCUUUUUGGUGGGAUGGUGUGUUAGAUCUUUGCCUAGCCUACAUUUACAUGCCCCCGGUUGAGGUGGACAAAGGGAACCUGGCCAGGGUCUAGAUGUUUCUGAUUUGUGAGUGCUGUCCUGUGAAUAGUCUGUUGUACCAGAGCAGACAGGAGAUAGACUUCUAUGCUGGGUUGUUCCCCAUCUGCAGAGCACCCACCAUCUGGUUCUCUUCUCAAAGAGUCCUGGCAGCUAGUGCCAUUUCAUGGUGCUGGCCCUUUCCCAGGGAGGGCAUAAUUUAACAGGAGUCCCUUGGGCAAGCAUUCCUGAUAUGUAGCCCUAGGAAUUUACUGCCCUCAGGAGAAGACUCUUUUUCAGAUCACACCCAAGUUACUGUUUAAUCUUCAGUGGAGCCAACUUUGUCCAGACACAACAAAGAACAGACAAUCCUAGACCUUCCUUGGGAAUUUACCUGCUUUAUGAUCUGAUUCCUGUUCUGGGUGUCUGAUUAUGGGCUAGAGAGGGGUUGGGCUGAUGGUGUCCACCAAUCAUGAGAUAAUACAAACUAUGUAGCCACUAAUCAGUGGGCACUGUAAUCACUAGGACCAGACAAUCACAAGCCCUGCCCUCUUGGAGGUGGCAGUGUGAUGGGAAGAUGGACACAUAAUGGCAGGUGUGAAGAGGGUUUAUAGCACAGGAGGGGGCUGCUGCAGCACACAGAAGUGAUCUCUGAAAGGGGGGCAAAGAAAGGUGUCUUAGCAAUAGACAUUUAGACUAAGACACAAAGAAAGAGUUUGCCAGGUAGAAGAUGUGGGGAGGAGAAAUCCAGGAAGAGGGAACAGUGUAUGCAGAAAUCUGGAAGCUAGAGGAACCCUGGUGUGUCCAGCUGGGAGAUACCCUUUAGGUGGUUAAAUAAGAGAGAACAGGGUGAGAGGAUGGGUAGGUCCCAGAUCCUGUAGGACUUCCUAGGACACAGGAGUCCUCAACCAAAGGUAAUUUUGUCCCCCAGGGACAUCUAGCAAGGUUGUCACAACUUGGUUGUCACAAAAGUGUGUGUGUGUGUGUGUGUGUGUGUAUGUUUGUGUAUGGGGUGGGGUAUAGGGUGUUACUGGCAUCUAGUGGGAAACCAUUGAAAGUGCCGUGAAACAUCCUGCAAUGCAUAAGACAGCCCCCAGCAACAAAGAAUUAUCCUGCCAAAAUGUCAAUAGUGCUGAGGUUGAGAUACCCUAAUCUAGGACCACAAGGACCACUUCAAGGAUUUUGUUCCUUAUUUUAAAGCCAAGGAAGGGAAGACAUGAUAGGGUUUUACAUAGGAGAGGAACAUGACUAAAUUUAUAUUCUGCAGUGAUUAGUCUGGCUACUUUGAGGAAAUUUUAAGAUCUAGCUAUUCUAGUUUGUGGCAACUCUCUUAGUAGUUCUGAACCAUUCUUCAGCCUUGGAAUUUCCAGCCUCUAUGAUUUUCUUUCCCCCCUGGGGCUUACCUUUGAUUACUUUGUGGCCAUCUAGGUAUCUACCAGGGCAAGGAAAACAAUUCAGAUAUAUAGUCAGAGCUAAGCAGACCAGGGAGUUUUCUACUGGAUACAAAAGGUACUCCACUAAGGCCUACAAAAUAUUUAAGGCCAGUGUGGCAGGCAGAAAAUGCCCCUCCAAAGAUGUCCGUGUCCUAAUCCUCAAAACCUGUGAAUAUGGCAAAGGGAUUUUGCAGGUAUGAUUAAGUUAAGUAACUUGAAAUGGGAAAAUUCUCCUGGAUUGUCUGAAUUUGUCAAUGUAAUCACAAGGGUCCUUAUAAAAGGGAGAUAGGAGGUCAGAUUCAGGAGGUCAGGAGAUAUGGUGACAGAAAUAGAAGCCAGAGAGAGAAAAAAAGAGAGAGAGAUUUGAAGAUGUCAUGCUACUGGCUUUGAAGAAGGAGGAUGGGACCAGUAGUAAAAUAAUAAAUUUAUGUGGCAUUAAAUUUCUGGCAAUUUGCUGAAAUAGCAACAGGAAACUAAUAUGGCCUGGAAAAAGUUUUAAGUAAACUCUACCCCCAAUGUGGGGCUCAAACUCACAACCCCAAGAUCAAGAGUCACAUGCUCUACCAACUGAGCCAGCCAGAUGCUUGGGCCUGGAAAAAGUUUUAAUUAACUCUGAAAUAAACAAGAAAAUCUACAAAAUAGAAAUUAAUAAAUGUCAUUUAUUUUAGUAUAUGUUUUAUAAUAAUUAAUAGAUUCAAAAAGGUAUAAAGACUAACACAACACACAACCAGAUUAUUUUCCACCUGACUCAAGGAAUGAAGUAGUUCUAAUAAAGCUAAAGACUCUUGCAGACCCGUCUUGGAUUUCAUUUCCUUCUCUUCCUUGCAGAGGUAAUCAGUAUCCUAAAUUUGGCAUUUAUUAUUCCCAUACAUAUUUAAAUACCUGUAUCACCAAACAAUAUGUAGUACUGCUUUGCAUGCUAUUUUAUACACAUGACAAUGUAAUGUAUGUUUUCUUAUGCAACUUGCUGUUUCUAAAAUGUUUUGAGAAUCAUUCUUAUUGAUGGAUGUGGUGACUGUAUAUUACCCUAUUGUGUAAAUGUGUCAUUCUUAAUUUAUCUAUUCUGCUGAUAUACAUUUAAGUUGUUAUCAGUUUUGACUAUUACAAACAAUGGUGCCAUAAACAUUUUUGUACCUGUCUCUUGGUACCUUUCUGCAAGGGUUUCUCUAGGGUUGGUUCCUAGGAGUGAAACUGUUGGGACCUUGGAUAAACAGCUUUUCUGGAGAGUUCCAAACCACUCUUCAGAUAGACCUGGCCAAUCUACAUUCAACCACCAAUGCAUAUAAACCUGGCAUUGGUGUUGGUCUUGUUAGUCUAUAAAAUUUUUUGUUGAAAUGAUGGAGGUGAAAUGAUAUGUUAUUGUGGUUUUAACCUUCCUUUUCUGCAUUACUGUGGAAUUGAGUAUCUUUUUUCUAUGUUUAUAGAUCAUUCCUGUUUCUUCCUCUGUGAAUUGCCUAUUCAUCUUUUUUGCCCAUUUUUUUUUUUAUAGGUCUGGUUGUCUUUCUCUCUUUAGUUUGUAGAAAUUGUAUUGUUUUGGAUACUAAUUUUCUGCAGCUAUAUAUGUUGUAAAUAUCUUCUCCCAUUUAGUGGUUUGUCUUUUCAUGAAUACAUGGUGUAUAUUGAGGCAGGGAUAUCAUCUCAUCCAAGACAGUAUUUGGGCAGGAAUUCAGUUCCAUGGUCCCCAUAAGAUUCUGGUCUGUUACUUAGCUUCAAGGUGUGGCUGAUGCAGAUAGUUAAGUGGUGCUCCAUAAAACAAUUUUCAGGGUUGAGGAGUAUAUUCCAGAUAUUCUCAGUUUUGUUAAUAAUUCAUUAUGAAAUGAUAUCCACAUAUUUAUUUAAACCAGACAUCAUGAAUUCAAUGCCUAUAGGAGGCCAGGUGGGUAAUGUAAAGACUGCAGUGGGCUGGUGGGGCAUGUACCCUUCUUGGAGGCACCUACUGAUGCUGCCCUGUGUUUUAAUCCUCACCACAACAGUGAAGUGGAUACCAGUUUAACCUUCCUUUUACAGACAAGCAUACAGGUUUAGAGAGGUUAAGCCACUUGCCCCAAGUCACAUAACUAGAAAAUAAAAGAACCAGGAUUCAAACCAGGCUGUCUGCCUCUAUGGCCCAUACUCUUAACUCUGAUGCUAAAAUGCUGCUCAAGACACAAGGAAGAUGUCUUGUUUCUCUUAACCCCACUAUAAGAAAUAUGGUAAUGCAGAUGAGAUUAUAAAUGGCACCCCGCAUUGGGCCUCAGUGUGGGGAGUAUUAGGGCAUGGUGAGGACUGCAGCAAGCUGGAGAGGAAAUGCCUGCUAAAUGGGUCUUCCAUUCCAGCUGCCUGAUGUCAGCAGGGAACACAGACCUAGUAUUGCCAGAUCUUCUGAUUUUUUUCAAGAGAAGCUAGAAAUCCAGAUUUUUGUGGGAAUGGCAACCGAUUUUUAAGUACUGGCAAUCAAAUUCAAUAAUAUUACAAUAUGGCUUAGAUCAAAUAAAAUAUUUUUAUGGGCUGUGACUCUAUGACCUUUUAUUUGGCCCAGAUGAUUUAUUUGUUUACAGCCUGAACCACCUUUGAGAGUAUGCAGUUCCAUAAGAACUAUAUGAAACAACAUUUUGUUCUACUUGUAAUAACCUCUUUCAAGUAACAAGUAUUUCCUGUAUUGUAAUGCUUAGGCAUUUGGAGUCCCCAAUACAAUCGCACAGACUUUGAUCAUUUCUCAUAUUAGUCGUCUUCUUUGCAGACAGAAGUUAAGAUUGAUAAAAUAAUCACAGAACCUGGGACUGAGGUUCUGUUGAGCCUUAUGGAAAUGACUGCUUUUUGAUCCCAUGCCAAAGCAAGUGUCUUGAUGUCUGUAAUUUGCUUGAAAACACUGCAGUAUUGUGGUGUAAUACUGUGUACUUGCUAGUUAGAUUAAGUUUCAAUUCCAAGGGCAAUCUAUACCCAUAGAGUGUCAGCUAGCAUUAUAUCCAAAAGGCCAUCUGCUAAGGUGCUCCCUGCAAGUGCUUGAGUAAUCUGUAUUUUGAUGUACAGCAGAUACUGUGAGCCAGCCCAAUAAAUAUUAUAAGUGGAUGAAAUUAGUGGCCUGAUUAACUAGUAUGAAGAAUGAUAGAAGGGGGCUCUCACUGAUGAAAUUAAAAGAGCCAAAAUAUGUGAAUAGGCUAAAAUAAUUUAGAGGCACUCUUCACAUUUGCCUGAACAGGAGCUUAGAGUCUAGCAAGGCCUUUAGCAUGCACCUGUAGGGAUGGUGCCAGACAUUCGACCCUGAACCACUCCUAUUUCCAUACAUAGCUUUCAGAGAGCUUCUAGGUGCCUGAUCCUGACCACAAGGAUAAUGAAAUCCUGCCUCUGCAAUGUUGUUGAUUCUCCCUUCAGUCGACCAUUCAUGCCAGGUAGUGGAUGGAUCACUUAAAAAGACAAGAGCUGGGCCUUCAUGGAACCCACAGAGCAGGUUGCAUGAAACAUUCUGUGCCUAAUUGCUCAUGAAUGUUUGUUUAAGAAAUGUCCACAGAGGGUGUAAAGUUUGGUCUGAGACUUGCUCUCAUGAUAAUUUAAUAACAAGAUAGUGAGUGAACAUCUGACUCUCACCUACUUCAAAAUGCAUGGGCUACUUAUAGACUAAAAUUAACUCAGACUAGUUCCCAGCAAGAAAAUGGAGGAGCCAGACCUCAGAGAUGAGAGGUGGUAACUAAAAGCCCCAGGAGUAUACGAUCAUCCUUGCUUCCUGUGCCUUCCAUGGGUCAGAUGGACCUUUCAGACCAGCCUGUAGAUGCCUUUCUUCCGUUUCUUUCCCCAGCUUUGUGAGGUUGCCUAUGGGGGGUCUGUUGAGAAUCUGAGUUUGCAGAAGCCCUGUAGAAUCAAGUAGCUCCUGGAAAUCUGGCCCUUACCACAAAAGGAAGUAAGCAGAAAAGCUGGGCUUCAGGGAGCCAGCUCUGUGGAAUCCUUUCCAGGAGACAUUUUAAUCCAAAGUCUGAAUUAGGGAAGUGGUUUUCAGUAUGUAUUUUUUUCAAAAAGUAUCCUCCAUGGCUACACUGUGCUGAAAUCUGGGAGCCUAUAGACAGACCCUUACCUUGUUCUUUAAAGGUUAACAGAGUAUCUUUCUGUUUCAGUAAAUAGAUUAGUAAAUAUAAUAAAGCUCUCCUUUAGGGAUUAGCAUAGCACAAACCAAUUAUUCCCUGGAAGAAACUCCUCUGUUUUACCCUUUCUUUAAGUCCAUUUGUUUCUCUGUGAAAUCUUGACUUUAUAAAUCUUUCCCUUUGAUAUGUAUGUAUGUAUGUAUGUAUGUAUGUAUUUUGCUAUGGUCCCUAAAGGCUUACUGUGGUCCCCUUCAAACUUCCAUCUCCUCUUCAAUUUUCAUUCAUCCUCCUUGGCCUACAUCUUCAAAAUUACACUCCAGUUGGGUACUCUGCCCUGUUCCCAGCAGAGAGGAGUGUCACUGAUUCCAAAGCAUCCCUCUGUUUCAUGAAUAUAUACCUUUUCUCCCAAUGAUAUUUUAGACCUAUCAAGGACAGGAUCUAUUUUUAACUUCUUUUGUCCUACAGUACCUGUCCUACAGCACCUACUCUACAAAUAAAUUCUCAGUAAAUAAUCACUUCUCCCCCCACCUAGAAGAUUUACAAUCUGGGGCACCUGGGUGGCUCAGCCAGUUAAGCAUCUGACUCUUGAUUUCAGCUUAGGUCAUGAUCUCACAGUUUGUGAGUGAGAGCCCUGCAUCGGGCUCUGUGCUGGUAGUGCAGAGCCUGCUUGGGAUUCUCUCUGUCUCUCUCUCUCUGUCUCUGUCUCUCUCUCUCUCUCUCUCUCUCUCUCUCUCUCUCUCCCCCUCUCUCUGCCCUCCCCCUGCUUGCUUUUUUGCUCUCUGUCUCUCAAAAUAAAUAAAUACGCUUUAAAAAAAAUGAUUUACAAUCCAAAAAUGUAUAAUUCUAUUUAAAGUAAAUGGAACUCUAGGUUGGGAGUAGGGUCACCAUGAUUAUAGCUAACAUGUUUUUAGCAUUUAUAAAUCCAGAAUUCUAUUUAAUCCUCAUACAACAAUCCUCUGAAGUAGGCACCGUCAUUAUCCCCAGUUACCAAUGAAAAGAUUGAGACAUAAAGAAGCUUAGUAAUUCGUCCAAGGUCACAGGAGAGCCCAGUCCUGGAGGAGUCCCAAAUUCUGCAAAAUGAUCUGAUGGAAUAAUGGGGAGGGUUGCACAGGGAGAGAGAAAUUGACUUCUCAGCAAAGCUGUAAGGCCUCUUUACUAGUUUAGUAGUUUAAACAUGUAUUUACAAAUUCUUUGAUAUUCCUCCUGUCAAAAAAUGGAGCCUAAUUACCUCACCUUGAGAAAGAACUGUCUUGCAUAUAGAAUAGCAGUGGCAGGAAUGACAAUGUAUGACUCCUGAGGCUAAGUCAUAAAAGGCAUUAUGGCUUUCUCCUUACUCUCUCAGUCACUCACUCUGGGGGAAGCCAACUGCUCUGUUGUGAGGACAUUCAAGCAUCCCAAUGGAGAGAUCUGUGCAGCAAGGAGUGGAGGCCUCCUGCUAAUAGCCAGUAAGGAACUGAGGCCUUCUUCCAGCAGCCAUGUAAGCAAACCAUCUUGGAAGCAGAUUCUCUGGUCCCUGUCAGGCUGUCACAUGACAGCAGUCGCAGCUGACUUUCUAACUACAACAUCACAAGAGACCCUGAGAAUCACUCAGCUACACCACUUCUCAAUUCCUGCCACACAUAACCUGUGAGCUAAUGUUAGCUAUAUUACACUGUUAAGUUUUGGGGGGUAAUUUGCUAUACAACAAUGGGUAAACUAAGUUAACCUCUAAGUGAGUAGUUCUUACCAUUUGGGGUGUCAGGGACCCUUUUGAGAAUCUGGCAAAAGCUGUAAAUCCUCUCCUCAUAAAAAUGUACAGACACAAGAACACAUUGCUCAUGGUUUCCAGAAGAUCAUAUAUUUUGAUAAAGCCAGUUGAUGGAUCUCAGUUUCAAGACUCUUUCUCUAAAUACUAGAAUAGUCGAAGUGUGAGUUUUUUUUCCCACAAAAUCUCUUUCCUGUGGAUGACUAACUUAAAACAUUUAUUUUUCCCUUCAGUUUAUUUUUCAUUGAGAUGGAAGAACCAGUUGAGGAAGAACUCCCCCCAACUCCCAGCCUAUUCCCCAGGCUCUUUCCACCCAACAGAUUUCAGGGAGCAAAGGGAUCAAAUUAACUUUUCUCAUGGUUCUAUUUUUGUGACUCAAUUCUUUUGGAGGAGAGAGUCAGGAUGACUGGUGGGAUUUCCAGAAAAGCCAGAAACAGUAAUUGCUAGAAAUACAGGAAGGAAGUGUGUUCUUGAAAGAUUAAAGCUGCAGUGUUCAGAGCUGUGUGAGUUGGCUUGAUUUGUAUUCUCAGGACACAUUAGAGUAUUUGGGGAAAUCCUACUGUGUUUACUUUUUAUCCACUUGGGCUUCUCCAUCCUUGUUUUCACAUAUACCCAUCUCCAGGCUGACAUUACCAAUGCAAGGGAGAAGCAUAGUUACUCCUCCACAUUUUCUACUAGGGGAGAUAAAGAACCCGAACGGGAUACAGUUACAGGAGGAAGAACAAUCAAACUUCCUCUCUGAGGUCACUAUCUGCUAAAUCCCUCGAGGUCAUGCUUUCCGAUCAGACCAAAGGCAGUCAUUGAAGUUUUCAAAGUGACUUCUGCUUUGGGGUCCCCAGAAUGGUUCUCAUUUCCAUUUAUGAGCAUGUUUCCCUGGGCUGCAAAAAUGUAGCGUAACCCAGGAAGAGAGAGAGUUUGGGGCACGAUCAUGUGUUAAUUCAGGGUAAAUUAAGACAUCCUAUAAGAGUUGGAUAUUUGAGAAUAGAAACCUAGAGAUAUCUGGUUUGGAGACAUCUGGUAGUUAAGACAUGAGGAGAGAAGAGCUUGCUCACUGCAUAUAGAGCCCUGAAUAUAGGACUUACGGGUAGGGGAGGAAAAGAUGCCCAUUAAAGAGUGAGGGGAACUACUGGAUGGCCUGCAGUAAGAACUGGGGGAGCAAUCAAUGUGAGAGGAAUCAAUGGACACAGUGUUUAAAGAUGGAGAACUUGUUGAGUAGUUUCACAUAUGAGCAGAGGGAUUAGGCAAAUGGGAAGUGAAACAUAUCAUUCUUAUUUGGCAUGAGUAGGGGCUUACUGGUGGUCUUAGAAAGAGCAUUCAGUAGAGUGGAGGGGGCAGAGCCUGAUCACACAGGCUGAGGAGGACCGAAUGAGCUGAAAGAGUGGCUCACAUAAAAAUGGCUAAACAUAGACACCCAAGAUUUGAAAUCAGAUAAGGCAGGGGUGUCAGCACCCAUUGUGGGCAGUAGUCUAAAAGGCCGCAGGAAGGCUGCGGUUGAAGGGCCAUCUUGUUUUGUUGUUUGUUCAUAAUCUACCUUCAGUGAAUGCCUAAAAUUAUAUUUUUAAUAAACGGAGGUAGUUCUCUAGAGAUGUAAACUUUGAUGUGGAGAAAAUGCAACUGACUAAGCAGAAGUAAAUAGAGCAGCAGCCAUCUGCCCAAAUUACAGCUAUCAGAGAAGAAAGAGCCUCGCCAGGCACAGUGACACUCAUAAGAAGCUGAUCAUGAAUCAAAGAACUACAGGGUAUAAAGGGUGUGGGAAGAGACACAGGUAAUCUGAAGGUUGAAGGUCGGGGUGGGAUGUGAUCUCUGCUGCCUCAUCUAAAUAGAUAUAAGCUCUGAGACACUCAGCCUCUCUGAGUAAUUAGCACCUGCCUUAGAUACAUGUAGUGAGCAAAGAGGAGAUGGACAAAUUGCAAGAGACCAUUUUAGGACCUAGAUUCAGAACAACAGAGAACAUAAGAUUUACAGUAUUACGUUAUUUGAAAUACAUUGACUUCCUGUAUGUUUUAACAAAUAAUUUUCUGUUUAAUAAUAGUCUUUCUAAUUAAAAAAAAAAAAAGAGUGUAGACAACAUUUUCCAAGAAGUUUCCCAGGCUGCCGUUAGGUGCUGUCCUCAUGGCUCCUGCUAUUUCUCUGUGCUCAACAUUCACUGAAGACCUAUACCUGCCUCUAUAAGUGUUAUAUCUGGGGUUCUGUCCCAUGGAGACACUGGCCACAUGUGAUCUUCAGCCUUUUGGCAGAGUCCAGUACGCAGGUCCUGUGUGCCACACUCCCUUAGGCCAUCAUUCAGGUUUAGAUGAUACUCUUAGGGCCUCAGGCCCCUCAAGGAGUGUCUGUCCAAGCUGGGACCCUGUUCAUCCUUAGACUUCUUGCUGCUGCCCUCCUGCUUAUCCUUGUACUCGGUGUCUCUGAGCUGGUGUCUCCUGGUGCGACAUUGUCAUGUUUUAUAGGAUAGAAAGAUCAAAUGUGAGGGCCAGCACCAACUUUGAGGAAGUAAAGCCGAAAGCUCACGACUCACAAAACCCCAGCUGCCUGCGUGCUGUAUCCACAGAAACGUCCAGUGUUUCCAUUAAAAUACAGGAAGAGAAGUAAUAAAAGAUAAGUUUCCUGCCAAGCAUUUGGGGGCAACCAGAUAUAAGAAGAGGAACAAUAAAAUAUGAUUAUGAUGAUGACCGUUAUGUGCCCAAAUGCCUUUCCUGUUGAAAAAGUCCAGCUUGCAGGGUGGAUUGGGGAACUUGAUCACACAGCUGUGAGCUCAGGACAGUCAUGGGUGAUUCUGAUGGUUGGGGGUCCAGAGGGGCAGAGCCAGCUUAUAGGUUGGUUUCUAGGAGCAUUGGCUUCUUUGAUGUCACAAUAAAGCAAAUGUUGGACUUUCUCAAGCGAGAAGGCAGCUCUGACUCAUUUUUCUGAUCUUAGAGGACAUGUGGCUUCUUUGGGAGCUGGGUCUACUGUGGAAAGUCCUUAAUACAUGUGGUGGCAUUUACAGUGGGGACUUUUCUGCCACAGCAGCUAUGAAACAGGACUCCCAGCUGUGGAAGGGCCCCUUAACAGCCCAGGCACCUUGUGUUGGCUCUCACAGCAUCCUUGGACCCCACCUUUUGCCUGCUGGACCCACCUCUACCUAGAACCUGAAGUUGAGUCCCACCCCCAAUGCCUACAAAGAAAGCUGUUAGGAAAAAAAAAAAGUAAAAUAAUUUUUACUGUUUUUUGCUCAGAAUAACAGCUGUUUGUUAUAAAAAUUAAAGUAAUACAGAAAAGUACAACAAAGAAAGUUAAAAAAAAACCCACCUCACUUAGAAACCCUACUGCUCAGAGACAACCAUUCCUAACAUCUUUAAAAUAUCCCUAAAGACUCCAUACCUAUGGAGAGAUAGAACAACCAAUGACAUUUUGUGAAAAUAGGAUCCCACUCUGCAUACUAUUUUUAGAUGAAAAAAAUUUAAUAUUGAUUUAGUUGAAUUUAUUAUCAGAAAAACUGAAGACAAAUUUAGAAAUGACUAAAUUGGUGUUCCUUCACAAGUUUUCAAAAGAUUAAUUUAGAAUUAAGAAAAAAAGAAUCAAAAACAUUGGUUGAAUUUGCUAUGCUCUUUUUUUUUUUUUUUUCUUAAAGACAAGUUUGGGAUACCUGGGUGGCUCAGUCCAUUAAGCAUCCGACUUCGGCUCAGGUCAUGAUCUUGCAACUCAUGGGUUCGAGCCCCACAUCGGGCUCUGUGCUGACAGCUUGGAGCCUGGAGCCUGCUUUGGAUUCUGUGUCUCCCUCUCUCUCUGACCCUCCCCUGCUCUUGCUCUGUCUCUCUCUCAAAAAUAAAUAAACAUUAAAAAAAUUUUUUUAAUUAAAAAGACAAGUUUGUGUGUCAACAAUCCUUGGAAAAAAAUUUUUUUAAUUAAAUUUAAGCUUAAAAAUGAAACAAGUUUCAAUUUUACAUGGCAUUUCUUGACUUCCUGCUAGCAAUGAGGAUUUACUCACACUUACACUUUAUCCCACUGACCCACUCUGUCUCUUGAUUUUUAUUAUUUUCUAUUGUCAAUGUUUACCUCCCUUCAUUUUAUUCUCUAACCAUACUCCUUACUCUUGUUUAGUUUUGGCUCUAUGUUUAACGGACUCAGUUUAACUAUGUUACCCCUUUGUGUAACUCCAGUGUUACAGGUUCAAUUGUAUCUUCCCCUCAAAAAUGUGUGUUGGAGUCCUAAUUCCCAGUGACCUUAUUUGGAAAUAGAGUGUUUAUAGAGGCAAUCAAGUUAAAAUGAAGUCAUUAGAGCAGGCCUUAAUCCAAGACCACUGGUGUUUUUACAAAGGGGAAAGCUAGACACAGACAUGCACAGAGGGAAGACUGUAUGAAGACAUGUAGGGAAAACACCAGGUGAAAAUUGGAAUUCUGUUGCCACAAGCCAAUGAACGUUUGGGGCUUCAAAAAGCUGGAAAAAGCAUGGAAGCAUGCUUCCCUAGCUCUUUCAGAGGGAACAUGGUCCUAUUAACACCUUGAUUUCAUAUUUCUAGACUCCAGAACUAUGAGACAAUAAAUUUCUAUUGUUCUAAGCCACCCAGUCUCUGGUUCUUUGUUAUGGUGGCCCCAGAAAACUGAUACACCUAGAUUUUCUAUUCCAGAAUUUAUUUUGUUUAAAAAAAAUUUUUUUUUAAUGUUUACUUAUUUUUGAGACAGAGAGAGACAGAGCAUGAGCAGGGGAGGGUCAGAGAGAGAGGGAGACACAGAAUCUGAAACAGGCUCCGGGCUCCGAGCUGUCAGCACAGAGCCCGACGUGGGGCUCGAACUCAUGGACCGCGAGAACAUGACCUCAGCUGAAGUCAGACGCUCAACCGACUGAGCCACCCAGGUGCCCUAUUCCAGAAUUUAUUUUGACUCAUCCCCUUGUUGGAUAGAUUUCAUACAUAAGUUGUUUUUCAAGAAGAGUUCCUGGGUGCUUUGUUCCCUAAGGUUUCAAAUGCCUGAGAAUGCUUGGCUGUUGCCAUUAUGCUUGAAGGUAACUUGACGCAUACACAAUCCUUGAAUCAUGUUUUCUCCAUUCAGACCUUUUUAGAUGUUGGUCUGCUGUCUUGUGGCAUUGACAUGAAACCCAAAGAAAUUUUAUUUUUCUCUCUGAACAUGGUUUACUAACUACAUGGCUAAAUCCAUGUGAGAUUUUCUUUAUCCUUGGUGUUUCAUAACUUUACUAGGAUAUAUCUUGAUGUUGAACAGUCUAUGUCAAUUUUUCUUGGGAUGUAUGUGCCCUUUUGAUUCAAGUCAUCCUCAUUUCAAGAAAGUCCUCUUCUAUUUUAUUUUUCAAAAUAAUGUAUAUUUAAUUCCUUUUAUUCUCCUUCUUCAGAAAUUACUGUUCUCCUUCAGAAAUGCCAAGGAUCCCUAUUAUUGGUCUUCUAUAACAAUAGCAAUUUUCUCUAGAACUAUGUAAAAAUUGAGUCUCAUGCUCUACUGACUAAGCCAGCCAGGCGCCCCCUUAUGCUUCCAUUUUUAUCCUGAAUGUACUACUUUGCUUUUUACUCUCCUUUUUUCAUUUUUGAAAUCUCUUUUUUGAAUUCUUAUGUCUUUUCUUUGGGGUCUUUUUCUAGAUAGUGUUGUCUGAAAUUUCUCUGAGAAUAUGGAGACUUUAUUUGAACAUCUUUGGGUAAUACCAUGCCUUGGAUAAUUCCUCUUGUGUUUUUUUUCUUUCUUUCUUUCUUUUUCUUUUUCUUUUUGAUCAGCCUUUUGUGUAAUACUCCUUUCCUCUGCCAUUUCUUUUUUUUUUUUAAUGUUUAUUUACUUAUUUUGAGAGAGAGUGCCCAAGGAAGGGAGGGGCAAAGAGAGGGAAAGAGAGAGAGAGAGAGAGAGAGAGAGAGAGACAGAGAGAGAGACUCCCAAGCAGACUUCACACUGACAGUGCAGAGCCCAAUAUGUGGCUCCAUCUCACAACUGCAAGAUCAUGACCUGAGCCAAAAUCAAGAGUCAGAUGCUUAACCAACUGAGCCACCCAGGUGCCCCUCCCUUCCUCUACAAUUUCUAUGUGAAUCCCAACCUGGUUUGAAUGGCAGACACUACUGGCUGAAUAAUGGUAUAACACGUGAAGAAGUUGGGGAGAUUGGAGAACAUGUAGGAGACUUAAAUUUUAAAAGACUUUGUUGUCUUAAACACUUUCUCAGUUAUUUCCUUUUCCUUGGGGACCAUCUCCUCUGAGCUUUUGGUGUUCUGGAAAUCCAUGUGGCUCAGACUCAUAGGCUCCUGGUGGUACAAACUGUGGUGGUUCCUGCCUCUACCUCCUCCUUCCCCUUGCAUCAUGCCAUGCAUCAUCCCCACAUAUCUGCCUCUCUGGAGGUGAGUUUGGUAAGGUGGUUCCUGCAGCCCCAUCACCCAGGCCACUCUGCACAGUGAGUCAUGCUCUCUGUGGGACAUUCCCCCAGUUUCUAGAGUCAGCCCCUGAUACCACAGCUAGUGGGUGGAGUAAAGUGGUCAUCAACUAAACUUCCACCAUGGACCUUUGAUGAGAUCUGGGUCCUACUGUGCAUCCAAGGAGGCACCUGGCAUCUCUCUUUUCUUGUUCCAGUUCUGAUCCCACAGUAACCAGCAAGUUUGCUUCAUGGUUUCUGCUUUGGUGCUCCCUUGCUUAUUUGAAAGUGGAGGCCUCCCUUUGUCUAUUUUUCAUUUCUUUUGUUAUGUUCAGUGGGUUUCAUAAAAGAAGAGUGGGAUAAAUAUUUUAACAGGAAGUUUCUUGUUUUAAAAUGGUAUUAUAAUAAAUCCUUUUAUAGCUGGGGAAGAUUUAUCUUUAUUAUAUUUAUAUGUGAAUAUAUAAUAGAUUAGAAAUAGGAACAUGAUGUAUUUUUCCAUUUGUUUAUAUUCUUCUUAGCUUUAAGUGUCCUUGCUUAUGUCAUGAACAGCACUCUAUAUUCUGUUUGUUUCUUUUCAAAAUGAUGAUACCUUUAUUACUUUUUAUUAUAAAAAUAGCAGAUGUUCAUCAUAAAACAUUAAACAACACUAAAAAAGAAGAAUCACAGUGAACAUCAUCUGGAAUUCUGCUAUCUAUACAUAACUGAUAUUAGGUUUGUGUAAUCAUCUUUUGAGACAUUUUUUGAGUAUACAUGAAUGUAUGUAUAAUUGACAAAACAGGAUCAUAGAUGCUGUUUAGGCGAGUUUUUGUUUAAUUAUAUAAGCACUGUGUUAACACUUUAUCAUUGGAAGAAACUCAAAGGAAGCAGACAAGCCAUUUCUUACUUUCUCUCCAUUCUCUUCCCCUCCCUUGGGAAAAGCACUUAUCUCAGAUUUUCAGGCUAUUUGCUAUUCAUUUACAUACAUAUACAUAAACAUAUGAACAUGUAUGAGUUUUGAAGGCAUAGAUUAUACUGAAUAUGAUUAAAACUCUCAUUUGAUAUUUUAUUUUUUGUUACUAUUGUGAAUAGGAUCUCAUUUUUUAUUAAAACUUUUAAUCAGUUGAAAGGAAUUAUAUUGUGUUUUGAAUAUAUAGUAUAUCUUUUUUUUUUAAGUAGGCUACACACCCAACAUGGGGCUUGCAUUCACAAACCUGAGAUCAGGAGUUAUGCUUUACCGACUGAGCCAGCCAGUCACCCCUUGAAUAUAUAGUAUAUUUUAUUUUCAUCUACUUUAUUCAACUGUUCUAUCAAUUUGUAUGAAUUAUAACCCAUGACUUUCCUAAGUUCCCAUUUAUGUUUGCAUAUUCUAUGCAAGUUUUUGCAUAUUCUGUUCUAAUAUUUACUUCUCCCAAUAUUAUGUUUUUUUAAUUUUUUUUAAUUUUUUUUAACGUUUAUUUAUUUUUUUGAGACAGAGAGAGACAGAGCAUGAACAGGGAAGGGGCAGAGAGAGAGGGAGACACAGAAUCGGAAGCAGGCUUCAGGCUCUGAGCCAUCAGCCCAGAGCUGGACUUGGGGCUUAAACUCAUGGACCGCGAUAUCGUGACCUGAGCUGAAGUCAGACGCUUAACCGACUGAGCCACCCAGGCGCCCCUAUUAUGUUUUUUUAAUGCUUAUUUUAUUUUUGAGAGACAGAGAGAGUGUGAGUGGGGGAGGGGCAGAGAGAGAGGAAGACAAAAAUCUGAAGCAAGCUCCAGGCUCUGAGCUGUCAGUACAGAGCCUGAUGUGGGGCUUGAAUCCACAAACUGUGAGAUCAUGACCUGAUCCAAAGUAGGAUGCUUAACUGACUGAGCCACCCAGGCUCCCCUCCCAAUAUUGUGUUUAAGUAACAGUGCUAAUGUAGAGAAGUGAUUCUAAGACUUUAUCAUGCAUCAGACUCACUUGGAAGGCUUAUUAGGGAUAAACUUGCAAGAUCUAUACCUACAGAAUCUGAAAACUGUAAAAUACUCCUGACAGAAAUUAAAGAAGACCUAAAUAAGUGGAGAGAAAUUAUAAAUUCAUGGAUUUAUAAGAAGACCCAAUAUUGUUACAUGUCAAUUCUCCCCAAAUUUAUCUGUAGAUUCAAUGCAAUCCCAAUCAAAAUCCCAGAAGACUCUUUGUAGAAAUUUAAAAACUGAUUCUAAAGUUCAUCUGGAAGUUUAAAGGGCCUAGAAUAGCCAAAACAACUUUGAAAAAGAAGAAUAAAGUUGGAGGACUAACUCCACUUGAUUUCAGACUUAUAGAGCUACAAAAAUCAAGGCAAUAUUAUAUUGGUAUAAAAACAGACAAAUAGAACAGUGGAACAGUCCAGAAAUAGACUCACACAUAUGUGGUCAACUGAUCUUUUUUUUAAAAUUUGUUUAAUGUUUAUUUAUUUUUGAGAGAGAGAGAGAGAGAGAGAGAGAGAGAACACAAGCAGGGGAGAGGCAGAGAAAGAGGAAGUCACCCAAUACCUGAAGCAGGCUCCAGGCUCUGAGCUGUGAGCACAGAGCCUGACGUGAGGCUCAAACUCAUGAACUGCGAGAUCAUGACCUGAUCCAAAGUCAGAUGCUUAACUCCUGAGCCACCCAGGCACCCCAUAGUCAAUUGAUCUUUGACAAAACUGUCAAGGCAAUUCAAUGAGGGAAAUGAUAAUCUUUGAAAAAAAAAUAGUGUGGAAUAGUUGAAGAGUCAUAUGCAAAAAAAAUAAACCUUGAGUUUUACCUCAUGUCAUAUAUAAAAAUUAACUUGAAGGACAAGGAAAGAUUGAGGAAUUGUCAUAGAUUGGAGAAGACUAAGGAGUUGCAACAAAAAAGGGACAGUAGGAGGAAAUGGGUGAAAUUUAAAUAAAGUCAGUAGCUUAGUCAAUAAAUAUUAACUUCUCUCAUUUGGUAAUUGCUGUAUGGCUUAUGUAAGUUGUUAAAUUGGGAGAAACUGGGUAAAGCAUACAUGUGAACUCUCUGUAUUAUUUUUGCAGUUUUUCUGUAUAAACUUAUUUCAAAAUAACACGUUUCUUAAAAUGAACUUUAAAUGGAUCAUAGACCUAAAUUUAAGAGCUAAGUUUCUAGAAGAAAAUUUAGUUGAAAAUCUUAGUAGGCUUAAGUUUAGCAAGAUUUUUUAAAAAAAGACACAGAAGGCACAAACACAGACUUCAUCAAAAUUUAAAACUUUUGCUCUUCAAAAGACACUGUUACAAAAAAAAAAAAAGGUAGGCCGCAGACUGAGAGAAAAUAUUUGCAAAAUAUAUAUUGGACAAAAGACAUGUAUCUAGAAUAUAAGAAGAACUCUUGUAAUUCAAUAAGAUAAACAACCCAAUAAAAAAUGGGUGAAAGGUUUGAACAGAUACUUCACCAAAGAAGAUAAACAGAUGACAAAUAAGCACACAAAGAUGCUUCACGGUAUUAGGCGUUAGGGAAAUGCAAAUAAAAACCACAAUGAGAUACCACUACACACUUUUCAGAAAGGCUAAGAUUUAAAAAGACUGAUGACCUUACCAACUGUUGACAAGGAUGUGGAGGAACUGGAAGCUCACACACUGGUGGGAAUGCAAAAUAGAACAACCACUUUGGAAAAGAGUGUGGCAAUUUGUUUAAAAGAUAAACAUACAACUACCAUAUAAUCUAAUAAUUUGCCUUCUAGGUAUUUACCCAAAAGAAAUGAAAGCACAUAUCCACACAAAGACUUGCACAUACAUGUUCAUAGUAGCUUUAUUCAUAAUGGCUCCAAACUGGAAACUAUCCAAGUUUUUAUAAACAGGUUAAUGGAUACACGAAUUGAGUAUAUCCACAUAAUGGAACAAUAAAAAGGACUGCUAUAAAAAGGACUGGAAUCUUGACACAACAUGGGUGAGUGUAAAAUUUAUUAUGGUAGGUAAAGGAAGAUAAAGAAGGGGCGCCUGGCUGUCUCAGUCAGUAGAGUGUGUGACUCUUGAUCUCCAGGUUGUGAGUUUGAGCCCCAUGUUGGGUGUAGGGAUUACUUAAAAAUAAAAUCUUAAAAACAAAGAAGACAAAGAAUACUGUGAUUCUAUAUAUGUAAAAUUAUAAACAUUUGCAAACGAAUCUAGAACAACACAAGAUCAGUGGUUGCCUCAGGCUGUUGAGAGUGUGUUUGGAAAGGGGAAGGAGGGAGAGAUGACGACGGGGGUUGAAGAAACUUUAGGGAUGAUGAAUAUGUGCAUUAUCUUGAUUGUGGUGAUGGUUUUAUAGGUAUAUACAUAUGUUAAACUCAUUAAAAUGUGCACUUUAUGUGUAACGUAUUGUAUGUCAAUUAAACCUCAACUGAGCUGUAAAAAAUUAAAAAAGGAAGAAAGGAAGAAAUCUCCUGGAAGACUCAUUGAAAAGUUUGCUGGGCCCCACCCUAGCAUUUCUGAUUCAGCAAAUCUAGGGUAGGACCGAGAAUUUGCAUUUUAAGAUGCUCCCAGGAGAUGCUCAGGUUGAUGUUCCAUACUUUGAAGAUCACCGGUAUACAGGAUUUGGCAAACAGCUUUGUGGUGACAUUUGUCUUUUCAUUUGCUCUGAUGAUUAAUUUUUUGUGUCAGAUUGAUUAGGCUAUGGGAUGCCCAGAUAGUUGUUAAUAAAUUAUUUCUGGGUGUGCCUGUGAGGGUGUUUCUGGAAGAGAUAGCAUUUGAAUUGGUAGACUGAGUAAAGACCAAUGAGGUGGGCAUCAUCCAAUCCAUCGAGGGCCAGAAUAGGACAAAGGUAGAGGAAGGGUGAAUUUGUUCUUUUUGCAUAAGCUGGAACAUCCAUCUUUUCCUGCCCUCAGACAUUGGCAUGCCUGGCUCUCUGGCCUUUGUAAUUAGACUGGGAUUUAUUCUUGGCCCUCCAAUUCUUGGGCCUUUGGAUUCAGGUUUAUAUCAUCAGCUUUCCUGGUUCUCAGGCCUUCAGACUCAGACUGAGUUGUAUCACUGGCUUUUCUGGUUUUCCAACUUGCAGGUGGCAGAUUGUGGGACUUCUUGGCCUCCACAAUUGUGUGAACCAGUUCCUAUAAUAAAUGUUCUCUUCCGUUUAUCUAUCUGAUCAAUCUAUUGUCAUCUAUCAUCUAUCGGUUCUAUUUCUCUGGAGAACCAAGACUUACACACAUCUGUCCAGCAUCCCAACACCCUUGUUACUGUUAGGGAAUCUAUACAGUGGAGCCAAGACUCUGCCUCCCACCACAGAAACAGAGAGUGUAGUCUGCUUUUUUUUUUUGCCCCCCCCCCCCCCCAGCAACUAGAGUAUUGGCUUGUGGCCUCUACGUGGCCAGUCAGAUGCUUCACGUGGACUUGCACUGUAAGAAGCUGUGUAGGAGUGAGAGCCUGAGGCUCCAGCAGGAGGAGUCCUAGGGACCAGACUCAGCAGAGCAGCUGCAAUGACCAGCUGCAGUGGGGCCCGCAGUGGUCAUGGCAGAUGUACCCUGUUGGUGAGCUCCAGAGUUCUAGGCUGUUUGCUCCUGACGCAUCAUCUUGAUAGUCUUCUUCCUUUGGCUCCUGUUCAAACUUCGUGUGUUGGCACUGCUGCUGAUCCUACGGGCUACUGAUAAUAUAUCUCUUAAGAGUUGAGUUGUGUCCCCCAGAAAUUCACAUGUUGAAGACCUAACCCCCAAUAGCUAAGAAUGUGAUCUUACUUGGAGAUGGGAUUGUUGUGGAAGUAAUUAGUUAAGAUGAGGUCAUACUGGAGUAGAGUGGGCCUCUACUCCAAUAGGACUAUUGCCCUCGUAAGAAGAGGAAACUUGGACAUGGACACACACACAGAGGGAGUGGCAUGUGAAGUUGAAGGCAAAGAUCUACAAGCCAAAGAAUCCAAAGAUUGCUAGCAGACCCCUGGCAGCUAGGGGAGAGGCACAGAACCAAUUCUCUCACAGCCUCCCAAAGGAACCAGUCCUGCCAACACCCUAAUUUCAGACUUGUAACCUCCAGAACUGAGACAGUUUCUGUUGUUUAAGCUAGUUUGUGGUACUUUGUUAUGCCAGCCCUAGCAAACAAGUAGAAUACUCUGAAUAAAUUUGGUUUCUGCUUAAUACAUUUUAGUUUUUGUUGUUUGCAACUAAGAUGUAUGACUAGUACAAGCUCCCAAAGGGUGUUGGCAAAUCACCAGCUAUGGAAGUAUGUACAAAUAAACAGUGGGUGUAAGGGAAUGAGUCAGCAUGAACAAUCUUAAAGAGCAGUAAUAUCUUGUUGAUGUCCCAGAGGGAGUGCAAACAGACAGGAACAAAAGGGGCAGGGGGAACCCAAGUCCUGAUCAGAGUUGACGUCUGUCUGAGGCCCGAUGCAGAGAUAUAUAAUUCCAAGGAAAUUAGAUGAUGCUCUAAGCUAAGUAGGGUCUAAGGCAAUAAGAUUUAUAGGAAUACAGCAAGAAAAGUCAGACUUACCCAGGAUUCAAGAUCCUUCUUGAAUUACAGAAAGAUAGAUAUGCCCAGGUGCCAAAGAUUCAGGAAGCUGCCAUCAGAAAACAUUCUUAAUAUGGAGGUUGAUGUUGACCUCCAGCCACUCUGGACAAAAGUCAGUAGCGGACUAGCUGCAGACUGACUUGUAGGUGGGAUGAGGCCUCCUCAUGGCUGCAAUGCCAGAUGAUCAUUUUAGGUGGCUGGGAUCAAGGUUUUCUGUUUUGUUCCUAUUUUUAAAAACAAUGCUUCUGCUUUGCAUUAAAGAUAAAACCAGCUUUGUUUUAAAUAGCUCUGUAUUUUGCUAUUGUAAUAUAUUUCUAUUUCUCCCUUGAAAAAAAAUUUUUAACAUUUAUUUAUUUUUGAGAGACAGAGACAGAGCACAAGCAGGGGAGGGGCAGAGAGAGGGAGACACAGAAUCUGAAGCAGGCUCCAGGCUCCAGGCUCCGAGCUGUCAGCACAGAGCCUGACGUGGGUCUCUAACCCACAAACUGUGAGAUCAUGACCUGAGCCGAAGUCGGACAUUUCACUGACUGAACCACCCAGGUGCCCUUAUUUCCUCCUCUUUUUAAAAUAAGAAGUACCUAGGGGCCCCUGGGUGGCUCAGUCAGUUCAGUGUCCAACUUUUGAUUUCGGCUCAGGUCAUGAUUUCUCAGUUUAUGGGAUUGAGCCCCACAUCCAACUUUGAGCUGGUGGUGUGGAGCCUGCUUGGGAUUUUCUCUCUCCCUGUCUCUUUGCCCCUCCCCUGCUCUAUCUCUCUCUCUCAAAAUAAAUAAACAUUUAAAAAAUGAGAAGUACCUAAUGAAUUUAAUCAAGUGCUAUUUCAGCAUCUGUUGAAAUCAUUGUAUUUUUCAUUAUUUAAUCCAGUGAUGUAGGUGGUAUUAUUAUUAUUAUUAAUAAUACUUGCCUUUGUGUCAAACAUUUCAACCAUCUUGGGAUAAAGCCUCUUUGGUCAUGGUGUAAUGUUUCCCAUAAUAUAUUAAUGAAAACGACUUUAUGUAAAUAUAUAUAUUAUAUUUAUUUAUUUAAAAAAAUUUUAAUGUUUAUUUAUUUUGGAGAGACAGAGAGAGAGACAGAGUGUGAGUGGGGGAGGGGCAGAGAGAGAGAGAGAGAGAGAGAAAGACACAGAAUCUGAAGAGGCUCCAGGCUCUGAGCUGUCAACACAGAGCCCGAUGUGGGGCUCGAACUCAGAAGCCAUGAGAUCAUGACCUGAGCCGAAGUUGGAUGCUUAACCGACUGAGCCAUCCAGGUGCCCCUACAUAUAUAUUUUUGUAAAUUCAACUUAUUUAAACAAAAACAGUUUACCCCUGUUUCCUGCCUCCACUCCCUGCCUCUGGUAACCACCAAUCUCUUCUCUGUAUCUGUGAGCUUGUUAAGUGAUUGAUUGAUUCCACAGAUGAGAGAAAUCAUAUGAUCUUUGUCUUUCCCUGUCUGAUAUAUUUCACUUAGCAUAAUGCCCUUGAUAAAAUAUCUUGUAUAUUUUAAUGUAAGAUUUGUGUGUGGCUUGAGGUGAAUAUUUCCUAGAGAUGUGCUCUUAAAGUCUUUCUCAUUAUUGCCCACCUAAGGAGAACUUCUAGGUAUUUUUUUUCUUAGCUGUCCCUCUAUGUAAUUUCAUGUCCACAGAUAUGCUGUAUAUUAGUGAAUAUACUAUAUGGGUAUCUUCAUUUUUUACACAAAAAAGAGGAAGACUUUUUUAGCCCCCUCAAGAACCAAAUUGCUCCCUUGGAAUGCACUGAGAUUACACCACACUGAGAACACAUGGCCUAUAGUAUUCUUUAUUUGUACAUUAUAUUUAUUAGAUUUCAGGAUCAAGCCAUAUGGUUUUACAUCUUGGAAAGAACUAUGCAAAAGGCCACACUUUUCAAGGUUCAGAAAUGAGGUAUGGAAUAGCAGAGAUGCUUUAAGGCCAAUACAUUUUAGUAAAGACCAAGUCUGUUCAUCAGCUCCUCUCUGACCAUCUGUGAUUCAGAAUAUCUGUAACAGUUUUGCAAGGACAGGUUAUAAGAUGUGAGGGGAGACCAAAGGGUGAAGGCCUAGAAAGUCACUAAAUCCUCAAAGCUGAAUGUAUUGAACAUAUGGCCUGAGCGGGAGAGCCAGGCACCCAGGGAGAGCAAGACUCCAUUGAGGCAGCUCUUUGUCAAACCAAGAAAGUAAAGCCAAGGAUUGACAGUACAGUGACUGGGUUUAAAUUGAGGGAGAAGAAGUGGAGGGCAGAGGUUGGAGUUACAAGCUGAGCUGAAGAUCAAGGAUAUAGCAAUAAGUAUUAAGAUGCCUAAGAAUGAAAGUCUGAGGCUUUGUUCUCAAAGGUUUAUUUUGCUUGCCACACAUGCCUCUUUGGGAGCUUCAGUCUUAUCUUAAGGAGACAGAACUCUUGUUUGCACUUUUCAAGAUAGAUAACAAGCCUUUGAAAGUUUGGCAGGGUUUAGUAUUCACCCAUACUGUGGUGGAUGCACCUGAGGUGACUUCCGAUGAGUAAUGCUCCUGUAUAAUCAAUCCUGUCCCAUUAAAUGCAGUGAUUUGCUUCUAACCAAUAUACCAUGGGAAAGGUGAUGAGAUAUCAGUAUAUGAUUACAUUAAUCAUAUAAGACUGUCUAAGUAGACUGGAAAGAUUCUGUUGCUGGCCCUGAAGAGGCAAAGUGCCAUGUUGUGAACUCCUUAUGGAGAGGGCCACAUGGGAAGGGACUGCAGGUGCCCUAAGGACCUGAGGAUAGCCAAUCAUCAGUAAGAAGCAGGGCCCUCAGUCAUACAGCCACUAGGAAAUGAAUUCUGCCAACAAUCAAUGAGCUUGGAAGUAGACUUUCCUCAGUCAAGCCACCAGAGGAGAACAUGGGGCAGCCACUUCCUUGAUUGUCACUUGUGAAACUCUCAGCCUUGUGUCCAGCUAAGCUGUACCCAUGAGCCAGUUUUCCUGAGCCAGGAAAAUUUUAAGAUAAUAAAUUUGUGUUGUUUUAAGCUACUGAGUUUGUGAUAAUUACAUAGCAACAAAAAAACUAACACAUGUAUAUGUAUACUUAGACACUUCUAGAUGAAUAACUUUCUACAUAUCUUCCCCCUUCUCAAGUUAUUAUUUAAUAUAUAUUAGAUUAAGGUUGGAGUUUUAUAUUGUAAGAAAAUUAUUCUUUUCAUUUGUAUGUUUCAAUGUUAUUAGCAUAUAUUGUUGUGUUCUAUUUUACUUUAAACAUUUUAUAUAGUACCUGGUGUCUCCUUUCUCAUUUCAAAUUUCAUUGAAUUAUGGCUUUACUUUUAAAUAUGUUUGACUUUAUUUAUUGAGCCCAUUGAAAUUAUUUUUCAUUUUCAAAAUUAUCUCCUGCUUUUAUUGUAUUUUUUUUCCUCUUUAGUUUGGCUUGUCUUCUCAUUACUUUUCUAAUAUCUUCAGUUGAAUUAUUUAUAAAAUGUUCCCUUUUUAUCAACCACCAAAAAGAGAACAUUUUAAAUCAUAAAAUUUCCUGAAAGUCGUGCUUUGAAUAUACUCCACAAAGAUUACUGUGGUAUAUUUUAGUCAUUAUUGUUUUCUGAAUAAACUCCUUUUCUUUUCUUGAUUUCCUUUCCAGUUCAAUUGUUGAUUCAGUAAGAAUUUUUAAAUUUCCAAGUAGUUGGUUUAUUUUUAUUUGUUUUGGUUGUUGCUUUAUAUUUCAUUUUAUUUUGGCCAAAGAACUUAACAUGUGUCAUUUCUGAUCUUUCCAAACUAGUUGAGAUUAUGUUUGUGGCCUGGUGAUAUAUGAGACCAAAUGGACAAUGGUUGUGGACAGUUGGAAACCAUACAUAGUACAAGUUUAUCUAUUAAUUCUAUCUCAGGAUACUUUUUUCUUGGUUGGGACAGCCUCAGGGUCCAAACUAAGGGUAGAGGAACAUCCAUGGGUGUGGUUACUAGGGGGACACUGGUUCUAUGCUGAGCUGAGGAGGGCACCACUCAAACAACCUGCAAGUGUUACCAAAAUAGUUAAAUAAUAGCUGGUAUGACAGGCAGUUCACUGUAUGUUCACGUGGCCUUUCCUUGACGAGUACUCAUGGAAAGUGAGAUCUCUCCCUCUUUUUAUAAGGGCAUCAUCCCAACAUGAGGAAAUCACCCUCAUGACCUCAUCUAGAUCCAAUAACUUCCCAAAGGCCCCACCUCCAAAUACCAUCCCAUGGGGUGGGGUGGGGGGGGCAUGGAGUGGGGCCUAGAGCAGCAGCAUAUGAAUUUUGGGGUGAGGACACAAAAUUCAGCAAGUAACGUUGUUUAUUGAAGUGUGUGGGGCAGACGCUGCUACUUGAUAUAUAAUCUGAUAUACAUUUUCUCCAUUCUCCUUUACUAAGAUAACAAUUUUGUUCAGGAUGGCAAUGCACCCAGGCAAAAAUACUGCCUCACUUGCAUCUGGUAGUGAUCAGGUAACCUAGUUGAGGCCUGAUGAGCUAUAAAAGAGAAGCUAUUGGGUGGGAUUUACAGGAAAGCUGUUGGUUUCCUAAUGAAGAAAGACUAGUUCAGCUGGCACAUGACUUCUACUCUCUCUCCUUCCCUUUCUUCCUGCCUGAAAUACAGAAUCAAUGCCUGAAGAUAUAGUGGCCAUUCUGAAUAAUGAGGUUGUAGAGGAGGAAACUCUUCUUCCUUCUACCUCCUAGGUGUUCCAGCUGGGGCCCUAUAAAUUUGACAAAAGACAGACUAACAAGAGAAAAACCACCAGUGCGUGCAUCAUAUAUACACACGGGAGCGCUCAAAGAUGAGUAAUUCAAAGAGGUAGUUACAACUUGAGCUUAUCCAGCAUCUCAAGAAAAGAACAAUAAGUUUUUAGAGAAAUGACAAGAGGAAGGAAAAGGAUUUUCAGUUUCUAGGAUGGCAAACUGUGAGGAGGUAAAUAUAUGAGGGAAACUAAUCGAAGAUAAGGGCUAGUUAGUAAGGUUUGUUACAUAGAUUUCCUCUGGUGCUGUCUCCAGGCUGAUAAAGGUUUAAAGUUGUCUCCAGUGAUUAACUUCUGUUCUGGUGGGAAGGGGACACCUUUACAAAUUUAUGUCCUGCUUCUAGGCAAAUAGAGGGAGGGCAGAGGACUUUUCUUGUGUUUACUUCUCAAUUGCCUUUAGCUCAAAAUAAACUUUAUGCCAAAGUGGGAUUUUCUGCUGCCCUUCAAGGUCAAGAACAGAACACUGUAGCAGAGCAUGAAGUUAGGAGGAGCCUGAAUACCAGAUAAUUUCCACAACCUCUGCAUUGGCCCUUCAGGCCUUGUGCCAGACUUCUUAUUAUUGGGGAAAAUUAUUCCAUUUAAUUCAGUUGCCAUGUUUGCAAUUUUAUUAUUGUGCAACUGAAUUUAAGCCUAACUGAGGAUAGGACGGCAAGACUUCUUACUAUAAUUGUGUUUUCUGGAAUGAAAUGUCCUUGUUUUUAUGCCCAUUUUUGCUUUAUUGUUUUAUAACCGUAUAUGGGGGUGAUAUAUGCUCACUGUUCUUAACAUUUUAUUAUUACACGUAUCUUUUCCAUUAUAUGAUAAUCUUUCUCAUUCUUUUGAAUACUUUUUGCUUUUAUUUUGUAGGCAGUAAAAAGCCAAAAAUUUUUUCUCAUAGAAGAGAAUGAAAAGUUCUGAGUAUUGUUAGGACUAAAUAUAGAAAAGAAAAAGGUUUUUUUUCUGUUCUCAUUGUCUCUCUUCAGAAAUUAUAAUUGAGUGAAUAAAUAAAUGAAUGGAUAUCCAACUAGCCAAAUUUCCACUUUAACAGAAUUACUAACCUAGUAGAUACAGAGAAUAGCAAAUUACAAUAUAUCAUAUUUUAGCAAGAGCUUGGACAGACACUAUUCUUUGGACCAGAUGGAAAAAUGUAAACCAGAUGAUAAUGUAGUUUCAUGCAUAUUCAGCUGAUUUGCUAGACAGAUCUCGGGAAUAUGGAUUUCUGGAAAAUAAAACUUUUAACUUCAUGUCUUUAUCUAUCCGUGAUGUACAAACUUCCUAUGGAUCCAUACUCAAUCUGCCACAAAUAUUAGAACGUUUAAUAAUUGGCCUUUGAAGGAAAUCAGUUAUUAUGAAGAAAGGAUGUGUUGUACAUCCAAUAGAAAAGUAAACAAUAGGGGCACCUGGGUGGCACAGUCGGUUAAGCGUCCGACUUCAGCGAGGUCACGAUCUCGCGGUCCAUGAGUUCGAGACCCGCGUCAGGCUCUGGGCUGAUGGCUCAGAGCCUGGAGCCUGUUUCCGAUUCUGUGUCUCCCUCUCUCUCUGCCCCUCCCCCGUUCAUGCUCUGUCUCUCUCUGUCCCAAAAAUAAAUAAACGUUGAAAAAAGAAUUUAAAAAAGAAAAGUAAACAAUAAACUUUCUAAUUCCUUUCAGUAGAGUCUUAAGCACUAAAAAGAAUAGUCAAAACAAGCAUCAGUCAACUAACUUAAAAAAUUAGCCAUAAAAAUUGAAAUUUUCCCUUUAUUUCUUUAUUUUUCCAGUUUUACUGAGAAAUAAUGAUAUAUACAUCACUGUAAGUUUAAGGUAUACACCAUGAUGGUUUGAUUUACAUCGUGAAAUGAUUACCACAGUAGGUUCAGGUAACAUCCAACCUCUCCUAUAAAUACAAUAAAAAGAAAAGAAAGAAGAAGAAAAAAAAGGAAAACAAUGUUCUCCUGGUGAUGAGAACUUUUAGGACUGACCCUCUUAACAACUUUCUUAUAUACCCUACAGCAGUGUUAGCUCUAGUCAUCGUGUUGUCCAUUACAUCUCCAGUGCUUAUUACUCUUAGGACUGGAAGUUUGUACCCUUUGACCACCUUCCUCCAACUCCGCCCCCGCCUCCCCCCACCCCCCAACUCUGGUAACUACAAGUCUGAUCUCACUUUUUAUAAGUUUGAUUUUUCUUCAUUGCUUUAAGUUCAUUGCCCAUCAAUGCUGGAAAAAAAAUAUGACUUACAUUACAUACUUACUUAUAAGGUACAAAUAAACAAAAGGCCUAAUGGAAAAGAGGCAAGGAAAUACAAAAAAAAAAUUGCCUGCAAAAAUUAAAACAAAAGAUGAGCCCAGGAAAUGACUAAAUAUAAUGGUAAAUGAAUGCAGUAAUAAUUUUUCUACUAAAAACAAGAGCCUCGGUUGAGAUUGAAAAAUACAAUCCAUUAGUAAAUUGAUUAUGAAGUGCACUCAAAUGUGUUUUUAAAAAGACAAAAUCUAGAAAGUUAGAUGAAUGUUUCCAUCAAAAUCAAACAAAGAAAGGGAAAGGAGAAUUUCCAGAAUCAAUAGUGGUGUCUGAGGCUUCUUCUCCUCCAUCCAGUUCUCCCACAGGGAAGAGAUCAAUGCCCCCAAAUGCUCAGCUCUGAGUGAUGCUGCAAGGGGGUUUUUAGGGGUCCCCAGAGGCUCCCAUGUGUAGUGGGUACAAAUCUCAGUCCACAAACUCAAGUGAGGAAGAAACCUAACCUUCUCUGUUUUCCUUAAUACAACUGGUCUUCUAAUACAGGCUCCCAGUCCAUCAAGGAGUCCUGAUCUUCAUCCUAGUCAUUUGGAAUCUACCCCCUUUUCCCGGGGUUGUCUAGUUCUGGAGGACUUCCCAGGGCACGCAGCUGGAGCAGGGCACGCAGCUGGAGCAGGGCACACGCUCCAUGGUUGCUAUGGAGACGCAGGUCCCUCAGGACUGGGCAUCUCUCUACUUCCGUGUUGCUCUUGAGCACCUGCCAAUCACUCCACCAGGCCACAACAAGCCCUUCUGUGGAGUCUUGCUACCUCUCUGACUGGGAUUCUCUCUGGAAAGUGAGACACGGGCACUCCUGCUCUCAGAUCCUACAUGUUCAUUGGGGAUUUUGCUCUCUCCUUGGGGGCUCAGCUCAGGACAGAGGUCCCUGAAUCCUUUUGUCCGUGAUCACUAACAUCUAAGCCAGAGGGAACAAAUUAGUAGCCUGCAGGUCAAGUCCAGUCCAGCAGGUAUUUUGUCUGGCUCAGACAGUAUUUAAAGAUUCUUCUGAAAAGAUUAUGACCAUUUUUGUUUGAAGUAGAGCUGUAGCUUUUAGAUCCAACUACCAAUUACUGGGAAGUACAGAAAACAGAGAAGCAUGUUAAAUGACACCAGCAAAAUCCCGACUAUGGGAAAGUACAUAACAAAGGAUGUGGCUUCUUUAACAAGUACAUUGUAAGGACAGAAAGAUGGGGAUCACACCUGUAGGUUAAAAGAAACUUAAAAACACCAAUCACUUGCAAUGUGUGACUUUGGAUCCUGUUUCAAACAAACUGUAAAAAAUAAAGUAAUAUAAAAUAAACGUUUAUGACCUUCAUGAGAAAAUUGUAAAUUUUAACACUGACAGGCUAUUUGAUGUGUAAUUAUUGGAAUUCUGUUUAGUUAUGAUAUUGUGUUAUAGUUAGAAACAUGAGCCCUUAUCUUUACCAAAAAAAAGGCGUAUCUGGGAUUUACUUCAAAAUAAUUGAAGAUGGGGGGAAGUGGGUGGGGUUAUGGAUGAAACAAAAUUGGCCAUGAGUCCAUAAUUAUGGAAACUCGGUGAUGAGUACAAGGAAGUUCAUUAAAGCACUUUGUCUAUUUUAAAUAUGUUUGAAGUUUUCCAUUAUAACAUUUUUUAAGGGGAGCUUCCACAUAAAACAUCUGAUUUUGGAUUCUCUUGGAAAAAAGGACAGAGCUGGUAACACGAGGAUAGACCACCAUACUGCAGCAACCAGCCAGAGUUGAGAAGUGUUACAGGAUAGGCACCCAGAAAACUAUAGUCCCUGCCAUCCCUGUUGUCCUUAAACCUGGCUCACUUCCCAUGUUUAUGGUACCUGCCUCAGCCAUCAGUGUUCUAAUCUGCAACCCACAGGAAAUUUCCUUCCAACACUCCCCUCACCCAGGUCACCCACUGUUGUUCAGGUGGGGCUGUGCCAAAGGGGGUACCUGUUUUUCCUCUCCUUUUCAUGAUGCUUUUCCCCCAAAUCCUUUCUCUGUGCUAUGUGCUAUUCUUUUUGGGCCUCCAACGGUCUAGGAUUUUGAAACUCAAAAGCCAGAAGGAAACACUUGCCCCUCCUCCCCAUCUUCUGCUUUUGGCCAUUACGCCCCUUCCCUGAGGGAGUGAGAACAGAACAACCUGACACUGGAUGAAAAACCGGGGAACAUUUGGUUAAGAUGUAGAUACAGGUCUUAUACAAUAUCAGAUUGGCGAAUAUUAAAAAGUUGGGUAAUAUCAAGUGCUGCCAAAGGUGAAGGAAAACAAACUCUCAUAGGAGUGUCAAUUGGCAUAACUUUCCGGGAAGCAGUUUGGAAGGGUUAAGUGAAGCAAUACAGAUAGACCCUACAACCCAGCUCUCCUGGAUGCGGAGUCCAGAGCAACUCUGGACUGAGCCCCCAGAGAAACACCUGUGAACAUGUUCUUGUAGAAUCAUUUGUAUUAGUGAGAAUUUGGAAAUACCUGGAUUAGAAGUUUAUUAAUAGAAAAGCAGAUACAUAAAAUGUAUCCAACAAUGAGGACUGUUCAGCAGAUAAAAGAAAUGUUCUGGUUCAUGUUUAUCCUAUAACUUGGAGCCAUCUCAAAAUCUCAUCAUUGGGAUUUUCAUCACUGGACAAAAUCUCACCUCUGGACAAAAGUGAGAAGAGAAUGAUAUGUAUAUACCAAAAGGCCACAUCAGCAUAUUUUUAAAAAAUAUGCACAAAAUAAUACCACUACUGGGUCUUGAUACAAAUAGGCAUAUAGAUGGGCAGGGCACACAGAAUCACAGCAAUGGUAAGAGGGAAAAAAAUGAGGCUGGAGAUGGGACAAAAAGAUGAAAAAAGAGAGUAAAAUAAAAGUGAGCCCUGAGAGCAUCUGUCUGGCCUAGUCGGUGGAGCAUGUGACUCUUGAUCUCGGGAUUAUGGGUUUGAGCCCCAUGUUGGCUGUGGAGAUUGCUUAAAAAUAAAAUAUUAUAGGGGUGCCUGGGUGGCUCAGUUGGUGGAGCAUGUGACUGUUGAUCUCAGGGUUGUGGGUUUGAGCCCCAUGUUGGCUGUGGAGAUUGCUUGCUUAAAAAUAAAAUCUUACAAGGUGAGCCCUACACAUGCUAAUAAAGGUGGUGUGCCUUCAACCAAGGAGUAUGGCUGAUUCAUUCCCAGCACAUGAGCUUUCAGCAAACAGAAAAUCAAACCAAAACAAAAUACUAGUUAAUAUUUAAAAUAUUAACCUGAUGCAUGUGGAAAGAGCACGUGAGUGAGUGGCUAUGAAUAACCAGGAGGCUAAUGUGUGCCCAGAGGUGGCAGAGAGAGCUAUCACUUAGGGUUCUAGGCAGAGUGGGGCCAGACAGUGGGCUUGGGCCACCUCAGGGGACACCAGGUGUCCCCAAACCUUUAGUCUCCUGUGAUUCUCUCCAAAAGCGGAUCUCAUUCUGGGGUCACCCCUGUUGUGGCCUUGAGUUGCUUAAUCACAGACAUUCACCUCCUGUCAGCACUGUUGGCUGCUCUCAGGUAACCUGCUGGGUCACAGAGAUUGUCGCCAUGGAGUGGUUUCAACUUGUUAAUAGCCUCCAGCUCCUCCAGUAAAGUCAAGAUAUCCUGGGUACAAAUACUCCUGCAACUCCCCCCGUUUUUACAUGCCUUCAAUACCAAAAGCUACUUUUCAGAUAGUGCGUUGUAUGAUAGAGACUAGAACUGCCCGGCUUUCUUUGGUUGGGCUGUGGAGAGGCAGAGAAGAGUGGUUCUGGCAAACAGCCCUGAUUUUGCUUGAAACCCCACUCUUGGGAAUGAAGGGGAGAAAGAAAGAUGAUGUGCUGUUGCUGUCUCCUGAGCCCAUUCUUCUACUCUCUCCUCCCCUUCCCUCCUUUCCUUUUACAAACAUGUCUUCAGUGUGAAUAUGCACCAGGCACUGUGCUAGGCACCAUACAAUUUGAAUCUGACAUUGUUGCUGGCCCUGAAGAAGAUUUAAGUCUAGUGGGGAGCAAGCAGUGAGCAGGGUCAAGCGUGGUAGAGAUCUGUGGGGGGUGGGGAUGCUUUGAGGCCACAGAGUAGGACAGCUACAUCAGAUGAGAGGAUAUCAAGGAUGGCUUCUUGGAGGUGGUGCUCCUUGAGCUGAGUCUGAAAGGAUAAAUGCAGUUAACAAGCAGGGGAAGGUUAGGGAAAAGGUAUUCCUGCUGGAGGAAAGAGCAUGUGGAAUGGCUAGGAGGCAUGAAACAGCAGGAAGCAGUGGGAAGCUGUCACCAGUUCACCAUAUCUGGACUUGGGGCUCAGGAAGGGUCUUGGGUGCUAGUACUUAACUCAUGUCCUAUCUUCUCCCUGAAGCUUGCAGAACUACCCCAGCCCCAUCAUGUACCCCUCUUCUAUAAUCUUGCGCCAACAUCUUCCAAUCAAAAAAUUGCAUAUUAUUAUUAUUAUUAUCAUUAUUAUUUUCGUGUGAAGGCUUUAUUUUCUGUAUUUCAACUUACAAAAGGGCACAUGAGCCCAGUGCUUCUCCCAUCCGGUGCCUUGCGUUAUAGCCUUUGUUCCACCAUGGGGAUGACUCAUGAUCCAGUUCUGAGUGGAUUCAUGAUCCAGCUUUUCCGUGAAGAGGCAGACUGAGGCAGUGGGUAGAAGCACCAAAUCCCACCCUAGUGCACUAGGUUUUUAUCUGAGAGGCUUCUGCAAUUGUGUACCUGAGCCAGACUGACAUCUGGACCAGUGCCCAGGUGAGCAUUCUUCUGGGAGGGUGUGGUAGAUAGCCUCUGAGAUGGUGCCCAGUGAGCCCCAUCUCCUGGUUUUCAUGGCCUUGUGUAGUGUCCCACAUUGUAUCAGCGUUGAUCUGUAUGAUCAGAAAAAUGUAACAGAAGUGACAGGACAUGCCUUUAAGCCUGGCUCCAUAAAGACAUUAUGACUUCUGCGUUCAUUUCCGUCUUGGGCUGUGCACUCUGGAGGAAGCUAGUGUAUGUUGUAAAGACACAUCAGCAGUUCACGAGUUCACGGGGUGAGGAACUGAGGCCUCCCACCAACAGCCACGAGAGGAGGCAUUGUAGAUGUGGAUCCCACAGCCCCAGCCAAGCCUUCAGAUGACAGCAGCCCCAUCCGACAUCUUGACCACAGCCUCAUGAGAGACCUUGAGCCAGAACCAUCCAGCUUAGCUGCUUCCAAAUUCCCAACUGUUAGAUACUGUUAGAGAUGAUAAAUGCUUACUAUUUAAGCCAUGAUGUCUUAGGGUAAUUUAUUACAUAGCGAUAGAUAACUAACAAAGUGUACUUGGUAGCUCUAAGUGGCUUUUCCUGCUUGUGUCUGGGGAGGCUUCCUGAUGAGGCUUUUGUCUCCUCUGAUAGGCAGAAGUGUUGGGGCUCCCCAAAGGCCACAUCCACUCACCCCGAUUCCUUCCCUCAUUCCUCCCUCCCCAGGUACUUCCCUUGAAGUGACCAAUAACCCAACAGCAGAUGCAGAAGAACCUCGUCCGGACUUCCCUUAUGUGACUAGCACAGAGCUUUGGGAGAAUGAGCCACCACACCCGACCCCCACCCCUCCAGGGAGGCUUCAGUCAGGGAGGCACUGACUGGCACAGGGACAUUCCCAAAGAAAUGGUGUAAACACACCUCAUCAGAACCUGCCAUCCUUUGAAGCACUAGCCCCUUACCCCUUUUAUUAAAUUGGGAUAUACAUCUUUACCCCUGGUUUUCCAGUGACUUACCCAUUACUCGGUGCUCUGGAACUCGGUGUGUGCACACACUUUUUCUUUUCUCCUGUGAAUCUGGCCACUAUCCCCACCCUCAAACCUGAGUUAGUAGAGGAAAAAGUUGUCCUUCCAACAAUUUCAAAUCAAAGAAAUCCCCAGGGGCCGUCCAAUGGGAAGUUCUGAGGCCCUCUGCACUGAGUUUUGUCUGGUCAAAGGAACUGAGUUUAAGAGCAACCACCUCUGCAGGGGAGAUGCCCCAGGGAUUCACAGCCCUUUCAACCCUGGUGCAGAUGGCCAGGGCCCAGAGACACACAGCUUCUGGGCCUGAGGUCACAGCAGAGGCAACUUCUGACUUAUAAAAGAUUGUGUCUCCUGGUCUGUGGCGGCUUCCUUUUGGUUUUUUGCUUACUUAACCAACCCUUAGUACUUGCUAUGUGCCAGACUCUGUUCUAAAUACUUUACAAAUAAUAAGCCAUUUAGUCCUCAGAAUGACCCUAUGAGGUAAAUGUUCUUGUUGUCUUCAUUUUACAAAUAAGGAUCAGAGAGCACAGAGAUGUUAAGCAAUUUGCCCAAGGUCACACAGUGAGUGGGUAGCAGAGUAAGGAUUCACACCCUGGUAGUGCUUGGCUCUAAGAUGAGAAUUGACCCAAUGUCUAUUCAGUGAGCAUUCUGUGCCUCUGGGCACUGUUCUGGCCAGGGCUCCUGGGGCUGGACAAGGUUAUGUAUUUGAGUCCUGGCUAUGGGCAAUCCAGAGGUACACAUCCAAGCAGGGCAGUGUCCUGAAUAAGCUAGGCACAUCCUUAAGAAGGAAAACCAUGGGGUUGUUCAUCUUCCAAGACUAACCUCUGUACUCAACCUUGCAGGCCUGCCUGAGCCCUGCCUUGGGCAGGAGGGUAUCCUCUCUGAUCAUGCUCAUUCCUGCCUCCUCACCUUAGCUCAGCCACAUACCUGGGGGGAUGUCUCUGCACUUCCCCAUCUGCCUAGACUAAUGGUUCUCGACCAAGGGCAAUUUUGCCUCCUGGAGAUAAGAGGUGAUGUCUAGAGACAUUUUGAUUGUCACAAGUAGAAGGCUGCUAGUGGCACCUAGUGAGCAGGGGCCUGGGAUGCUGCCAAACGUCCUAAAAUGCACAGGAUGACACCUCACCACAAAGGAUUAUCUGGACCAAAAUGUCAAUAGUGUGCAGGUUGAGAAACUGGCCUGGGUCCAUCUCACAGCCUCCUUAAGGCUAACGACCACCAUCACCACCACCCCCUGCCCCCCGCCACACACACGUGAUCUGAUUCUUAUUACAGUGGUGGUCCAGGGUCCUAGUGGGGCUCCAUGCAUCCUCACUUCAUCUCUCAGAGGCCACAGCAGAACAUGAAAGAUCCAGUCUGCAUGCCAGCUACAAGUUCUUAGAAAUACAGCAAGGAUUUUGAGGUACUGACAAAUGUAGCUGACAUUAUUUUGUAUCAGGCUCUGUGCUAAGCAUUUUGUAUAUUUUGUCAUAUAUAAUUCUCAUAAGCCAGCCUUAGAUACUAGUAUCAUCCCUAUUUCAGAUUGGGAAACUGAGGCUUACAAAUGUCAAGUAACUUGCUCAAGGUCACACAGCUAAUAAAUGACAGGGCCAAGUUUGUGCCCUUCCCUGGCAGUCUGACUCUAGCACUGAUAUACAUACUGAGGCAAAGUAAAGAUGGUAAAUGUACAAGAGGCCUGCCUGAGGUCAGGGGCCUCCUGGCCUCCUGUGGGACAGAGGGACCAGCACCACUCACUCUCCAUAACAUAGUUGCAGCCAAGACUCUUGGAGCUGGGCAGAGAGAGGCUAGACCUGCCAUGGUUCUUCAAGAGGGAAGAACGAUAGUAGAGAGAAGGGAGAGGUGGGUUGGUUUUUGUACGGGGACCGUUGAGACAGGACCCGCAAGAAAGAGAUGGGUAAGGAAGGAGGCCUGGGAGCUUUUUAUUAUUUAUUAUAGCAAGAAAGAAUGGGAAAGAAUAGGAGGUUUGUUUCUAAGCUAUAAAUGCCCUCCUUUGAUCCCUGUGCAUAUCAGAGAUAAAUGAGUCACUGAGGCCUCAGAAAUUAAUGAUUGUCCUAAUUAUUACCUCAAGUGACCUUCCAGCAUUAGUAAUUCUCCUCACUCCCUGCAAAGUAGCUGUGGCAAAGUUUGACCAGGUUUGGGGAAGAGGCAGGACUAACGUGGGUGAGUUUCUGCUGGGACAGGCUCAGUUGGCAGAGAUGAAACCGGCCUCAGCUCCUCAGGAGAACAGAGAGCCGGACUCCAAUGGGAAAGGCCCUGCCCUCCCAGUGUUUGCCUUCAGGGCCUGGUGGGAUCCCGAAUCCGCUGAGAGGGGACAGUUUGGAGGCGUUUGAAGAGCUGCUGGGCCAGCUGAAAGCAAAAGGGCGGUUCCUGCAGAGUUAACAUCCGACCUUCCGCAGGCCCUUCCCCAUUCAGAUUCCCGGAAAAGCUUUGAAGUUUCGUCUGUGUGCAUGUUUUCAUUGCCCUGAUCUUGCCGUACGGGUAUUAGCCUGCAGCCCUGCCCCAUCCCUGGGGAUUUAUUCCCCAACUGCAAAAAUCUUAGGAAAAUACUGCAAGCUCCACCCACCAUCCCCAAGCCUCUGGCUGCUUUGUCCUUAGGCUAGAAUAACAAAGGAGACCUCAGAACCCUCACCAGGGGACAUUCUCUUCGCGUUUAUAGUUUCUCCAGAGACAUUCCGGUGAUGACCUCCGGGACCGGAUCUGAGGACAGAAGCUUCCAAGUUCGGGGAGGUGGGGGGGAGGGAGAAGGUGGUAAGAGGAAGGGUGAGUGAACAAGAUUGUCCCGGAAGGCCUCCCCAGGCGCAGGCCAGGUCCAGGGCAAUUACAGCAGGACCCAGAGAGCCUCUUUCCAAGUCUUGUUCAAUGAGCCAACCACUGUGCUUUCGGUACCCAAAUAUCAGUGUCAGGGACCUUUGCUGCUCCCAGCUUCACACAAGGUCCUCUGCUAUCACAUUGCUCAAGGCCACCAGCGAGGCGUAAGUCAGGAUUGAAGAAGAAGAGGAGGGGGAGAGGAGAGAAAAGAGGAGGUGGAGAAGAAGAAAGAUGGAAGACAGACUGAGACAGAGGAAGAGAAGGAAAGCCGGGAAUCCCAAACCAGCCUGAUUUUGCUUUUCAGAGCAAAGACUCUGAACAAUGGUGCCAUCUUGUGGCUGUGAGGAGAAAUUACCACCAGGACUUGCACUCGUGUUCUCCCUCCCUCCCUCCCUCUCCCUCUCUCUUCCUUUCCCUCUCUUCCUCUGUGUGUGUGUGUGUGUGUGUGUGUGUGUGUGUGUCUGCUUGUGUUUCUUUUUCUGUCUAAUCACCCUCCCCCCCCAUUUCUCUCCUUCCCUCUCAAUGUCUCCCGCCCACAUGCCCCUCCUCUUCAUAUUCCAGAGUAAGACUUCUAUAUACAAGUUUCUAGAAUGGUACUGUCCAAAAGCAGUAACCACUAGCCACAUAUCACACAUUAUACUCAAAUGUAAAUUAAUUAAAUGAAAUAAAUUUUAAAAUUUAGAAUUCACUUCCUCAGUCACACUAGCCACAAAUGCUCACUAGUCCCAUGUGACUGGAGGCUACUGUAUUGGACAGCACAGAAAUAGAGUAUUUCCAUUGUUGCAGAAAGUUCUGUUAACAAUGCUGUUAUAGAAAGUUCAGAGUUGUCAUCUGAUAGAGGAUUGUAAAAAUCCAGAGGAAAUAAUAGUUUAGGUGCUGCCUUCUACCUUCCGAGUAGCCACUGGUAAAAGGUUUGCAGAGCAGUUUUCUCCCAGACCCUUUCCUCCCAAUGUCAGGGCUUCAGCAAUUGAUGGGGGCAGUGUUGCAUUUUAGAAACAGUAGACUGGGUGUCAGAUAGACCUGAGUGUGAACCCAAGCUCUGCCACUGAAGCCUCUCUGGACCUCAGUUUGCUCCUCGGUCAGAUAAUUCCUCUAGACUUUUCCAGUUUUACCAGGCUGUUAUGUGCCAGGGUUUGACAAGAGCUGAUGUCAAACCCAGAAGGAGGCAUGAAACAAGCAAGUCCCUGAGCUGUGCCUCACCCAUGGUGUCUGCAACUGUAGCGGCACAAGUCAUGGAUCUUGGCAUUCUCCCCGCCCCCACUUAUCCCCAAGGCCACUCCAAGCUCUGUGUCUCUCCCAAGUACCUCUUAAGUGACUUCACAUCUGCCUGGUGAAAGACUGGCUGUUUGGUGUUUGACUCAACCCUAACUUUAAGUUUCACUUGCUCCUUCAACAAUAUUUAUUGCACUCUUAUUAUGUGCCAAGUACUGUCAUUGGGGACCUCCAUUCUGCACCUUACAUUUUAACUGGGGAGACAGAUAUUAGGCACUUAAAUAUAUCACAUAAUGGGGAGUAGUAAUAAGUGUGACAAAGGGAAAUCAGGCAGGGGAAUUGUAAGGCUAUUUCUGAUAGAGUAGUUGAUCAGGCAAAAGUUUUAUAAGCAGGUGACAUUUGUGCAGAGGCCCGAAUGGUGUGAGGGAGUAGGCCAGUGGAUAUCUGAGGGGGAAAAGGGAUUGUAAGACUGCAAAUGCAAAGGAUGCAAAGGCGUGAAGCUGGCUCUGUGAGUCUUCUCCCAGGGUAAGCAGUUAUAGGAGAUGACACAUGUAUGCUAAUCUAGAGGUCUAGGGUCUAGCAUCUAAGAACAGAUGGAACAUUUAUCCCUUCUCUAGCUAGCCCUGUCUUUAGCAUCCAAAGAUAUCUUUAUAGACAUCCACCUGCUAAAGGCCCAUCAUGCUUCUGGGGAGACUAUGCUCUAGGUCUGGACUCAGGACCUUCUGGCUCCCAACCUUCUGAAUACAGAAGCUGACUUUUUUUUUUUAGUUUAUUUAUUUAUUUUGAGAGCAUGUGAGUGGGGGAGGGGCAGAGAGGGGGGGAGAGAGAGAGAGAGAGAGAGAGAGAAUCCCCAGCAGGUUCUGUGCUGUCAGUGCAGAGCUCAACUCAGGGCUCGAACUCACAAACCGUGAGGUCAUGUCCUGAGCCAAAAUCAAGAGUCAGAUGCUUAAGUCACUGAGCCACCAGGUGCCCCCAGAAGCUGACUUUUGAUGUGAGAAAUCCAAAACACUCACCAUCUGAGCCAGUGUUUUCUUUCCCCAAAUUGCUGGGCUCCCUUCUAAGGACGGUGGUGAUCCCACAACUCUGCUUUGCUUAUAUCAAACAGCCUAGAUUUCCGAAUGAACAUCUUCACCAAGACAUCAAAGUUGAAAAAAUUGUUUCCAAGUUUAUGUAUUUUGAGAGACAGAGAAAGAGAGGGGGGACAUGUGAGUGGGGGAAGGACAGAGAGAGAGGGACAGAGAGAAUCUCAAGCAGGCUCCACACUGUCAUCACUAAGCCUGACGUGGGGCUCCAUCCCACGGACCACUGUGACAUCAUGACCUGAGCCGAGAUCGACAGUCAGAUGCUUAACCGACUGAGCCACCCAGGCACCCCCAGAGUUGAAAUGUAAAAAGAGCAAUUCUUUCAGAGAGAAUGCCCAAGCUUUAGACAUCUGGUGUUUGGCUGGUUCCUAUUCUAGGCUAGUUUGCUCUGCCUCCUGCCCAUUAACAGAGCCGUUUCCUGUGUUUUGUUCAUUUUCCAGGUUAACGGAGCACAGUUUGCAGGUAUGCUUACAAAAUAUCACCUGGAACAUUUUUCUGUGUUUCUGAAGGCUUAUGUUCUCCAUGGGCAGAGAGCCAGUUGCUUACAAGUAAAACUGCUCCAAAACUAGAUUGCUCUCAGGGCCCAUUUGAGUUUGCUUUUCCAGCAUGUGAGUUAACAAGAAUGAGUCAAAUGUCUCCUGAGUGGCCUCCGGGUUACUGGACUCAGAAGGUCAGAAAUGUCUGUGGAAGAAGUCUGAGGACUUGAGAUCUUUUUUUUUUUUUUAAUUAAAAAAAAAUUUUUUUUUUUAACGUUUAUUUAUUUUUGAGACAGAGAGAGACAGAGCAUGAACGGGGGAGGGUCAGAGAGAGAGAGAGACACAGAAUCUGAAACAGGCUCCAGGCUCUGAGCUGUCAGCACAGAGCCCGACGCGGGGCUCGAACUCAUGGACCGCGAGAUCAUGACCUGAGUGGAAGUCGGACGCUUAACCAACCGAGCCACCCAGGCGCCCCUCGAGAUCUUUUUUCAGUGUUCCCCUUCACGAUGCCCAUUUCACAUAUCCAGAAGCCAAGCGAGGCAGCCUGGUGCAUGAGCCUGGGUUUCUUUCCCAGAAAGCAUUUUGCAGUCUUGGUGGCCAGAUUCAAAUAACCUCCACUAAAAUGAAAAAACAAAGAAACAAACAAACAAAUACCAAAAAAAAAAAAAAAAAAAAAAAAAAAAAAAGAAUCCCAAUUUGGACGUUAGAAAACAUCUUCACAAUUAAUUUAGUCUUUUAGUUUUUGUGGUUUCAGCAACUGCCUUAUUUGGGUAUCUUCUUGACACUUGAUGGUUUCAGAGGCUUCUAUCCAAGAGGAAGUCCCCUGAAGAGAAAGUGUAACUUGGUCUUUGUUACAUUCUCUGUGUAGGAAACUGCCUGGCCACAGCUUCAAGCUCUUGCCAUUGGCUCUUCAGGGUCAGUGUCUCUUGCUCAGGCGAGUUUGUCAGGUGAAUCUGCUCAGGUAAUACUGUCUUGUUGUGGGGCUCCCCAGGGACACCUGCCCGGGCCUGGGGAGAGCUGUGUGGGAAAGUGCCUCUUCUAGCUGAGGCUGUACCUGCCUCUCUGUGCAGGGAGGGGAGGUCAGUCGCCACUGCCUUGAAGCUAGUCCAGUCUGCACCUGGACCAGGAACCAAAGUAGACUCGCCUCAAUUAAAAUCCCUGGCAACGAGGGCCAAGAAUGACUUGGCUGUCCUCUCCCUGCCACAAGAAACGGGCCUGCCACGGCCACCUCUCCAGUGAGAGUUAGCAUGCACUCGCCUUGGUGUGGUUUUCAGUUUUAGGAAGAUACGACGGGGGGCAGGGCGAGUCCUGGCAAUCUCGGCAAAGACUUCGAGCGAGGAGACUUGGGUGCUGCUGGUGCGAAUGUAAAUCAUUGCAACAUUCCAGGAGGCCAGGUGGGCAGGAUGUAUCACGCCCAGGUCAGUCCUGCCUUGUUGGUCGUUAUGAGUUACUGUUAAUUUUUGGAAUUUACCCCUUUUCAUUCUCAAAACAUGUCCCACUUUGCAGGACAAAUGAUAUGGUCACCCAGUCUUCGGAUGCCUUUAGGAAAUGUAUGCUAAGAAUACACAGACAUAGCUUCAGGGAUGUUUACUACAGGCCUACUAGGCAUAAAGAGAAGUUAGAGAUAAAUUAUGUGUCUUACCCCAGAGGAUUAACUAAGUUCAAUAAAUUAUAGCAUAUCCACACAGUAGAGUGCUAGAUAGCCAAUGAAAAAUGGAAUGUAGCAAAAUAUUAAACAGCAUAGAAAUCCUAUCCUAUAGUAUUAUCCAAGUCCAGUUUACAAAGAAAAAGGACUAACCGAGGACUAAACUGUUGGUUCUCUCUGGGCAGUGGAAUUGGAAGUGGCUUAUAUAUCCUCCUCUAUACUUUUCCUGUGUUUCCAAAUUUUCUACAAUGGACAUAUAUGUUAUAGGCAGAAUAAUGGCCUCCCAAAGAUGGCCACACUCUACUCCCCAGAGUCUGUGAACACGUAAGGUUACAUGAGGAAAGGGAAUCAGGUUUCCAGGUGAACUUGAUGUUGCUAAUCAGCUGACCUGGAGAAAGAGAGAUUAGCCUGGAUAAUCCAGGUGGAUCCAAUGUCAUCACAGAAGUCUUGGCGCGCCUGGGCGGCUCAGUCGGCUGGGCGUCCGGCUUCAGCUCAGGCCAUGAUCUCACAGUUCGUGGGUUCGAGCCCCAUGUUAGGCUCUGUGCUGACAGCUCGGAGCCUGGAGCCUGCUUCGGAUUCUGUGUCUCCCUCUCUCUCUCUGCCCCUCCCUCGCUCAUACUCUGUCUCUCUCUGUCUCAAAAAUAUACGUUAAAAAGAAAGUUAAAAAAAAUGUAAUCACAGAAGUCUUUAACCAUGGGGGGAUGACACAGGCACAGGCACAGGAGAACGGAGCCCUAGGAGAAGGACUCCACCAGCCAUUGCCGAUGGAAGGGGGCCCAGGAGCCCAGAAAUGCUGGUGACCCCCAGAAGCUAGAAAAGAUAAGAGAACGGGUUCUUGCCUAGAGCCUCCGGAAAAGGAAUAGGGCCCUGCUGACACCUUGAUUUUAGCCCAGCGAGAGCCAUGUUGGACUCCUGACCUACAAAACUGUAAGAUGAUAAACUUGGAUUGUUUUAAGCCACUUCAUGCAUGGUAAUUGGUAACUGCCGUGAUAGGAAAUGAAUACAAUGAAUUUCUUUUUUAAUUAAAAAAAAGAGAGAUGGUGAUAGUAAAAGUCACUUAAAAAGAAAGGAUUAAAAAUCCUUAUAAUGCCUUAUAAUUUAACCCAGCAGCCACACUGGGAGGAAGCCUGGCACAGUCUUCUUCCUACAAAAAAUCUGGAUGAGGAGUUCCUAGCUGGCUGCUGUUUUGUUAUUGGAAGGAAAUAAUAACACAAGGGAUAAGUAAAUGACCCGACCAGCCAGCAGCCUGAGAAUGGUCCUCCAGCGGUGCAUAAAUAAUUGUACAAAAUGGGGCAAGAACAAUCAGUGCUCUAGGUCCAGAGGAGGGAGAACCACGGAGCUGCUGCUCUUGAGAAUUCUGGGACCCGGAGAGGAAUUGAACUUGCAACCCUUUCUGAGCAAGUGGAAACUGCCAGGCUGUUCUGCUGGUUUGUGCUGGCAAAUCCCAUUCUGACAUCAAUAAAUAGAAAGAAGAGGGUGAUGGCUUUUGCAACCCCUGCCAGGGGCAGGGAGCUGAGCAGUCUGGCCCAUUCUGAACUGUUCACUGGAACAAUCUGCUCAGGUUAGAGAGUGGCAGAGGAUUCUCUCCUAAAUAAAUCCUUUCCUGUUUGCUCUGAAGGAGCUCUAACGGAAACCCCCAGACUCUUAGCAAAGGCUGCGAAGAAUAAGGUAUCUGAAAAUGGAAACAGCCUUUUUUUUUUCUUUGCUAGAGGGUCCAAAAUGACCUCCUCUUCAGUCUGUAGUAAAGACUCCCUCUCUGUUGCAGGUAGGACCCUCUGGGAGCAGGUGCUGAGUUGGCGUUUGGUGAGCAAGACAUUCGUUAGGGGUAAACACCUGUGGAGGUCAGGGAGCCGAAGCAGGACUGAGCACGGAGGGUGGUGAUGCCGUGAUGUGGUCCUGACAAAGCCAAGCCCACAGGCAUGUGUAGCCCAUUAGAACUGCUGGUGGGGGCUUCAGUGGCCAGUGUUUAGACACCUUGCUCGUGAUCAGUUGCUGGAUGUAAGUACGGUUUAGGCGAGGCAACUCUCAGCCAGCCCCAAAGGAGCUGGGCGCUGUCUGCCGACUGCACCAAGAUCUUCUUUGAAGGGCAGUCAGGUUGGCACAUCUUGUGUCAACUGCACCAUGCCUCCCCGUGGACCUUGUUCUGCUUAUCGGCCAGGAUCCAUAGUCCUGCUAACCUGGUGGGUGCAAGAAGGACUUGGCUAAUUUUGCAUGGCUCCUGAAAGCAGAAGUGACAUUUCAGCAGGAUCUGCUGAAAUUCAGCUCAGAACAGAGGACUUGAUAGGAGAGCAUGACUAUUUACAAUGGGACAGAAUCCCUCCAGAGGUCCCGAGCCUCUGGAAUACUCAGAGUGUGGGAAUUGGUGGCAGGAUGGAGAAGGGCUUUCUACAUUGAGCCAGAGAGAGGACAGGUUCCUUCUGGGGCUGCUUAUGACCCUGACAGUGGGUGGCUAAUGGGGCCACUGCAGGGGGCUGCUCUUGGCCAUCUGUGGCUCUGUCUACUGAUGUCACUUCUGGGGCUGACAUCCAUUUCAUGUCAGGUCUGCUUCUAGGAGUUUGUCACAUACCAGGUCACCCUUAGUCCCAGAUGGGGCACAAAUGCAGCUCAGAGAAUCCCUACAGGCUGGCCCCUUCAGAUUACCCCCUCCCGUUCCCCUUCUUGUCUCACUUGUUUGGUUCCAGUCUGACUUCCUUCUUCCCAUUUUGGCCCUUUUGGAUUUGCUGAUCCUGGCAUGCCUUCCAUCUCCCUAGGACCUAGCUCUGCUUCACGGCUCUCAGCCCAUGCUCUGUGGCCCUAGACACUGUAUUUCCUCUCCCAGUCGUGUCCCCAAGACCUCAUUUACCUGCCCAUCCCUGUCCUGGAGGCAAGAUCAGUCAGUAACAAGUGCUGAACAUUCACAGUCCCCUUGGUAAAUGGGACUUCCUCUUAUUCGCUCAAGCCAUACCUGCCACAAAUUCUAGAAGGUGCUGCCUUUUCCUAGUAUUUCCAAGUUUGAUGAACCAAUCAUGUUUAUAUUCAUGCUAUUCAUUACUUCAUAUGUGUGUUUAAGAACCUUAGUGUAUCAUCUAUGCAAAAUGAUACACAUUAGGUACAUGUAACCACAUCUAAGUGCCUACCCACCAACUGUUUAAGAAAUGGAAAUGUGUCAGUACCUUUGAAGUCCCCUGAGGUCUACUCUCUCACUGAGGUAGGUGCGAUGGACCCAUCUGGAUUCCGGGUCCUUCCUUCCUUUAUUGCUUUUUACAGUGUUACAGCCUACGUAUGCGUUCCUAUGCAAUAUGGUCUUUGCUUCUGCUAGUUUUUAAAAAUUCAGAUAGUUGGAACUUACUGUGUUGUUCUUCUGUGACACCUUCUUUCACUCAGUAUUAUGUUUUUGGGAUCUAGCUCUGCUGUGACAUGCAAUUUUAUAUUUUAGCCAGGACCUUUGUCAAUCUUCAUCUUUCCUCUGACCCUAUGGGCUAAAGGCUCAUGGGCUUUUAGUUUGUCUCCAGUAGUCGCACUGGAGAACCCCCCUUUUUUUCUCAUUCUCUCCCUCUUGUCUCCUCCUUUGCAUCUUCCUCUGUUACCUCCUUCAAGGACAAAGACCACCUAUCCACACACCCACGCAUGUGCACCCAUGCAUGGGGUUUCUGAAACAAAUACAUGACCAUUGCAUUCAUGUGGAGGUGAUUUAAUGAUUGUGACACUUACUUUGCUGAAAUCUGGACCCUGGGGCAGAAAUGAGUUCUCUCUUCCUGCUCCAGGAAAGUGAAGCAUGUUGAAUUUAUUGCCAGACUAGGCGGGCAAUGCUUUGCAAACUUUAGUGAGCACACAGAUGGCCUGGGAGUAGGGUGGGACCUUGUUAAUUAGGGAGCUUUAUGGACCCUCAUUCCCCAGAGGCUCAGAACUGGAUUAUUGGGUUCUCCAGGUGGAGCCCAGGAAUCUGUGUGUUAGCAAACAAACCUCUCUCUGCCCAGCAGUUCUGAUGCAGACCAUCUAUCGUUGGCCACUCUUUUAGCAAAGAUUAGCCUCUGCCCCAGCCAGAAUCAGGGCUGCUUGACCUGAAAUACCGUCAGCCUCCACGCAUUUCUCUUAGCCAGAGAGUAAGUGAAGGCCUGUCCCCUGAGCUUCCAACACUGGGCCUGAAUAGAAAUAAAUCUUCACUGAGGCUUGAAGUUCUGGCAAGGACUGAUCCCUCAGAGAGAAAGGUUAGGCUCCAAAACUGAUAAUCUGAAACUUGCUGCCUUUGUCCAGUGUGGAGUUUAACGGAGAUUGCUGCAUUUCCAAACAGAAAGCUGGAACAAGCAGUUGAGGCUUGCUGCUGACAUAUGAAGUGGCUCAGUCACCAGCCUGACACCGGACUGGGAGAGUGGUAGCAACUGCAGGGUCCCGAGUCUAGCCCGCAGGCCACCCCAGAGCCAGCAGGUGUGCGCAGGCCAGAGUUGCUUUAGGCCUCACUCAGGCAUUUCACAUGCUCUCCCUCUUGGCCAGGCUGGGGAGAGACAAUUAGUACUGCACAUCUAUGGCAGGAGCUGUUGAUUGUGGGCACCCUGUCUGCACUUCCCCUGUAGAACAAAGAUGUUGGCCAGUGGCCAUAGUUAGGUCACCAUACUUGUUGGGGAAGAAGCUGUCUUGGCCACUAGGGCACUUUGCACAGAUCCCUGGGAAGCAGCUAAACUGUCCUUUCCCAACCCAGUGAAAUGAAAAACAAAAGUUGUGAACCCAGGGCAGUAGAGAGAUCCUGGAUGGUACCCUAGGGCAUCUGUUGGUCUUUGAUUGAUGGAGCUGAGGAAGAGACAGGGUCAUCAUUCAGUUAAUGAGCCUGGCUUUGCAUGGUGCUGAGGCCGUGGUGAUGAACAAAAGACACAAGGUCUCUGGCCUCAUAGAGCUCCGUCUAUGUAAGUAAAUAACUGCAAACUGAAGUAUUUGCUAGGUCAGUGGGGAAUGCCAAGGGGUGGGAGGGUGGUUAUGAACUUGACCUUGAUUGUCAAGGAAUGCUUCAGAGGAGGAGACCCACUGGAUUUCAAAGGAUGAGUGGGAGUCUGAAAGUCAUGAGAGGGCAUUACAGGCAAAAGGAGAGGUCAAAGCCAAAGGCUUGAGAUGGAUUCAUCAGGCUUCAGAUGACUCCACUUAUAGCAAGUACCUAAAGCAGUCAAACUCCUAGAGACAGAAAGUAGAAGGGAGGACGCCGGGGGCCAAAAAGAGAGGAAAUGGGGAGUUAGUGUUUCAUGGGUACAGAGUUUCAGCUUUGCAAGAUGAAGAGAGUUCGUGGAUGGAUGUGGUGGUCAUUGCACAACGAUGUGAAUGUAUUUAAUGUCCCUGAAUGAGCAAUGUGCCACUUAAACAUGGUUGAAGACAGAAUAUAUAUUUAAUGGCACCUGAAAGUGCUUGGCUCUUGACCUUUAAAAGCUCUACUUGCUGAAAAUUAUCUCUGAAUGAUAAUUCAGAGUCCAUAAAUUUAGGUUACUUACUGAUUCUUUAUAUUAAAUUCUUCAUGUUAAAAAAAAAGCUAGCAGCUCCUGGGUGGCUCAGUUGGUUAAGCAUCUGACUUCGGCUCAGGUCAUGAUCUUGUGGUUCGUGAGUUCAGGCCCCGCGUCAGGCUCUGUGCUGACAACUCAGAGCCUGGAGCCUGCUUUGGAUUCUGUGUCUCCCUCUCUCUCUGAUCCUCCCCACUCACACACACACACACACACACACACACACUCUCUCUCUCUCUCUCUCUCUCUCUCUCAAAAAUAAAUAAAAAUUAAAUAUUUUUUAAAAAGCUAAAAGAAAGUUUUUGGUAACAAAAAUUACAUUGAUUUCGAAAAACCAAAGUUAUUUUUGAAUAACCUUUAACGAAGCAGAAAAACCAUGCGCAAGGGGUCCCCAAAGUUACAGUGAACAUGCAAUAUUACCAUAGGCAAGUGAGCGUUCCAGGGCCCCAACUAAGGCAAUGGCAGAAUGAAUGGAGAGGAUGGGGGUGUAUACAGCAGGUGUCAUGCAAGGUAGAGCAGCUGUGGAAAGCAAGGGAGAGAAUCUCAGGAGGUCAGGAUGGCUCACGGCAUUAGGCCUGGUGAUACCAGGGUGGGUGGGGGUACUGUUGAUCAAGCUCUAGAGGAAGGAGCAGAAAUGUGGGGAAGAAGAUCUAUGUUUUGGGUGGAAAUCAGCCCAAUACGCAGGCAUGAUAUUCGGGGACCUCAGAGUGGAGGUAAGGAUUUGAAAGUAUGGGGCAUGGAUGGCAGUAAGCAUGCUGUAUGCUAUAGAGAUGACCCCGAGAGAAGUGUGGAGGGAGGAGCGACCUUGACCAAGGAUGUAACUGUGAGGAAUGUCAAUACUUUCAGGGGGGCAGAGCCUGAGCUGACAAGAUUCACUUCGAUGAUACAGUUUCACGGCCCUAGGAUGCCUUUGCACCUCCCACCCCAUUCCCACUCCCAUAUCUCCUCCAGAGAUUCACCAUGCCUGGCGUUCUUCAGUUCAGGGAAAGUGUGGCCACGAGGCUUUGCUGUCCCAAUCAGAGGCCAAGGCAUGGUGGGAGAGGUGACAUAAGGAUUGAAAUCACACAAAGGUGCCAACAACUGAUGCCCCUGGUUUCCUGCCAGCAGGUUCCUGUGGGAGAGGGUAUACAGAUGUCUCAGAGGAGAGCUGAUGGAUGAGGAGGCACUGGGCAGGGAGGAAGGGGACCAAGUGACUCCCUGGUCAAUUUGCAGAUCCAUCUUGUUUUCACUGCAGGGGAAUCCCCAGCCUUAGCCCUGCCCAGUCUGGGUGCAAGAUUGCUGAGGAGUAAAUAAGGAGGAGUCUAUAGGCUUGUUUCCUCUCCUUUCAGCCUCUGGUGAGAGCUGACAGGCUGGGGGUGGGAUGAAGUGACUCCCUUAGCUUUGACAUGAUCCCCCGUGGCUCUUGACAUACAUUCCCCCGUACUGAUUAAGUCCACCUGUGGAGGGGCAUCCUGCCCUUUGCUGGAUCAUGCAGAACAGGUGCCCCAUUAGUCACCCCUCAGGCCAAGGAUGCCUGAAAGGAGGAGCUAGUGGAGGCUGUGUCUGACCUCAGGCCUCUGCUGCUUGGAGAGGUAGGGGAGCCCCCACCCCCACCUUCCUCCCCUGGGUUUCCCUCUCUUGCCUGAUGGCUGGAAUUGAAGCUCCCCAGAGCCAGGGCCGGGCCCAUGUCCACAAUCAGGCUUCAGAUCCAGCCCCACGUCUGGCCAGGCAUUCAGGCCCCAGGAGAAGGAGGUGAAUAUGCAGGGACCAUCCAGUUCCUGCUGCAGGGAGAGCCCGCCUGCCACCCAGUUGCUCUUAGGAAGCCUGGGUUGAAGGGGCCAUGCAGGAGUGGGUGGUUCAUGGCUAUGCUCGAAUGAGGGGCAGGGCUGGCCUCAGUCCUCCAAACAGCAUUAUCAGCAACUUGUUCAGAGCCCCUUUAGUUACCCCAGACAAGGGGGGUGAAGCAGAGUGGUAGGUUCCUGGGGCUAUUUGCUAGAUAAAUCAGUGGGGAAGUGAGGCAGUGGGGGAGAAGGGGGAGAAAAGGCCUCUGUGGAAAACAAGUGCUUCCUGUUCCUACUGUGAGGCAUGUCUCCUGUGGAUUUCCAGCCCCUGGAUAGUGGUGAGUGACACUCGUAAUAUCUACCCCAAGUUGAACUCUUGCUGCAUGCUGCCCACCAUCCUGUUAAUCAUGUUUACUUCUCAAAAGAGCCCUGAGAGAGGGGAAGAACAGCCUUCCUCUUCUCCAAACAUUUCUGCCUGUAUAUUUUACCAACCCCUCAAUGCUCCUGGAGCCCCUCCAGAGUUAUGGCUACAGGAGGUACAGCCCAGUAAGGCUUAGCCACUGACCUUAGGCUAACACGUCAGGCAGAGAAAUAGUGCCACAGGCAGAAGAGCUCUUGAAGAACAGGUGGAUGACACUGCAGGGACACAAACAAGUCAGGUGUGUUCACAAAAUGGGUACAAAGUCUAUGUUGUCACAACAUUUGGGGACUUUUGCCUUUGAGGAAAUGAGCAAGGAGGUAGUCAUCAAAUAAUGACACCCCUAAGACCAGGAUUCAUUCUUUUAUUCUGGUGUCUUCUACUUCUGUCUUUACCCCCAAACUACAGGAAAUCAUGAGUAACUAAAAAUCAGAGCCCUGCCAAGCCCUGCUGUUGACCGCUGAGUCUCCUUGUUCUGUCCCCCAAGGAACUUCCACCAGCUUCCAACACAGUGUUGCUUCCAACCAAACUCUGUCAUAAGGGUCAGGGUUGGGGGCAUGGUUCUUGGCCUUCUUAGAAACUCAAAGCUGACAACACCAUUCAAUGCAGAGGUAAAAUCUUCCAGUUAGGUCUUAGAGGUAUCGUGAUAAGUAUUCUUACCCCGUAUGGGAUUGUAUCUCAGAGAUGAGCAACCUGGGACAGCCAAGCACUAGGACCAUCAUCCAAAUGAAUGAUUCAGGUAAGAUGGAUAACUCUACCAUGUCUACACUGACCUUUCUAAGGGGCUGAAGUUAGGAAAGAAUACAGAAGCUUUUCUCAACUUUGGCUAAACAUAAGAAUUACCUGGGGAGCUUUAAAAGUCCCAAGGCCUGGGUCCCAUGCCCAGAGAUCCUGACUUAGUUUGGGGUGGGGACUGGGCAUUUGGAUGUUUACAUGUUUCCCAGAUGAUUCUAAGGCAUAGCCAGUGCUGAGGACCACCGUCCUCACCUGCAUGGCCAUCUGGUGGCUGCAUGAGGGGGCUGACCCUCAACUGCUUGGCUUCUGGUACGCACUCUGCCUUUGACAUCUGUUGUGUUGGCCCUAGGAGAAGGGACAAAAGAGAAGACUGCUCUUGGUGUAUUUCUGGCAAGAUUGGAUUUAGAAGCCAUGGAGGUAGACAGUGAACUUUCUACUGUCCUUUCCUUCUGUCUCCAGCUGACCCAGAAUGAAGUCCUGUCCUGGGAUUCCUUAGAUACCCCCGAGGAAUACUUAGUGAGCUGACAGUUCCUGAGGUUGGACAUCAUCCCCAGGUAGUAGGGGCACACAGCAGCAGGUUGUGUGGCAUCUUGUUCCAGCCAUGGUUCUGAGCCCUCCUAGGGAAUGUUCAUAACCUGGGCUUGCCCUUCUGCUUCUGGUCUGAGAUGAAGUGGGGCAAGCAUGUAGUGAUUAGUCCCUAGUGGCUACUGCAUAGGGCAGGACAAGUUGUAGAAUACUUCCAACAUUCAUAUAAAUGAAUGGGCUUAAUGUAUUCAAGUAAAACUUAAAAAAAAUUUUUUUUAAUGUUUAUUUUUGAGAGAGAGAGAGAGAGAGUGAGAGUGGGGUGGGGGGAGAGAAAGGGAGAUACAGAAUCUGAAGCAGGCUCCAGCUGCCAGCAGCCGAAGUCAGAUGCUUAACCGACUGAGCCACCCAGGCGCCUCUAAAGUAAAACUUUAUGUACAAGAACAGGUAGCAACUGUAUUUGUCCUAGGGCUACAGUUUGUGGACUCCUGCUCUAGGCCUAAGCAGGCAGGCCUUCUUUCAAAGAAGAUGCACUUUUGUUUGUAGGCUGGUAUGUACCAACCUGGAAGCAUACCAGCCCCUCCAGGGCUCUCCUCAUAGCAGGAGUCCCAGCGUGCCAGGAGUGUCCAUAACCCCCUUCAGGACAACAUGUCUCUAGUAAGUGCUCGCUGUUCUAACCCCUUCCUGGUUUUCUUUGGAGAGUAAGGCAGGGCAGGGUUGCAUAGAGCCCCCCUCCUUCCAAAUGAGAAAUUUUGUGUCCGCACUACUCAGGGUCUGGUUCUGUAAGUGGGGCAGUCCUUCAGAGCUCCUGGUUAGCCAGAGUGCCAGAGGCACGUAUUCUCUCACUUUUCCUGCUAUGUCUGCUUAAACUUGGCUGUUCUAACUUCUGCAGAGUUGAAUAAAACUCCCAGUGUCUGUGAGGAGAUCAGGCUGUAGCCAGCUUUCUUCAGGGUGCUCUGCUUCAGCACUAUAUAGGUGUCUGGGGAUUCCUUUCUGGAGUGCCUAGACCCGCUUCACAGAGUCCCUUGUGUUGGGACAAGGGUGUGACAAGGGUGAGAGAUGGGCUCUCACACAGCCUAGAUGUUGGGCCGUGCCUAUUCUCUCAAAGCUACUUGGUGCCAGGAUUAGUAGUGCAAGUCUCUGAGAACUGAGGCCAUGGUGAGAGGCUCCAGGGAAAUAUGACAGGGGCAGAGGUGAGGAAGAGGCAAAUGGUAGAUGAAGUCAGCAAAGACUCACAUGCUACCCUGCGUCAGGAUGGUGGAAGGCCCAUGAGGAGCCUCUUAGAGACCUUGCCAUGUAUUCCAGGUGUUACCAUUGCCUUACUUGCUGAUAAACCUUGGAUUGGGUAGUCUGCUUCCCUCAUCACCUUCCCAGGUGUGAGUCAGGGUGGGAAAUGAGUGCACAAUCAGCCCCUGAGAUCUCUGCCUCUCUGUUCUGGAGCAGAGGCCGUGAACACUGCACAGCCACACUCCACCCAGCAGGCAUUUGAGUGUGCUGUUGGGCAGCAGCCACUGGGAGGCAGCCAGUUUCUACUGUCAGGUUUUCACAGGAGGGUGUUAGAGACAACCCAGUGAUGCCCAAAAGCAACAUGACAAAUACCGUGUGACUACUAUCCGUUGCAAGGCCUCACAGGGCGCUGCGGUCAACCAGAGAAGGGAGGAGUUUGGCGGAAGUAGGUGAGAAGUUUCUGGAGGUGGUGACACGCCAGCUGAGAGCCUUCUGAAAAGUGAGUAGCUUUGUCCCUAAAGCAUAAGCCCACUGUCCGAAUAAGGUUGCGUUUAUAGUGCUCUUCUCUGUGACUCGUUAGCUGGGUCUUCCACAGCCUGGUUCCUUCUUCAUUCUUCCUACUCCCUACAACCUCACUCUGUCCUGACCCCAAAGUGGCAGCUAGAAACCAUCUCAGACACAAGUGUCACCAACAUGGGGCUGAGCAGCAGAAGGGCAGAGGGGCCUGCUAGGAUGACGGAUGAGGAAGCCCUGGGGCUAGAGGACAUCUGUCCCCCUUUCCCCUUCUACCUGAUGGGGAAGAUCUUUUGCUCAUAGAUGAAACCUUAAUAGCCCCAAGGCUACAGCUAAACAAGGCAUUGGAUGGAGAAAGGGGUCUAACAGAAGUCCUGCUCACUACUGCUUUCUGGAACCCCAAAUUGUAGAGUAAACCUAUGUCAGAUGGUUUGGUGAAUUGUCGGCUGUCAGCUCCUUCAGAAUGGCCCUCAAAGUCCUCUCCGUUCCUCCCAAGUAUGGAGGAUACAGUGUUAGGGUCUGCAGCUGCCCUUGAAGAGAACGCUAGAGAAAUGGCUUAGAAAUUGUACAGGUUAACCAUGGGAGACAGCCUGGACUCCUCACCUAACCUCUGGGGAAGCAGAUCUCUCCAAGAGGAGCCCCUGGAGAGGAGAAGUGCUGAGGAAGUCGGGAUUGGACAUCAAACUGAACAGGACCAGCCCCUCUAGCUGGUGGUACCAAGUACCAGGCUGUCACCCGGCUCCACGGCCUGCUCCGUGGGGCCGCAGGUAACGCGCCAGCAGUCCUUUUGGGGACCACACCCUUGUCCCAACACAAGCCCAGGACACAAGGCACAAACCCCCAGUGCUUCCUUCCCCAGCUGAGUGGUGAAGAAUUCAAUCAUUGAUGCCUUCUCAUUCACAGUCUUGCUUGUGGACAGCAGCAAGUGGGAAGGACUGGCCACAGGGGACUGCCAUCCUGUUGCGCAUGAUCGUGAAAGGGCUACUCAAGGUCGAAAACCUCACAUCAGGUGGUUUGAAGUGCUGCUUUGCAGGAGGCAUGCCUGAGAGGACUAGGUCCGAGGUUUUGCUUGCCUUCCCUUCCCUUCCUGAAAACGUACCUGUGCUGCGUCCCGCACUGAGCCAAACCUCCUGACUUCUGUUAGUGGCCGUAGCCCUUCACCUGUCUGACUCCUUUUUGUCCCUCUAGGUCUCAGCUCAGAUGCCACCAACAGUUAAUGUCACAUCACCCUGUUUAAUUCUUUCAGAGCACUCAUUGCUAUCAGCAGUUUUCUUGUUUACUGUGUGCCUCGCUGGAAUGUGAGUGUCACGAGGACAGGUCACCUGAUGUGUUCACUAGUGUAUCUAUUGCUAGGGCCCAGAACAUUCUUGGCUCAUAGCUUGUAACAGUUGGAUGAAUGUUCCCUCUCCUUGGAGUAUCUUCUUAGGAACUUCAGGAAAUACAAUGAUAAAUCCAACUGAGUAAGAGCUUAUGAUGAGACUUUGUGGAAUCCUGGUGGAGAAGGUCUUUGAGUGAGGGGAAAAGUCUUUUAAAAAUGCUCUAGAGGCAUUUUCUCAGUUCUGGAUGCUUUGCGUAUUUCCAUCAGGGAGAUCCAAUUAGUUCAUGAGUACCAGUUAUUCCCUCCCAAAUAUCUUCCUGGAAAAUAGGUACAGGUUUUUGGGUUUUGUUUUUUUUUUCCAUCUUUUGACAACUCCCUACCCCAUCCUGCCAAAAUAUUAGGUUUUAGAAUCCUAUCACGUUGAACUUCAACUUCUUUCCCUCAAAUCCCAUGGUUUGAAAUUGGGGCAUUUCAGGGGUCAGAGGGGAGCCCAGGAAGCCGAUUGUACUCCAUGUAAGUGCUGAAUACUCUAGACUCCCCAAGUGGGGGGGGAUAGAGGAGGGUCUCUCCCCUGAAGUGACUAUGUAAUUCAUGGAAAGGAAGGCAAACCCCACACAGUCCUGUGACUUGGGCAUUCUGGGGACUCUACAGAGCAGAAAGCAAAAUUAUAGCAAUUUAGUAACUUAAAUUUUUUUUUUAAUGUUUCUUUAUUUUUGAGAGACAGAGUGCAAGUGGGGGAGGGCCAGAGAGAGCAGGAGACACAGAAUCCAAAGCAGACUUCAGGGUCUGAGCUGUAAGCACAGAGCUCAAUGCGGGGCUAGAACUCACAAACAAUGAGAUCAUGACCUGAGCUGAAGUCAGACGCUCAACUGACGUAGCCACCCAGGCACCCCACAUUUGGUAACUUUUUUAAUAAGUUGGCACUAUUUGUUUCCCAUCAUGCCCUGUAUGAGAACAGUGACUGCACAUCUGUGGCUAGAGGUGUUUCUGCUGGGAGGCUGUUUAUGGAAUUUCUCAUUUUCCCGGUCGGCUCUCCUUGCCAUGAACUAGUUUCACCCAGUAGAGAGCUAUUUCUAGAGACAGCUUUAACUUAAUGGCAGGGCCAGAUAGAAUUUUAGUUUGUUCUUGACAAUAUCUUUCUCCCUUUGUUCUUCAACUACCCUUCCCUGCUCUGGGCUCAUGGGUCAGGUGGCCCCUUCAUCUCUCAGGCUGGAGGGCAGUGACUCACAGAGGGUGGUAAUAGCCUAUGUUGUUGCUACAGCUGCUGGAAUGAGCUGUUGUCUAAGACCUUAGGAUGAGGUUUUCCUUCUGGCUUAUCAGUUAACACUUGGGCUUCUAUAAUCCUAAGCAUUUUCACUUCCAAGAAAGCUAUUAAGACCAAUGAGAAAAAAAGAAGGAAAAGUAUUUGGUGGUGUCAGCUCUUCUGAGAUACUAGGUGGUAUAAGAAGGAUCUAGGAAAUGUUGGGGGGAGACUCCAUUCCUUUUAAUAAUUUAAUAAUGGAGUUGUAUCAGUCAGAACACACUAAGUUAUACUGCGGUAACAAAUACCACCACCAUCUCAUCUCAGUGGCUUAAAAAUAAAGGAAGAUAUAUUUCUCACUGAGGCUAUAGUCUGUCAUAUUGGGCAGGUGAGGUGACCUCUGCUUAUCGUAGGCCCUCAGGUACCCAGCCUGAUGGCUGUUGGUUGCCUCACUAAAGAGGAAGAGUUCUGGGGUGGGGGGGUCUGCCUUGCAUAGACCAUUAAGUGCUGUGGUCCAGAAGUGAUGUUCAAGCAUGCCCAAACACAAGAGGGGUAGGAGUACAAUCUUAUAGAGUCUGAAGGUGGGAAGAGUUGGAAAGAGAUCAGCCUCAAAGUUAGCAACAGAAGUUGACUGAAUUGGACUUCGGAACAGUUCAAACCUUUGAGACUCUGACUUGUGAUUGUUUCAAUCAUUUAUUGGGCUUGAGGGCCAUAACAGUUUGGUUUCAUGGCCAUGUUCUGCUUUGGCCUAGAGAGCUAUUGCUGUGUUUAUUUUCUCAAAAGCCUCUUUUUGGUCAGUUAGUAUCAAGAGGCAACAUUAGAGGGUGGAAGGUAAUUGGGAUUAGGAGUUGAGAUAUGGUAUCACAGGCAUGGCUAUUUUAGCACUGUUUGGAGAACACAAACUUAGGUCAUAUUAAUAGAAGUAGAAGAUGUGGAUCAAGGGAGGUGAUAAUCCUCCUUUAUUUUGCUGUACUUAUACCCUGCCUGAAUGUCAUACUUUGAAAGUAACUUUGACAAGCUUUGUCAAGCUGGAACCCAGGAAGUGUUAUCAAGGGGAGAGGAGAGUCUUGAAAAUUAUUGAAAGGGAUAACUUGGCAGCUGUUGUAUUUGAAAAGCUGUUGGAAGUUUUGUUUGUUUGUUUGUUUUUUACUGUUGAAAAAGUUACCUCCCUAUUCUGAAAUGGAUUAGACUGCACUGUGAGCAGCAUUCUCAUUGCUAUAAGUGACCAAAGAAAGCAGAGAAAGGAGUUUGACCUUCCAGACAAGGGAAGAAGGGUGGUUGUAGUAGGCAGGUUCUUGGGUCUCUUCCAAUCUGUCAUGAUUGUUUCUCUGACUCAGUUUUUCUCAGAAAUAAAGAAUAAGUCUUAAUCAUGGGAGAAAGAGUGAAUUCCAAGUGAGACUCCACUAUAUAAAAUGUUCAUACUGUUCUGCUGCUAAUCCCUCAAGAAUCUUGACAUUGGGUGAUAGGCUCUCCAUUUUAUAUGUAAAGUAACCGAGGCUGAGAAGAAAGUCAAGCACACGUAUAAUCUCACAAGGUGCUUUGGCUUAAGUGCAGCAUCUGGAACCAGACAGCUUGGGUUUACGUUCUGGCUCUGGAGCCUGCUAGCUGUGCAACCUUGGGUAAGUCAUUUAACCUCUCUGUUUUAUACUCUGUAAAAUGGAAAUGAUAGCACCUCAUAGGGUCGUGAGGAUUAACUGACUUAAUUAUACAGAGCAUAUUGAAUGUUUAGUACCCUGGCACAGAAUAUGAGUUGUCUAUGUUUCAUCUGUUAUUUAAACCAUUAUCAAUGUCUGCACUAAGUUUGAAACACUAUAGGAAUUUGAUUCAUAUAAAUAGGAAGGCCAAACUAAUUUCUCUUUUACUUUCUCUCGUGACUCAUGAAGAUAUAAUGAUACUUUUCUCCCUUUCUGGAAAUGGCUCUGUUCUAGCAUUUCAACAUAAUCCGAGAGGUGAGGUUUCAAAAUUGAAGAGUAUUAGAUAUAUUCUAAACCCACGAAUCAUGUUUACAGACCUGAAUCCUCCAAAGCCAUCUUGUAAGCCGAUAGCAGGAGAGAGGCUGUAUGUUUGGGAAUAUUCACAAAGAAUUGUUUUCACUAGUCCCAUCAGGAAAUUGAUCAGAAAUCAGCCUUUCUGAUCCAGAUUUCAAGCUAUGUGCCACCACCCCCCCUCAACUUUCCAAAUACUCAAACUCAAUAUUUUUUUAGUGUAUUGGGUCUAAGUUUUUGUAUUUAUCAGGUUUAAACUGAAUAGCAGCAUGACCCUGGGGCCAUUGUCUCAGAAUCCAUUCCCAAGUCUAGUGUAAACGCAAACAUAAAUGCAAACAAGAGCAUGCUUCUGGUCAGGUGGUGGGGUGCAGGGCGGGGGUAAAAGUCCCAAUGAGGCUCAUGAGACUAAAGCAUUAUUGGUAUGCUUUGUUGAUAGGGGUUUCUUGUUUCCUCUCUCUGGCAGACGUCUUAGUCAAAGUGAUGGUUAAGUCAGAGCUCCUCAAAGAGUCUUUGAGUGGGGACCCUUCCAAAGUGUUAAAAUCUGUGGUGAGAGAAAUUAAGCAGGAGGGGAGAUGAGGCCCAGACUAAGUACCUGUGUGCCCACAGACCCUUCCUGUUCUAGUGACAAGGUCAGCAGUCUCUGGUGGGGAUCCCCACCCCUGCACGUUCUCAUUUUCUCUUUCUCCCUCUCCCCACUCCAUCCUCCUUUCCCAGGCCCACCGCCCUCCUCUCCCUCCCCCAGGUGGGAAGCUGUGCUCCAUACCCUGACUGCUUUCUGGCUGGGAUCAGGGGACACAUGAAAGAAGGAUGUCAGACCGGGGUUUAGGUGAUUAUGCUCUAGUUCCAGCUGCAUCCCUAAUAGAGUUUUGGACAAAGUCCCCAUUCCAAAUCUGUUUUCUUAGCUCUAUAAAGUCCGCAUGUGAGUUUAACAAAGUUUCCAGUUCUAAAAGUUUCUAACUUACUAAGACCUAAAUUGACUGGGAUACUACUACUGUAUCUGUGUUAUUGCCGGAUCUCUCAACUGGUUGCUGAGCUGUUUGGGGGAAGGACCAUAGGUACUGAGAUGGUACAAAGGAGUACCCAUCUCACACUCUUUGUCUCCUAAGGCUGGAUACAGCCUUAGGCUGUUAAUAGACCUCAGAGAUUGUGGUAACUCUGCUUUGUUCACCUUCAGUUGAUAAUAUGAUUCUUCCUCUAACUAAUUUUCUUCCUGUAAAAAGAUCUGGCAUAAUUUCUGUGCCCCAGUUUCCUCUUCUAUAAAAUGAGAAUAAUAGUACUUACUUCAUAAGAUUGUUAUGAAGAUUAAAUGAGUUAAUAUGAAGAGUUUAAAACAGUGCCUGGCAUGUAAUACAAUCUCGCAAGUGUUAGUGGUUAUGAGACAUUGCUCAGAGGGCUAUAAAUGAUCAUGCCCCUUCUGGAAGACAGGGUAACAGAUAUAUCAAGAGAACAAAUGGUUCUCAGGCCCACAUAUCCCACUUCUGGAAAUCCCAGAAAGAUGGAACUUGGAAAACUCAUACAUCAUUAUAUUUAUCACAAGAUUAUCACAAUGAAAGUUAGAAAUAUGAGUGAUGAACAAGAUCAAAUAAAUUAUGGCACCCUCUACUUGACUCCUUUACAGCCACUAAAAGACAAUAGCAAUACAAAUCUCUGAAAAUCUGCAAACCUGUGUGCAUACAACGUAACUCCAUAUGAGAAAUGAAGUGCACACACUGAAGUGUGAAAUGUGUAGUAUUGUGGGUUUUCCCUUUUCUUUCAUAACUAAAAAGGAGGAGAUCUGUAGCAGAUGCAAAAGAUAGUCAAAAAAUGGGAGCACAAGAUAAUAAGUUUCUUUCCUUAUCUCAGGAAGACUUGACUUUAUUUAUUUAUUUAUUUUUAAUGUUUUAAUGUUUAUUUAUUUUUGAAAGGGGGGGGUGGGUAGUGAGAGAGGGAGACACAGAAUACGAAGCAGGCUCCAAAGUGUCAGCACAGAGCCUGAUGCAGGGCUCAAACUCAUGAACUACGAGGUCAUGACCUGAGCCAAAGUCGGACGCUUAACCAACUGAGCCACCCAGGCACCCCGGAAGACUUGACUUUAAUGACAAUUAUCACUUAGCAGUUCUUUUCUCAGAUUAGUUGCCUUUAACUCCUGUUCUUAAAGUUUACUCAGAAAAAGACACUCCAUUAGAAAUAAGCCACAGCUAUCUACCUAGGGCUGCGGUGCACCAGAUUUUUUGGGUACAACACUCCCUUGUGUUCUGGGGCUGAAGGCAGCCUCCGUAAUCAGUUGGUAGGAAUGUGUUGAGUCUUGACCAGCUGUAAUAUGGUGGUCUCAUACAAUCUCUGCUUUUGUUUACAGAUCUUUGGAGAAAAGGACUACUAUUCAUCCCCAAAUGAGGAGGGCAGGCUGACUGGAAUGGAAAAGUAUGUUCAGGAGGUUUGGUUGUUUAUUCGAGAUGUGUUGAUAUGUAGUUAUUCCAUCUGGGGCGGGGGCGGGGGAGCCUAAUUAAUUUACAUAUAGUCCAAGUACCCGAAAUGGGGGAAAUUCUAUCAAGUGUUAAAACUAGAGUGCUAGAUAAGACUUUGACACAACUUUCCCUUGCCUUGUUGUAAAUGGGAGAACAACCUGGUAAAAUACAAUAAACUAGAGCCAUUAACAUCCCAGGGAAUGUAAUUAAAAACCACCUCUUCAGGCUAAAUUUUCAUGGGAGAGAGAGAUGUUUAUACAGACAAGAACAAAGACUUGUUACCUGAUGGAAAGGACUAGAGUUUGGAUAACAAACUAAGUUAAUGAAUUCAACAGUCUACGAUAUAGUUUCAUAAUUUUAUGGUCUAAUCUUAGUCUCUUCAAAAACUAACAUUUCUCUACCAAGAGGUAUCUAGAUUGUGUUUUCUAUUCUUCCCUUCUAUUUCUUUUAAAGUUUAUUUAUUUAUUUUGAGAGCGGUGGGCAGAGAGGGAGAGGGGGAGAGAAUCCCAAGAUGGCUCUGCACUGCCCCCAAUGUGGGCCUUGAACUCAUGAACUGUGAGAUCAUGACCUGGGCUGAAACCAAGAGUUGGAUGCUUAGCCAGUUGAGCCAUCCAGGGGCCCCUCUAUUCUUCUCUUCUAAAACAUUCCUAGAAAAGAUGCCAUGAAUAUCACAUAUAGUUUCUGGUAACGCUUAAUUAAGAUCUCAAGCAGUGAGUGUGCCUGAUUCUCUGUCUUAUCAGCUAAGGACCCUCAUCGAGGAUGCCCUAAGAACCCAUGAGGUGGAGAAAACAUUCCCCUUUCUUGAAGCUGUUGAUGGGUCUCUUGGCUGCUGGUGGCAGUCAGUAUUUACUAUGCUUGGAAGAUUAGGCAAGAUUCAGCCUGGAUUGAGUAAAUAGGAAAAGUCCCCCAGUGCUAGUCCAUGUCAUUUCCCAUGGAGAGCUGCCCCUUCUCAGUCAUCACCAUGGGAGAGUUAUGCUUGCCUUCCGGCCUAAGGAAGGGUUGACUGUAUUAGUUCAUCUAAUUAUGUCAUAUUUUAUUUCACUCCUACUAUGGAUCAGGCAUUGUCCUGGGUACUUGGAGUUCAACAGUGAGCCUAAAAGACUAAUUCCUUCCCGAUGGACUUUACAGUCUAGCUAGGAGACAAGCAAGAAAAUUGCAGAGUAUGUUAGUUGAUAAGUUGAUCUGUUCUAUUGAGAAAUGUUCUUUCAAGGUGGUAAGGGAAAACCCUGUUGAGAAGGCAUGUGGGAGAGAGCUGUGCAGCUAGCCAGCAGGGUGAAGAGGCCUCCAGAUAGAUGAUGCUGAGGCCCUGAGGCAGGCUUGUGGCUUAGACCAACAAGAGUGGGAAAAAGGCAGAAGAUGAGUCUUUGGAAUAGUCUGGAGGAUAGUACAGCAGAAGGGACCAGAUAGUGAGACUAACCAGAGUAGUCUAUUCUUCUAUUUUUAGAUGCGAAUGAGUGCGAAAUUGGCCUGGAGCUCUGUGAUGAUGGAGCAGAAUGUGUGAACAGAUCUGGCUCUUACUAAUGUCACUUCCAAAAGGAGUAUGAAGACCAUACCCCAUGCAGCCUGGCACGCUGUGUGUGCACACUCCUCACAAAGGCACUGGUUGCCCAGAUGCCCUCUUGUGUGUAUGCUUAUAAGCUGUCGGGAUCACUUGUGAGACCUGUAGCAUCCUCAGGUCAGGGCUGAGCUCUCAUUCUGAUGCCUCUGGCCACAAACACCAAAGCAAACAUUCUCUGAAGGAUACAAAGUCCAGAAACUGUUCUAGAGCUUGGAACGUGGUAUAAAAGCACUUACUGGGAGGAUCUUCAUUGUGCUGAUUUUUCUUUUGCAGGCUUUAGCUUUGGAAUACUUCCAUAAGGAUUCCAUUCCUGACUCCGUUCAAAGGAGUUGUGUGUAGAAUUUAACUUGAACAUCUGGUUGUUUCACCAGAGCUCCAUCUGUCAUGCCCUGGGGAGAGGGCCUAUUUGUUGGGGGCGGCAGAGGGGGUGUGUGUUGCUUCAAGACUCAGCCUUUUAGACAUUUUCUUACCAAAGAUGAAAUUGGGCAGGAACUUGCACAGGAUUGAGUGAGCUUCUUCUGAACAGGUGUGGCAUAAAGCAAUUGGUAAUGAACUAGUGGAUGCCCUUAGCCUUUUUAAGGAGUUAUUGCUGGUGAUGGUAAUUUGUUUGGGACCUCUGAAAUAAUAUAAACUUCCUGGUGCUGCCACAGGCAGGUCAAUAGGCACGAUUUCUAUUUCUCAACUUGCUAACUUGCUGGGGGACCUUGGUCUUUGGUUCUCAAAUAUCCCUGAGAAACAAAGGAUUCAACUAGACAUCAAAGGUUUUGUCUAGCUCUUUGCAUAUUAGAUGUUGACAUUUCAGCAAAGAUGCCAUUAGACCCCAAGGGCAGGUGGGUGAACUUGCAAUGCUAUUUGCAUAGUUCUUUGGUUUUGUGUGUGUGUGUGUGUGUGUGUGUGUGUUUCUUAGUUGUCAUAUUUCAAAGGAAGAUUGAAUAUGUCACAAAAUACAGACUCAGUAUGAAUUUCUUAUGGCUAGGAAUCUACUUGUGACUGACAAUUUGUAGUUUUUUCAUGUUUUUUCUCUUCCCGCACCCUCCAAGUAUCCAGAUAAGGCAAUGUUUUUAUUUACUCUGCUAUUACAGAAUAGCCUGGGUGAUGUAUAAACAACAGAAAUUGUUCUGAAAGCUAGAAGGCCAAGAUCAAGGCUCUAGCAGAUUCAGCGUCUGAUGAGAACCUGCUUCAUAGUUCUUAGAUAGCCAUAUUCUUGCUGUGUCUUCACACAGAGGAAAUGGGCGAGGGUGUCUCUUGGGCCUCUUUUAUAAGGAUACUAAUCCCAUGUACAAACGCUCAACCCUCAUGAUCUAAUCACCUCCCAAUUCCACCUCCUAAUAACAUGACCUUGGGGUUGGGAUUUUGGUGUAUUAAUCUGGAAAGGAUAUAAGCAUUCAGUCCACUGUAGGCAGUGACAAGAGUUAAGCUGAAAUAAGUUCUGUGAGGCAGCCAUCUUGAAGUUUCGGAAAUCUGACAUCUGUGGAUUUUGCUCUAACGAUAGUUUCUAGAUGGUAUGCAAACUAGUUCUAGUUCUUUGGAUCUAUAGUAAGUUACAUGAUGAUAGAAUACAUUUUGGAAUACAGCUGGCUCUUGUUCUUCUCUGGUCUCUUUAAUGAUUUCUGUCUUUUUAAAAAUAGACAAAAUUAGGGGUGACUGGGUGAUUCAGUUGGUUAAGUGUCCAACUCUUGAUUUCAGCUCAGGUCUUGAUCUCAGGGUCGUGAGUUCAAGCCCUGUUUGGGCUCCACACUGGGCAAGAAGCCUACUUAGAGAAAAUAGACAAAAUAAAUUUCUGAUAUGCCUAACAUGGAAGACUUUUAGUCAUUAGCUCUUAGGCAAUUUAGAUUCCAUAUCACAAGAGGAUGUGGGACAUUUUUCAAAGUUAACUCUGUGUAUGAAUAGGGUUCUUGAGGGAGCUAUGUAGCAAAAGUUGGUGAAAGGUCCUUACAUUACCUGAUUCAUUUUGUUCCAAGUCUAGCUUUGGCUUUGAUAAAAUAUUAACAAUUCAUUUGUUUAUUCUCUCAAAAAAUAAGUACCUACUAAUGUAUCAGGCAAUAUGCUAGGGACAGGGGAUAAAAGUAUAAAUCUCUGAAGGCACUUUUGAGAGCCCAUUAGGUAAUGGAAUAUAAGCCUAUCAUUUAGUUCUCUUUAAAAAAAAAAUGUUUCUUUGUAUUUCAGGAGUUGACCUGGACCUGCUGGUUGGAGUUGCUGGUUCCUUUCAGUCGCGCUCAUGUUGACUAUUGGCCUCAUGUGGCUUGUGACUAGAACCUACAUCAAGAAGGAAAAUUCUCUGGGUCAGAAUGUGGCACCACAGGAAUGCCUGCCUAUAGCACCUGCCUUUGACCUGAUGGACCUCUGCAAACACCUUCCCUUCAACCCCUACCAGCCUAAGCCCCAUGCCAAGGAUCCACAUGGUGCUCCAGGCAAGAAUGUUCCUCAGAACAGGGAACUGCAGCUGUGGGUAGAGCAAUCAGGUUCUGAGGGUGGCUGCUGCCUCUAGAAAGGGUGGGGGUAGAAGACCUUGUCCUUUGGAGGUACAAACUUCACUGUGCCAUCAAAUCACACACUCAUGAACUUAGGAAGAAGUACCUUGGUUCUGAUUCUGUCACUUCUGUUCUCUGAUUCCAACUGUGUUGUGGUUCCUGACUCUCCCUGGGCAGAAGGCCUAUUUGCUGGGGGGCAGAGGAGGGGGUGUAUCUUGCCUCAAGACUCAGCCUAUAAUUCCAGCAAUGGACUGAGGUAGUCUUCCGGUGACCCAGACACUUCAGGUGAUGAGUGUGGUCCACAGGAAGUGUCCAGGGCAGCAGGAAGCACAUGGUACCAACCUCCAAAGUUGAAUGAGUUUAUCAGUGGACAGAUUAGAGAACUGUUAACAUAGUUUAGAAAACUCAACCUCAGGACUUUUCUCCCUUUGUAUGGGAAAAGAAACUCCCCUAAAAGUAGUGGGUGAGAACUCUUGAUUCUUUUUCCUUCAUACUUGGUUGCAUUUUAUUGGAUUAUAAAAUUGUACUUAUGGAAAGAUUCUGUCUUCUGUUCUUCAUCUAUUUUGGCUACUACAUGUGCCAGGUUGGUAUCAGAGCCCUACAG